ACGCCCACAUGUACAAGUGCAUGCCAAAAAUUAACUCAGUCUACGACCGACCCACAUCACACGCCUUCAACCCUUGAAUUACUGCUUCAUAUGCUCUCACACAACACACCCAGCAACCCAGCCAACCCAGCUAGCUGACAACCAACUUCUCCCUCUCUCUCUCUCUUGUCUUGCCCCCACCCCCCACCCCCCACCCCCCACCCCCCACCCCCCGACCUUUUCCACUAUAUAACAACCAACAACCCCAUUUCCUAUAAAUGCCCCCCCCCUGUCCCUUAACGCCUAACUUUUCAUUUAUAGAGGGUGGUGGUGCACAAACACGUCGUUUGUGUAUAUUUGUGAUCUGUAACACAUUCAAUACGAACACCUAAACUUGUCGUAUGGCCGCUGCAGGAGCUGCCGCGGACGGGCUGUUCCGGUGCGUGUACGAGGGUUGCUUAUCAGAGUUGGAUAUCGGAGUGGAGCGGCGCCCGUACCACCGCAACUGUGGCUGUGCCCUACACAACAAGUCACCUAACAAGCAAUGUACCCACGGAGGGCCUAAGAGUAAGAAAGUGUCGUAUCCGCUAAGGCGGGCUUGGAGCGAAGGGAACUUGGCUUUGGUGGCUUCAGCCGGUUCUUCUGUGCACUCCUCGCCGUCUUCCUCGCCGGCUAAGCACCACCAUGCGGUCGGGAGGCUACAUCAGCGGCGGCAGUCGCAUCAACAAUUGGAUACUUUGUGCGAUGAGGACGAGGAGGAGGAUGAGGAGGAGAAUGUUCUCUUCAAGGUUUGAUGUAUGUUUGUGAUUUGAUCAGAACAAUAAGUAUACUUUGUUUGAUCAAUAAUAUGGGAUAAUCAAGUUUUGUAAUUAAAUCUAAUUUUGAGUUUACUCAGAGAGGUUUGUAAGUUUUUCUGAUCAUCAUCAUAUCAAUGCUAUUUUUUUAUCUGGCAAUCAUCGUAUUUUGGUUAAGAACAUGCUCUCUUUCCGUUUUGAACUCACUAAACAGAAUAUUGGGUUCUAAUUUGUUUCUAUCCAUCUUUGUCAAUUUCACUCCAAAUUUGCAGGUUUUAGACUGCAAAUAUGAAAUCUUGGAUCCCCUUCUUCCUUGCUCUCCUUCAAAACCCAAUUUGGGGAUCUAGCUAGAUUGUGGGUUGAGCUAUUGAGGAAGAACUUUGGCAGAGCUCUCUUUUAUAUUGGAUGGAAUCAGGGUGGGAUCGAGAGUGACCAAAAUAUAAUAUAACAGGUCAUAUGUUUUUGUUAGAGGUGUCAGACAAAUAACAUGACUGGUAACCCUUCUCAAGAUGUUGAUAAUUGGAGCCGGUGCCAAAAGCAUACAAGUAUAUGGAAAUUUUUUUUGACUUCUUACUUAUAACAAGUCAUUCAGUUCAACAAAUAAAUUGUAAGCGGACAUAUGUGUAAUAUAUUUACAUAUGUAUUAAAUUGUGACUUGCAGAUAAACCUUUUUUUAGAUACUUUUGGAGAUUCUUCGAUCUAGAUUAAACAAUGCAUAGGAAUUUGGAGAGCCGUUAACAUAAAGAAAGACUAUCAGUCUUUGAGUGUGUUUAAUUACCAAAUAGUUAAUAAAGCCAAUACAUUAUACAAUACAAUCCAAACACCAACCGACAUUUAAGAGAAAAUUUUUAAUGUGCCAAGCACACUACACUAAAUAUCAUAAUAUAAUUAGUUUGAUUUUUUUUUUAAAUUUCUCAUCAAUUAUAAUAUUACAGUUAGUGUAUUGGAAUAACCCUGCACACUAAAAAUCUCUCGUAUUCUAGGCUGGAUGGGAUGUUUAGUUGGCUGCACCAACAUGUUCAACAAAUUAGAAAACAACUUUUAUUAAAUAUUAUAACAAAAAGAGGAAAAGAAAACGAACAAACAGAAGAAAUGACACACAAAGUGAAAUACCAUCCAUGUUCUCAUGUCCCUCCAUCUAUGCUUCCCAAUCUGUCAUUUUAAAAUACCUAAUUAGAAACACGAAAAUAAUUUCCGUACUCUAGGUUUUCUCUCCGUACUUUUGUUGUUGUUUUGUUUUUGUCAUUAAAUUCAUCGAAAAGAUAUGAGGCACCUAAAUAAAGAAAUAAUACUGACGAAUGAGGUAUUUUUCUCAAUCCACUGUUUUUUGAGUUCAAAUUUAACUAUCUUCAUAGGAAUGGUUGCGGUUACUUAAAUUUUUUUAAAAGUAACUUCUUAAAAAAGUUGGGGUCUUAUUUGUGUUUAGUAAGUGAAAGUAGCUUCUUAAAAAUUACAAGUCCAAAACAACAGAACGCAGAAGCAGCUCUAUACAUGCUUCUAAAAAAAAACAUUUUUUUUUAUCAAUAGAGGCAGGUGAACAAUAUUGAAUUUCAUAUUGACAAUUCUACCUUGAUUUUUUUUUUUCACUAAAAGCCUUUUUUUUCACAGUUGUUUAGUCUCGUAGCAAAGCAGAAGCAAUUUAAAAUUUAAAAAAAGAAAGAAAAGAAAACACAACAACCCAAACUGAUCUUUAAUGUAGCUUAGAAUAGUAAUAUUAGUUGUAAUUAAAAAAAAUAAAAGGAAGAUCCAAAGAACAAAAGGGGAGUUUAGAAAACAUUUUCCAUUUAGAAAAUGUUAUCUUGUUCUUGCCGAAUGAAUAUAAGUAUUACGAAUAUGUCGACAUUGAAGAUGGCUACCACAUAAGAAUAUGACACACACAGAGAGUUUUGUGGUUGUACACCGUGCACACUCCAAAUGAGACAACAAUAUACAACAAAAAGAAAAUCGAUCAUCAUACAUUAUCUCCUCCAAUUGCAGAGGAGAUAUUUGCCUUUUACGGCGGGUAUAUUCAUUUGUUUAGUAUAACAUUGAUCACGUGACCGAGAUAUAUGUCUGGUAAUGGCGAAAUCUUUGCCCGCUUGCAGAUCUUUAUAAGCAACACAACCAAGAAAAGUGUACAUUUUUAAUUUGUUAGUCCGAAGUACAAACUAUAAGCUGCCAAUACGCAUGCCUUGGUUCCAAAGCUCACAGGCCUUGCCAAAACUAAAACUCAAAUAAGUGGUGCUACGAGGAAACAUAUCAUAGGCAAAAGCGUCAAGUACGAGAGUUUACACAGAAAGGUGGAGAACACAAAGGACUACCAAAGUUUCUGUCUAUAUUCUGUUGAGAAUGAAUUACACGUUAAUGAGAGGAGAGACCUUACAUGAACUUAUGUAGUGAAUAGUAAUUGCAACAGUGCAUUUCAAGUUUCAAUUCCGUAAAGAACUUACGUUUCUACAUAUAUGUGAUAUCGAAAGUUACUGUGAGAAGUUCACUUACAGAUUUAAGUACAUAUAAGAUAGCUGCAUUAUGUUAUCAUUUUUUUUUUUUUUUUGGAAAACACAUUAUGUUAUCAAUUUAUCACAAAAGAUAAAGUCACGAUCGAAUUUUCAAAUUCUUAUCGCACAAAGCAACAACACGAUCGACAUGGAGUCUCGAUCCACUGAAUGAAUUGCGAAUACCAUAUCAGAACAUUGUUUCUCAAAAUAAAUGGAAGCAGGCAGUCAAGAUUCGAGAUUACAAGGCCGGGAUAUACAAAAAUGACCAUGAAAAGGAUUGAAGCAAUAAAACGGAUUGAAGCAGAUAGUGUUUACUACCUUACUGAUAGUGGUUAUUAGUUAUUUUCAAGUAAUGACAAUUCCAAUGAGGUAAAGUUGAAAGGCAAAAACGCAAGAGCGAGAGAGGAGGGAGACAGUGACUCCAUAUUUUACGUCCUAAAGUUACUAUUCUACAAGGACGAGAGAGAGAUAGAGAGAGAGGACGGUGACGCCGUGCUAAAACGGAGAUGUUGUCGCGUAGAAACAGUCAACUAACUCACGCUCAUAACAAUAGGAUUGGUAACAAGAUUAGUAAAAAGACGUCAUUACGGAGAAAAACUAUGUUAAAGUCGUAGAAACAGUCAACUAAGCUUAAGUAAGAAAAUCGUUUUGUCUAAACUCUCCCUCUCUCUCUCUCUAAAGCAUGUGUUCGAGAAGCUGAUUUUUUCAAGAAAAACCAACUGCCUUGUUGAAUAACUACUUUGACAAGGCCUCAUGAAAAACAAAAGCUGAAAAAGAAUAAUGAUUCCCAAGAACGACCACCAUUGCUAAGCUUCUCUUGAGUUCAACGGCGUAGCGAAGCUAACAAAACUUCUACUCUUGGUUACUCCUACACUACCGUGAAGAAACACCCCUCCGUGUUCUAUAUAAGCAUGUAACAGAAGCACUUCAAAGACACACAUAUGUAGAAAAAGGAAGCACACUUUUUCAAAAGCUUAAUUGGCACAUACAUACUUACACUUGCGUUUUCACUAAAGCUUAGGAGAGGAGAGGUGGGAGGGAUGAUCCUUGGGAUAGCGGCAAUGAUGCUUCAAUGCGUGAUUGAAGUAAGUUUAUCAAUUCAGGACAUGGAGAUUGAGAACAGGCCAUACCACCGCAAUUGCAGCUGCGCGCUGCACAACUUGAAGGGUAUUUGCUCUUGCCCUCCAAAAACGAUUGUUUCAUUCCCCAAGAAACAGCCUUGUUGUUCUCGAUGGCUCAUCAGUACGGAACAAAGAAGACCCGAACGUGCUGUAUCAUGUCACGGACAAGAUUUAGAGAGCUUGUCACAGCAGAGCAACAAGGAAAAGGUCAGCAACUGAAAAGUAACAUCUUUAAUUUAUUUGUUUCGCUCUAUAUCUAGACAUCCAGGUCACCUGGAGAGCUUGAGAUAAAACCGUCUGGAAAGAGGCAUUUGUUUAUUUGAAUCCUCCCAAUCACCCCCCAAACACCUUUUUAUUUACGCCACAAAUUGCACACAAAGAAUACUACUUGUACAACAACCAAGCCUUAUCUCAUUAAACGGGGUGGGCUGUAUGAAUCAUUGAAUGCCACUGCACUCAGUCUUGUGCCAAAUCUUUCUUUAGCUACAAGUACUCCAUAUCCUUUCUUAUAAUCUCUUUCUGAGUCUUCCGUUAGCUACAAAUAUUCCAUUUAUACAGAUAAAGUCUAUAGACUCUACACCAAGUUGGUAAGUCAUCAUAUCAAAACAAUCAGAUUAUAAAUUUAGGACAGGAAAAAACAAACACGCCUGUCUUGAUAUCGAAAAACUCUUCUCAUGAGGAGCCAUGGAAGCUAAGCUCAUUCUUAGUCCUUCCUACCCCAGAGUGGGAGCGAUGAGAUGAAUGUUUCGAUACCUAAUUGAAAUAUCACCAACACAAGAUAAAAAAGAAAAAAAUAAAUUGUAGCCACGCCCCUGAUUGCUCGAUUCAUACUUCCUCUAAUCUGCAGCAGUACUGCGUCACUAAUUAGUGCAUGAAACAUUAGUUCAUCACUAGAAAAUAUAAUCAUAAUUCAUACAUUUAGUACAUCACUCAAAGAAAUAAUUAUACAUUUAGUUCAGCGCUAAGUAAGCUCUGGCAGUUGAGCAACUAACGACGGAUAGGCUGGGGCGACAGACUGGAGUUGCAAAAUGUCAUCUGCAAGCUAAAAGCUCACCUGACAAAGGAAACCUUCUGGCUUUUCCGGUAAGUGCUUAUUUCUCUGAAACUUUCCUGGUCGUACGUGUACAAGAUAUUUAGUUUGAAUUCAUAUCAGUGUGAUACAAUUGGCAAAGGCAAAGAAACUUAAGCACAUACGCAAGCAAGAUAUGAAUUAUAACGAAGACAUGAAUAUCUGACACAUCACAAACCUUUUAAGUUAAACAUAAGAAGCUGAACUAAAUAUAUGAAGUGGAUUCUUCGUAGUUUCGAGUUGAAGGUGGUAACUUAUGUUAUGUCUUACAGGUUUCGUCAUUGGAAGAAUUUUUUUCGUUUCAUUGGGUCAGAGUACGAGAGUUCAAUUGGCAAGGGAAGAGAACCGUCCUACUGGUGGAAGCAGAACUCCUCCUACUUUAUCAUACCCAGGACCCAGCAGACCUAGCAAGCCUUGACUCAAAACCCUAGCAACCCUUUACUUUGACUACAUAAAAAGGAGUUCGGAGAGAAAGCUGCAAUCAAUGGGAUAUUUCUAAUUCUCUCUUCCCGAAUGUAAGAACGUGAAAUUUUAUGGGUUAAAAAAUUGAAGUAAGGAGUUGUUGAAAAUCUUAAAACGGAAAGGAAUUUUGACUCUAUUGGAUUAAGAAAAUAAUUUACUCCAUCCUUCAAAUACUAGAAUGAAUAUCCGACGAAGUAAAACCAUCUUUAUCAAGAUGAUAAUUUGAACGGGUGAUUCAUGAAUGCAGCCGGGUUGGACCGGUCAAUAACUCGAAGGCGUUUAAUUUCCAUCGAACAUCUAUGAGGAGUUGGCAAAUCUCCCCCGAACCUCUUUGAGGGGUUUGUAAAUUUCCACCGAACCUCUACGAGGCAUUUGGAAAUUUCAACCGAGCCUGAUCCAGCGUAAUAUCUUUAGUUUCUCACCUAUAAACAACUAACAUUGCAUAUAGCCUUUAAAUCUAUAUGUUAAUUUGCUCUUCAAAUUUAAAUUUCUAGACUUUUUUUUUUUAAAAAAAUAAGUCCUUAAAUCUACUUUUGCAAGUCACGUAAUUAAAUUUCUAGACUUUUUUUUUUCAUCAGCAGUCUGUGUCACAUCCCGGCCCGGGGUCCACCACAUCCCAAGCCCGCUCUACCGCCGUAGCACAAUAUUGUCCGCUUUGGGCCCCGACUACGCUCUCACGAUUUUGUUUCUGGGAACUCACACGAGAACUUCCCAGUGGGUCACCCAUCAUGGGAAUGAUCUCGCACGCUACUCGCUUUAACUUCGGAAACCCGAAGUCAGUGAGCUCCUAAAAAGUCGUGUCACAUCCCGGCCCGGGGUCCACCACAUCCCAAGCCCGCUCUACCGCCGUAGCACGAUAUUGUCCGUUUUGGGCCCCGACUACGCUCUCACGGUUUUGUUUCUGGGAACUCACACGAGAACUUCCCAGUGGGUCACCCAUCAUGGGAAUGAUCUCGCACGCUACUCGCUUAACUUCGGAAACCCGAAGUCAGUGAGCUCCUAAAAAGUCGUGUCACAUCCCGGCCCGGGGUCCACCACAUCCCAAGCCCGCUCUACCGCCGUAGCACGAUAUUGUCCAUUUUGGGCCCCGACUACGCUCUCACGGUUUUGUUUCUGGGAACUCACACGAGAACUUCCCAGUGAGUCACCCAUCAUGGGAAUGAUCUCGCACGCUACUCGCUUAACUUCGGAAACCCGAAGUCAGUGAGCUCCUAAAAAGUCUCGUGCUAGGUAGAGAUAAGAAUAUACAUAUAAGGCUUACAUGAUCCAUUCCCUGGGCGAUGUGAGAUGUUACAAUCCACCCCCCUUAGGGCCCGACGUCCUCGUUGGCACACUUCCGGCCAGAGAUGACACACUUCUGGCCAGAGAUUGGCUAUGAUACCAAAUUGUCCAUCCCGACCCAGGCCCCCACCACAUCCCAGGCUCAACUCCACCGUAGCACGGUAUUGUCCGCUUUGGGCCCCGACCACGCCCUCACAAUUUUGUUUCUGAGAACUCAAACGAGAACUUCACAGUGGGUCACCCAUCAUGAGAAUGCUCUCGCACACUACUCGCUUAACUUCGGAGUUCCGAUGGAACCUGAAGCCAGUGAGCUCCCAAAAGGCUUCGUGCUAGGAAGAGAUGAGAAUAUACAUAUAAGGCUUACAAGAUUCAUUCCCCUGGACGAUGUGGGAUGUUACAGCUUGAUCAUACUUUCACACUUAAUAUUUCAUCUCUAAACUCUAACGGUGAUGAUAAAUAACUUAUCAAAUAAAUAACUUGAAAGACAGAUGGCUAAAUUGAAGGUUUGAGCUUUUUCCCGAGUAUUUAAUUUCCGCACUCCAUUUUUCUCCUCUGCAUUUCUCUAGUUUAGUGUCUGCAGGAAGUGCCUUCCGAUGGUUCAGAAAGCACUUUCUAAGAGUCAAUUACUUUAGGAAGUACUUCCCGAUACUACAUAAAGCAUUUCCAAAUAUGCACUUUCAGUUGCUUCUUUAAGCACUUGUAGUUUAAUAAAAAAUUCAAUGUGUCUAGGAUAAAAGUACUUGUAGCAGAAGCGCUUGUAAACAAAAAAUGCUUGCUCGAGAAGCAAUCCGAAAGGAGCCCUUUAUCACACAAACAAAUGACUCCUUUAGCAGAAAACAAGAUUGCGGAAAACAUUUCCCAUUAAUUUUGGUCUGCUUUGUUUAGGUAUGGAUGUUGUGACGACCAAAGCUGCCAUACCGACCUACAGGCCUUUGGAGAACAUACACCAAUUCAACGAUUUCGCCGAGUUUUUGGGUGACGGGAGAGCUGGGAAUGCUCGAGCUCUGUGGAACAAGCCUCUCAAAACCGUUUAUAUCAGCGGUUGAGGUGAGCUCAAGGUGGCAAAGCCUUCCCUUUCUCCUAGUCUCCCUUGAUCAUUUUACGUACAUUGCAUUUGCAUAUAAUUUAUAUAACUGUUCAUAUUGUUCAGUUCACAUAUUCAAUAUUUUUGUUAAGAGCCUUUUGAAGUUAUAAUUGUACGUAAACCUUGUUUCUGCAAAGAUUUUGUAAUGAGAACGUACUGCUGCUUAAGUUGUGCUUCAUGUGUUUCGGUGAGAGCCUUCUAACAUUAUGGAAGCCUCCCUUUCUUGUCUUAGAUAGGAGGGAAACUUACCUACUACAAUGAGGUGAUAGUGGCAGUAUUGAAGCCUAUCAGGCCUUGUCGUGUGUUUUAACAUUUUCACUGUGACGAUGCGUGAUUGGCCUAAGAUACCACCGCAUCCUACCUAGUUAGGCAACAUAGCAUAAUGAACAUUACUAAUAAGAACAAAGAAGCAUCGGUCUAUGUUAUAGUUUGAAGAUACCUUAGAUGCUAUUGUUUACACCAACUUCAUAUUGGUUAGUUGUAGAGUUAUGAUAUCCACAUAUCAUUUUUACCUCCCGCACAUUCUUCUCAAUUUUUUGUUGUCGGCUUGAGUGAAAUGAAAAAGAUUAAAUGACAUAAAUUAAUAAGGGAUAUGUAAGAAGUAAUUGGAUUGAGCAACGCCAAUGGUAUGUAUGAAAUGUAUGUACGUAUGCAUGAAAUGCAUCUACAUACAAAAACAUUACUUCCCAAUUGGGUAGUGAUGUUCGCACUUCCGUUUUCUCUUUUUGCAAAUGCUGGAAAUAUCGGACUUGGAAUUGGAUCUGUUUUUGGGCCUCAACCCGGUCCAUUGCAGCAAAUAGAAAAGGAGACUUCAUGUAAGUUGGGCUUGGCCCUUCAAGUAUAAGGAAUCAGUUCGUCAAUUGGCAAAAAAAAAAAAAAAAAAAAAAAAAAAAAAAAAAAAAAAAAAACGAAAAAACAAAAGAAGGUGAAAAAGAAACAAGUGAUGUUUAUGAAGGUAGGUGAAUUGGGAGGAGGAUUCUCUCGGUGGACCCAUCUCAAACUUCUACGAACUUCUUCCACUGAAUGGAAAGGACACCUUGGGCCCCGCAGUAGGAAGGCCCAUUGGAAAACGACGAAUAUGUAGCCCUUCUCUCUUUCGGCCCAAUAGGGCGCAAGCAAAUACGGAGGGUGGGAACCACGAGCAGCCGCACGUGAAGGGGACCUGCAGCGACUUCAGCCGCUAGCGCCAAAUUCAAUCUGACGACCGAUCAUCUACCACUGUUGUUUCCCCUCCUGCAGGUGGUCCCCACCACCUCCCUUCUGCUGCUGUACGAACAGGGUUCUCAGACUGUGCGGCGGGUAUUCCCAGGUGGUCCAUAAAACGUAGGGACGACAUGUGUGCUCGUACGGGUUUGAGGUCACUGUGCGUAGGGUAAGGACUAACUGACGACCCUCUUGAGGAGGACGUCCGAAAAGCGAAGGUCAUCGCUUGGGGAGUGUGGUAAACCGUCCCUCCCGUGUAAUCAGUGUCGUUACAUACACCAAUCAAAUCUAACGACUUCCCCGACAUCUGUCAACCAUAGCCACAUUUGCACGCUCUUUGAAUUUUGAUUUAUUAUAGGGAUUUUUUUAGAGAACUUCAACAAACAGUUUAUUUUAACGAAAAAUUAUAUUUUUACAUUAAAAAAUCAAUCUUAUUACUAUUUAUUUUACCCUUUUUUUUUGUUAUUAUUGUUAAAAUUUAAAGCUUUCAAGCAUUUUUUCAUUAAUUUUCCUAAUUUUUUAACGAAGAUUAAAAUUUAAAAUAAAUGUGGUGUUAGAUUACAUAUUUAUUAUAAUCCCUUGAUGUGUCCUUAAUUUUAAAGGAAAACUAAUGAAAAGGGCUUGAAAACUUUGAGUUUUAAUGAUAAGGACAAAAUAAAGGGUAAAGUGACUAGUACCAUGAUUGACUUUUUAGUGUAAAAAUGUGGUUUUUCGUUAAAGUGAACAGUAACGGGAGCUUUUCGUUAAAGUUCCCUAAUUUUAAAUAAUCAAUGUGCAUUUUAUCUAGUGUCUUCCAUUAAAUAUUUAAAUUUAUUAAUAAACAAAUUUUUAUUUAUUUUUUGACCAAAAAAAGUUUUUUUUUUUUAAUUUAUUAAUUUUAUUUAACAUUCUUCAAACUUGAAAGACUCAAUUAAUGUACCUAAGGUCUCGUUUGGCAGCUGGGACUGUACUGACUAUUUCUGUCGGAUAUGAUAAAUAACCACCGGACAGUACUGAUUAAAUUAGUCAGACAUUUGAUGCAGUAUCGGACUAAGUUUUCCACUGCAAUUUUAGUCAAGAACCUCUCUGCAAAUACACCAUGUUUCUUUGCAAGACCCAGUUGCAGAAGAAGCCCAGAAACAUAUUAACUAAACAAAAAUCCACAAACUACCAGAAUAAUCGAUUCCUGUUCGUCGGAAAAACAAGAACAGAGGGAAGGCCAAUGGUUGGGCGCACAAUUGGUGAAUAUAUAUAUUUUUUUCUUAUCUCCUCUUUGCUGCAGAUUCAGAUGGGGUAUUUGUAACAUAUAGAAUUCCAAUAAAUACAACCCCACGAUUGGUGAAUUAGUGCUGCUAUUUUGGGUCAAUGGUGAUUUGGCCAACGGUGAAGAACAGAGGGAGGCGGAAGAACAAAGGGAGCGGCAGAACCUGGGAAGACGAAGAAAAAUGAAAAGACGAAGUGGGAUUCAAACGAAGAAGAAAGAACUUGAGAAGACGAACCUGGGAUUCAAGAGAGCAAGAGUGAGUCUGAAGAGGAAUGAGAAAGCGACAAAUUUCAGCCUGACUAAAUUGUACCGUGGUUUUGGACGGUAUAAGCAAGCGGGUAAAGACAGGAUAAAAAAGGUGGGCCUAGGUUAUUUAAUCCGGUGGCUAUUUAAUCCAAACAGACACCAAACAUCGUAUUUCGUAUUAUUAGUACUAUCCGGUAUCUUAUAUGGUGUGCCAAAUAGGGCAUAAAUGUUAGUACCAAAAUGUAUUAUAUUGAACUAAUGUAUUUAAAUGUUAAUACCGAAAUGUAUGUAUUGAAUUAUAUGCACCGAAAUGUAUUAUAUUAAAUUAAUGUACCUAAAUGUGGGUACUGAAAUGUAUGCACCGAAAUGUAUUCAUACUGGUUGGUUGUAGAGCUGUAAUAUCUACAUAUCCUUUUUACCUCCCACACAUUCCCCUCGAUUUUCCGCUGUCGAAUUGAGUGAAAUGAAAAAGAUUAAAUAACAUAAAUUAAUAAGGAGUGCGUAAGAAGUAACUGGAUAGCGCAAUGCCAAUUGUAUGUAUGAAAUGUAUGUACGUAUCCACGGAAUGCAUCUACAUACAAAAACAUUACUUCCCAAUUGGGUAGUGAUGUUCGCACUUCUGUUUCAGCAAAUAGAAAAGGAGGCUUCAUGUAAGUUGGGCUUGGCCCUUCAAGGAUAAGUAAUCAGUUCGUCAGUCGGCAAAAUAAUUUAGAAAAAAAAUAUAAAUAAAAAGUGAAAAAAGAAAAGAGUGAGGUUUAUGAAGGUAGAUGAAUUGGUCGGACAAGAUCCGAAGACAAACAAACGUACGGUCUGGAUUGGGUGGACCCAUCUCAAACUUCUACGAACUUCUUCUGUCUCAAUGGAAAGGACACCUUGGGCCCCGUAGUCGCAAGGCCCAAGGGAAAUCUACGAACGACGAAGAUGUAGCCCUUCUCUCUUUCGGCCCAAUAGGGCGCACGCAAAUAGGGAAGGUGGGGACCACGAACAGCCGCGCGUGAAGGAGUCCUGCAGUGACUUCAGCCGCUAGCACCAAAUUCAAUCUUACGGCCGAUUAGCUAUCACUCCUGUGUCCCUCCUGCAGGUGGUCCCCACCACUUCCCUUCUGCUGCUGCUUUUUUGUACAGCUGUACGAACAGGAUUCUCCGACGAUGGGGCGUGUAUUCCCAGGUGGUCCAUGAAACCUAGGGACGACACGUGUGCUCGUACGGGUUUGAGGUCAGUGGACAGGGUAAGGACCAACCGACGAACCUCUGACGAGGACGUCCGAAAGCGAACGUCAUUGAUUGGGGAGUUUGGUAAACUGUCCCUCCCGUGUAAUCAGAGACCGAUCAAAUCUAACGACUUCCCCCACAUCUGUCAACCAUACCCACAUUUGCACGCUCCUUGAUUUUUUAUUUAUUAUAUUAUCCUCUUCUUAAAUCUUGUUUCCAGACUAGAAAAAUUUAAGUAGGACAACUUAAACCAGUUUAACAGUUAAGCACUCUCACGAAACAAUAAAGUUCUACCGCAUUCGGAUAUCAUCCGGCUUCGUACAGGGUGCAACCUUUAAACCACCCAUCUCACUUCUUUUCAGUGUGAUCUUAUCAGCGGUCUGAUCAUACUUUUAUAUUUAAUAUUUUAUCUCUAAAGUCUAACGGUGGUGAUAAAUAACUUAUCAAAUAAAUAACUUGAAAGACCGAUGGCUAAAUUGAGGGUGCAUAAUCGUUGCAUGUAUUUUACGACUAAUGAUGAUGAAUCUCGCUAAUUAUUGCAUAAAAAAGUGUCUUCAUAAUCUUAAAUUUAUGAUCACAUGUUCCAUCUUUACUAAAUAAUUAGACAUUAGUUACCCUACACAAUAGUUACGUCAUUGUGAUAUUUUAUGAAUGUGUUCGAUGUGCUCAUCACGUUUUUUCACAAUAAAUUAGACUCGUAUUAGUGCCUAAUCACUAUCCAUUAAGUAAUUAUGCCUACAUUCAUACGGUUCAAAAAAUCCUUACCAAGAUCAACCUAAUUGGGUUGAAAUCCACUCACCACCUAUGUGGGUAAAUCAUAUAAAUAUGAGUUUAAUUCGGUCCGAAAUUAUUAACAUCUUGAAAAACAUAUACUUGCGUCGAGUCAAACACGUAAUCUCGAGUAUAGACAUAAUUGACAUAAUUGCCCCACCACAAUCUUAUCGUUUGAGUUCACACGAAUUACUCUAAUAUAUAAGCUAAACCAUGAACUCAUCAUGUGAAUUUAUUAAAUAGAUUGGCAGAUAUUGGAUAUAUUUUUCAGUGUGUCUAAAGUACAAAGUAAAACAUCACAUGUUAUUAUAUAAUUAGUUGGAUGUUUGAAAAAAAAAAACUUUCCUCUAAUUAUGUAAUGACAUGUAAUGUUAUGACUCGUAUUCCGAAUACAGUCAGAAAUCUAUCCAAGAUAUUGCCAUAAGAUUUGUUGUGAUUGAAUAUUUCAUUGAGUGACAUCUUGGUAUUUUGUCUUGACCUUAAAAACUUCCAUUUGUCAAGCGUAUCUCAAGCAUUAAAGCACAAGAAAAGAAAAGUUGCUCCUUCCCUUCCAUACUUUCCUUUUACUUUCUUGUCGACCAACUUCUUCAUUUUUAUGUCUUUUUAAAACAUAUAUUGUUGAAAAUAUUAAACAUCUCGAAUCAGAAAAUUAACAAAAUUAAAUAUGAUGAGCGUGGUUUAUUUCUCGCUACAUCGAGUUUUUAGUGAUAAAAUUUUCACACUUAAAAAUGAUAAGAUGCGAGUUGAGGAACAAUAUCAGUGUAGUUAAUAAUUAAUCGCUAACACAUCUUUUAAAAAUAUAGACAAGUGUAAUUUCAAUGUCUAUAUUCCCUCCACCAUACCAACAGCUGGAACUUCUACCAAAGUCAUUUAAGAAACUUCUUACACACCUGAAAAUUAUAAGAUUCGAGUUGAGGAACAAUAUCUAUGUAGUUAGUAAUGAAUCGCUGCCACAUUUUUUUUAAUAUAUAGACACGUAUGUUUUCAAUGUCUAUAGUCCUUCCACCAUGCCAACAGCUGCACGUUCUGUCGAAAUCAUAUAAGAAACUUCUUGCAACAAUACAAAAUCUAUGUGUUUGUGCGUAUAUAUAUGGCUCCAAGAGGUUGGUAAUUGUUUAAAUAUCUUAUUUAGAUAUUAUUUUGUUAGGGCAAGGCAAAUAGUUUAGUGGAAGAGACAAGAGGGAAAGCCCCAAGGGUUGAAGUAGGAAGCAAUCAUACCCCACAAUACCACCAAACGGUCCAAACACUCCAAACCAAAAUAAAUGAAUCAAUAUAUCCUAUGUCCAUUUCACCACUCUACGUUUUGUUUUUGUUUUUUAGCAAACGUUAUUGUCUGCACUAAGGGAGUAAAAGAGCGAGCUAAGCCUCAUAAUAGGUUAGCAAUAAUAUGGUUCAAAUUUACCUUUGGCGAGAUUCAAACCUAAGACCUCUCACUUACAAGUAAAAGAGAAUACCACUAUAAUGAAUUGAAAGAUUUUAUUAUUUAACCGAGGUUAUUAUCUUAGUACACUGACCCAAGUUGGGGCUGAAAAUUUUGAUUAUGACCGCGAACAUUCAUUUAUUGAGAUUUUAUUGUAAUGCUUCUUUACCUUUCUCACACUACCACUCAACCAUUCUAUGUUCCUCACUUCUCCCAGUACUAAAAAAUAAAUAAAUUCAGACAAACGUUAUGCAAGACAACUUGAUCAACUGGACAGUCACGCUCUCACAAUGAAACAUACUCUAAAUUAGUUGGCUACAAUUCGGCCCGACGCAUAUGUAACUUUCAAUGAAAGCAUUCACGCGUAAUGUAUGGGUGACCUGACCAGUUAAUCAGAAGAACCUUUGAACACUUUUUCAUUAGAUUAGUUUUUUUUUUUUUUAGGUAAAUUGUCAUAAGAUUAAUCGAUACAUAUGCUAUAACUUAAGUAGAACAAUAACAUCGAGUAACUUGUGCGCGAUGAUCACAAAAACUUUCGAGUAUGUGUCACACGAUGAAAUAUAUACUAAUAAAAGUGUUAGGUACUUGGUUUUAGAUUGUGCCUAGGAUGCGCCUGUGCACCUUUAUCCACAUUUAUGGCUACAGGCUACAGCUACACCUGCUGCAAAUCUAGAAGUCUAGAAUUCUUAUUACAAUCAUAAAUAAUCAAUCUUUGUCUUACUAUUUCGCCACGUGUCCAUCAAUCUGGCCGUCCAAUUGUCUUCCUCGGUCCUCACGCAACCAAAAGUCGUCUUCUCCGUCACUCUCUGCAGACAGUAGGACUCCUCCUUGCUUAAUAACACAUUCAAGUUUCAAACUUUCAACAAACCCCACCUUCUUUCUUGACUCAAAAGCCGCUUUUGGCUUUUCCAAGCCUCGCUUUUCCUAUAUGCACUGAAAAAGCCAUAAGCUUUAAGCUCUUCUCUCUGAUUUCUCACAAUUCAACUCGCAAAAAUGGCGUUUCAUCACCAGCAGCAGCAGACCCCUCACGAAAUGGCGUUCCACUCCUUCGCGGAGGACCAGCCGCCGCUCUCCGGAGCUCUGACGUGGCUCAACAACGCAGCUUUCCGCCAGCAGAACACCAGCUUCGGCGGCCUCCACGACGCGGGGAGAAACGACGACGUGGUCAUAUCGCCGUCCGGGAAGAGCAGCAGCUGCAGCGAUCGGAACCGGAGGGAGAUAAGCGGUUACGACGGCGGAGAAGAGGAGGAGGGGGAAGACGAGCUGGAGUGCGAGAGCGCGAGGUUCAAGGCCGACAUCGUGGGACAUCCUCUGUAUGAGCAGCUUGUGUCGGCGCACGUGUCGUGCUUGAGGAUCGCUACGCCGGUCGAUCAGCUGCCAAGGAUCGAUGAGAAGCUCUUGCAAUCGCAGCGCGUGGUCGACAACUACUCGGCGCUCCGAGCCAAUGGGGAUGUUGGAGUCAUGGAUGAGAAAGAACUUGAUUUGUUCAUGGUUAGCACUAAUUAAAUCUUAAUUAAUUUUUAAUUCCAUAUUAUUGAAAGUUUAAAACAUUUUUAAUUUCUGGAUAUUUUUAGAGUGUCGUGUAAUUAGUUGAGGUGGCAGUGAAGAAUCAUGUUGCUUAAUUCUCUAAUUAUUCCACUUUACAAGUGCUUUGGAGAAUCUUAAUCCUUUAAUUAGUAGUUUGAUUAGUGGCAUGUCUUGGAAUUAGAAUUUGUUCUGCAAAUCAAUCUCUCCAAUUUCUUUAUAAUUUCUACUAUAAUAUUAAGUCUAAACAUUUAGGUAUGUAUCCAGACAAUCGAAUCCUGGUGCGUAGUCUUGCUCGCCUAAUCUGCUGACGCCUAGUUCUUCCUUUGCUGUUCUCUUUCUUCUGUAAAUAAAUUUAGGCUUUUUAGCCAAAAUGUUCUUGAGAUUUGCAAAUCACAUUACUUUGGUCUCUGAGAUUGAAAAUCAAUAGAAAUGGUCCUGAGAUUAUUCACCAUCCAUUAUUUUGGUUAUUCCGUUAAAAAUUCCGUUAAGUGUUUAGGAGCUCUUGGCCCGAAGUUUAAGCAAUUUUCAAAGUUUUGUAACUCAAUCUCAGGAACCAAAAUGAUGUUUUAUGCAAACCUCGGACCAUUUUAGCUAAAAAGCCAUAAAUUUACGUACUUUAUAAAAGUCACAUUGUAAUUUUGUAACAAUCGAAUCCUGGUGCGUAGUCUUGCUCGCCUAAUCCGCUGACGCCUAGUUCUUCCUUUGCUGUUCUCUUUCUUCUAUAAAUAAAUUUAGGCUUUUUAGCUAAAAUGUUCUUGAGAUUUGCAGAACACAUAAAUUUAUGUACUUUAUAAAAGUCACAUUGUAAUUUUGUAACAAAAUGCUUUGGUUACGAUGUUGGUUGAGGGUCUAGCAUAACGAGAUGUUCAUAAUUUUGUUAAACUUUCGGUUUUCGUCAUCUGAUCUUUGCUCGUUGUGAUUUUGUAGACGAAUUAUGUUCUUUUGCUUUGCUCCUUCAAAGAACAACUGCAGCAGCAUGUCCGAGUUCACGCAAUGGAAGCAGUGAUGGCUUGUUGGGAGCUUGAUCAGUCUCUGCAAAGCUUAACAGGUAAUUUUUGUUUCUUUAGUUUCGAUCGUCCCAUAAAUCUUGAUCCUUUCCUCCCCAUUUCGCUGCCUUUAUCCGAAAAGUAGGAGACAGGGAAAAAGGACAAGAACAUGAAUGUUACUUCCCAUGUGCUAAACUGUUUUUGGUGUGUCCUAAAUGUGAGCAUCGUUUAUAUAAGGCUGCCUAAUAGUUGUUCUUUUAUUGCCCUUCCCCCGAAAAAACUAUGUUUAACUCUACGUGUUUAGAUAUCUGCGAAAAGAGGGAUUUUGCAAUAGCGAAACCAUCAAAACCAUCGACAUUGUUUCCAUUGUUAUCGUGAAUCCUGAGGUUGAGUUUGAGGUUGAUGUCAGUGUCGCGCUGUUAAAGACUUCAUCGGUGUGAAGAGGAAAGACGAGGGCAGAAGUUGCACUGACUUAAGUUUUUUUUUUUUCGUUGAGUCUUUUAGCUUUGAUUAGUGUCAUCACUUUGGAUUGCCUGUCUCUAUAAAUUCGGAUAUAGGAUAAGACAUCUUGUGUAGUGUCGUCAGUUGUUAUUGCUCGUUUUUGGUUGCUGAUCGUGAUCAACAUUUGUUUAUGGAUGGUUUACAGUUAAAUAUUUUAAGCUGCUUUCACAGGUGUAUCCACGGGUGAAGGAACGGGUGCUACCAUGUCCGAUGAUGAUGACCAGUUAGAUAGCGACAUCAACUCCUAUGAUGGAAGUCUGGACGGGCCAGACACCAUGGGAUUUGGCCCUCUUGUUCCGACUGAAAGUGAGAGGUCCUUAAUGGAGCGCGUAAGGCAGGAACUGAAGCAUGAACUGGAACAGGUACAAACUAUAGACUUACAGCGUAUAUAUACAUUUUCGGUGUGGACAAUUAGUGUAGCUGAUAACCUCUGCUUAUUAGGGUUACAAGGAAAAGAUCGUCGACAUUAGAGAGGAAAUUCUGCGCAAGAGAAGAGCGGGGAAACUGCCAGGUGACACAACUUCUGUCUUAAAAUCUUGGUGGCAAUCGCAUUCCAAGUGGCCUUACCCGACAGUGAGUUUGAACUUUGUUAUAAUCCCCUUGAAGCUUUCAGUUUAGCAGAUUCUUUUGUAAUAGCUACUAAUUAAGACGCUCUUUCGCUUCGAUAGGAGGAAGACAAGGCCAGAUUGGUGCAGGAAACAGGCUUGCAGUUGAAACAGAUCAAUAACUGGUUUAUUAAUCAAAGAAAAAGGAAUUGGCACAGCAACAUUUCAUCGACUUCCGUUCUCAAGAGCAAACGCAAGAGGUAGGAUUACGAUUAACAUAAUAUGGUUGUUUUUUCGAGUUAAUUUGUUUCGUAAACUUCAUAUAAACUUGUCUCAAUUUGUAAUUUGGAAAAAAAAGUAAUGCAGGUGACAUGAACAACCAACGAUUGAAGUAAAUGUCAUGAUUUUAGUCGAAAAUCUAGCAACAGAGAGCAAGGAAUUUAAUAUUUCUCGUACAGUAAAAGCUUCAAGCCUUCAAAUGGUAUGCUGCCCAUCUUUGGAUCGAUCGCUUCGAGUCUGAGGCACCCCGACACUAUCCAUGUCUUAUAGUACCAUAAUAUCAUCAAACUCUAAGCAUGUAACACGAAAAACUCGAACCAGGUAGCCUUAAUGUACUACGUUUCAGUGGAUCUAUGUAGAUUUUUUGUAUACCGAUCGCAUAUUAAAUAAAACGCUUGCUUUCUAUACAUAUUUUUAUGAAUGAGAAUGUCUAUGAAGAAUGUGAAUCUGUAAUUUUAAGGCAAAAAAUACAACUGAAAAAAGAAUACAGAUUGUUCUGUUUCUUACAGUGCAAGAAAACCUAUCGAAAAAGGAAACAAGGCAGCACAGACGACACUGAAUCCGACCUCUGGAUUCUACGAAAGCUGAUUCAUCGGUCCUGCGAACCUCUCUGCCUAAGGAACCAUCUUCAUUGGUAAAAGGGUCAGCGAACCUGCUGAAGCCAAGAGCAGCAUCGGCUUCUCUGCCAACACCUUCGUCGAAAUUGAGAGCGUAACUAUCAAUGUCGUACGACGUUGCUUUCUUUUGCUUCUUGUUUCGGCACAACCUAUUCUUAGCCUCUGUCAGCUUCUUCUUCCACCAUGUUGUCUCCUUGAGCCGGCCUCCGCCUUCUUGCUGCACCAAGUGUUGGCGUUCGUGACCAUUGUUGUUGCGUGAUCCAGAAGUCCUAAAACAACCACGAAAACCGCAAGAAGACGUAGGAGAAGUAGAAACAUCCAUAUCUGUUUUGUGUUCGCGAAGUGAACCGUGGUUUGACAUGAGCACGGUUGGUCUAGAGAGCGAGAGAAUCUGUGUUGAGAGACUUGGAGCAGAAGGGUGUUAAUUUAUAGGGGAGGGGAAGGGAAGGGAAAGGGAUACAAGAGAAAAAGGAAACAGGAAAUAUGUAUACACACACACACACAUAUAUAUAUAUAUGGAAAGAAAGAGUUGAUCAAUACUUAACAUUUAUAGAUUUUCGAGGAAAGAUUUGAUAGGGUGGUGUAGAUUUGUGGAAACAAAACAGGGAAUUCCUAAUGCAAAUCUUAGAGGGAUUUCAAAAUGCCAGGAACACAGAACUAAACACUACAUCUCAUUAUACAAUUGGAAUGACACUUGAAAAAAACUUUCUCCAAUAAUAUAAUGACGUGUGAUAUUCUGUCCUGUGUUCCGAACAUAUUGAAAAAUCUCUCCAAAUCUUCAACAUUCCCCGCCACAGUUGAUAUGCUCACCAACGCGGUGCCUUAAACAUUCCCCGCCACAACCCACACGCCCUAAGAGACGACGACUUGCUAUUGGUCAAAACAAAAGAAACGAAGACAGACCCCAAACAUGUGGAGUGCCACCGUGGUAUUUUGGAUCGAUAAUGUAAUAUUAUGGCAUUUUAAUUUGUUCUACAUCGUUUUAUUAUUUUGGAAUGUCAUGGUGGCGUAAACAAUUGCAGGGAAGUAUCUGUAUCCCCCAUAAGAAGUAAACAAUAUUGACAAAAUGUCAUGUUAAAAAUAACUACACAUAAUAUGCGAUUGGAGGAGUUCUUCUGUCUGGACCAUGUGGUUGACCGGCCAAAUACUCAUAAGAUGGGACGAGAAGGGGAUGAGUAGGCCCAAAAUACAAAAGGAGUGGACCUAUAUUCUCAUGUAAUUGACUUAAAAUAUCGUUACAGUGACAUUUCUGUUGUAGGUAAGUUUUUCCCAAAAUUUUGUAAUCGAAACCAAAACGUUUCUAUUAAGCUUUGGCGUGGUAGUAUUUUAGAUGUUACUGACAAUCUAAGUGAUCUUAAUGUCCAAUUCUGAAGUUCAAUUUAGAGUCUUCAUUAGACAAUUAUACUUUAUGGAUCUCAUUUUUCAGUGCAACUGCAAAUAGCCAAGUAACUUCCCAACACUUUAACAAGGUUUAAUCUUUGUUUCGAUUACGACUCGGGCCAAUCGAACAUGUUCCAUUUAACCCUAAUAUGUUACCAGUGUACAAAGUGACGAAACAACAACAAAGCCUUAUCCCGACAAAGAUUAAGCUUCGAUACAAUCCAAUGAUAAGUGCUUGUACUGAAGUUGGUUCAAAGGUAAAACCUAUAUGAGUUGAGACUUUUAUAAGACCAAUAUGUUUCUAUAAAACAAUAAAACAACUUCCCCAUCACUAUAAAGCAAAGCAAAUAUUAAGUUUAUCUUCCAAGGGCUCGAAACACAAAGGUACCGGUGCCGACGCCGGCGAGACAUCGACGAUGAAGCAACUUCUAAGAUCAUUUUCGAGCCUGAGACUAUGUUGCCGAGGGUUGCUGCGGUUGGGUCUGUCCUUUAGGAGGAACCUUUGCUGCCAUGGAGCGUAAUCCGUUCGCAAUUUCAGUGAAACUCAGCCUCUCGGACGGCUCUGAUGACCAGCAUCUCUCCAUCAGUGACUUCCAUUCAGGAUCGCAAGAGUCCGGUAUUGGUGGCCGCAAUGUGUUGCUCACAAUACCACCUGCAUUAACAUAUGAACAGCGGGAUAUCAGCAUCUCCGAAUCUGAGUAAAACCUCAAGGCGCCGAGCAUUGUUAACAAGUGCGAAGUUGUAUUGAGCAGUAGAAGAUACCUAUGAUAGCACCAUAGUGCAAAUCCGCAUAUGGUUCGUCUCCAGUGAGCAGCUCCCACAACAUGAUACCGAAAGAAAACACAUCGACCUAUUGUAUGCAACAAAAGAGGAGGGUAAAGAGCUAAGGAUUAAAAACAGGUCUAAGAAGCGAGUCGCAAUCAUUUGAGACGAUUUAGAAUAAAUUAAAUAAGAAAGCACAAACCUUCUCAGAAACAAGGCUACUGCUACCAUUCAACAGCUCCGGUGCCAUCCAUGGAAGUGUUCCCCGCACACCACCGGAGAUCAGCGUUUGACAUUUCACCUUAGAUAGGCCCAAAUCACCGACCUGGCAUCAGAAAGAAACCAGUGAACACAAUAUUCUAAACACGUAAACGAAUUACAGUAUGUUACAUAAGAAGCAUCUUAUAAAGCAUGUCAAUGAAAAAUAUGCGUUUUUGAAUAAAGAUGCUGCAUUUUAAACAAGUAUGUGGCUUAUAUAAGAAACGAAAGAUCAAAUCUACCACAAAACGAACCAGAAUAUGCGAAUGCAAGGAGCAAAAUAAAGUCACUACCUUGCAUAUUGGGCGGUGUGGAUCUCGAAGAUUGACAAGUAAGUUGUCACUUUUCAAAUCAAAGUGUACUAUCUUCUUUUCAUGCAGGUACUCCAUUCCGAAUGCCACAUCCAUUGCAAUCAUGAGGCGCUUGCGCCUGUCCAAACUCCUGAUAAAAUUAAAUCUGUGUCAGAUUUUUAUCCCAAUUGAAAAUUACGGACAACAAAAUGCCAAGCAAAUACAUUACUUCUCAUUUUUCUGCAAGGCAUUUCUCAGAGAGCCGUUAACCAUAUAUUCUGUCACUGUUGCCACAGAACCUCCGGGUCCGUCAAGCACAAUCCCAUAGAAAGCUACCACAUUGGGGUGGUGCAAGUCAGCAAGCUUGAUAGCCUCAUUCCAGAAAUCAUCUCUCUGUUUGAAUACAUAAACCACAACAUACGAAUUAAGUAAAAGAGUUAUGAAUGAAUGAAAGCUAAAAGUUUUAGAAACUAGUGUAACAAAAAGACAAACCAUGCGCUCUUGUUCUGAAGGCUUCCCGGAAAAACACCUAUCAUUGAUUCUUUUGAUUGCAACAUCAGUGCCCCUCCAUUUUCCAUGAUAAACGGUACCAAAAGUUCCAGAACCUAAUUCUCUCAUCUCUUCAAGGUCACUGUUCUUUAUAAUCUGCCAAAAGAAAAAGAAAUCGGUCAAUGGUACAUGGUAAUAUCACAACAUCACAAUACAUACAUAUUAAUGGAAACCAAAUUUUCACCUGCAACCGGCCUAGGCCAUCUGCUACUGGAAAACCAAGAUUUGGCUUAUCUGCAAAGUUGGAUUUGACAUCCUAAAAUAGGAAGCGGAAGUUAGAAGAUAAACAACAGGAGAGCCUAGAAUAUUUUUUCAGAGAGGGAGAGAACACGUACAAAUAAAAAAAAAAGGUCGUACCCAGUGCACAAGGCUCCCGCUUUACGCAGGGUCUGGGAGAGGUGAAUGUCGGCUAGCCUUACCCCCAUUUAUGGAGAGGCUGCUCCCAAGUCUCAAACCCGAGACCUACUGCUCAUGGGCGAAGGCACUUGCCAUCGCACCAAGUGCGACCUCUUAGAGACACGUACAAAUAAUAAAAAAAAUUCACACAUGUACAUAUAUGAAUUCUUAAAUACCUCACUUUCUGUUCUGUUUUGCAUCCCUGCAGCAUUGUUUUGAACCUCUUCAUUUCGAUUGGUUGCAUAAGCAGACUCAUUUUUAUCAUGCAAGUAAGAAUCUGAUGGCGUAGAUGACUGAAAAACACAAGCAGCUACUCCCUCAGCAACAGCUUGAAGUUCUUGCUUUAUUUGUUCUUCUGCUGAUCCUACGACAAAGAAGCAAAAUAAUAAGAAAAGUUCAUAUGAAAUAAUUAACUUAUCUAGAAAGAUCAUCACUUAACUAACCUUUGGACGACGGGGCAUGCUCUGAACUAAGAUCCCUGUUCAAAUUGCCUGGUGGCUGUUGGCCUCCAUCGUCCAUUCGCAUUUCUGUAUAUGGUUCUUUUCUCAAUUGUAUUUUGGUUGGCUUAGGAGGCAAUUGAGUAUCCUGGCACAAACUCCAAGGAUCUUGAUUGCUGAACAGUGAGUUUGAGGAGUCCUGGGCACCAAAACCAUUCGAGGUAAUACCUUCCCUCUCGUUAGAUACCAUCUUGGGCUGCAAUCUCAUAUUCUCAUCCUUCCAUUCAGGAGGAGGUUGAAUUCCAUCAGUGAGAUGGGUCAAAACAACAGGGGUUCCAUAAUUAGAUUCGUAAGAAUCACAAGGAUAUAUUCCAACUCUUGAUUGCAGAUAAGCUUCAGGAUUUCCCCAUAUAGAUUGUUUUCCUAAAUCAUAGAAUUCUGCUGGCUGUGAACUAUACCCAUGUGAGACUUCGGCAGAGGGAGAAGCUAGUACUUCGGUCGGGUUAAAGUGAUUCCUGCCUAAUUUGUCAACGAGGUUAUCCACAGCCACCUCUCUACCCCCAACUUGUGCUGUUUUGUGAUCAACGUUGUCUUCCAUUCUAGGUAUAUCCCAAGGUGAUUUACCAUGCUCCUUGUUAACAUAAAUCUCAGUGGGAUUUAUCCUGAGUGUUUCCAUCCUCCCGUCGAUUUGUCUCAAAUUAUCAUAUGCAGUUGGAGAUUCACGAACCAGGCAUUCUGAAGUUUCAACAGGUGCACCUCCAACAAGAGGUACAUCUUGAUUAAAAGGAUCGUUACCUAAAUUUUCCUGUUUAACCUGGUAAUGAAAUGGUGUUGGAUGUAGUUGAACAACAUCGUCUUGACAAUGCUUAGGAAUACUGACCAUGAAUGCACCAUCUGGUGAUUGCACAUCACCUCCUCUCUGGAUAACGCCCUGUGGAGAUGAAAUCUGAGAGAGGCAAGUCACAUCUGAAUGAGAUGUUACGAGAAGAGGAUCUACUGGAAUUUGAACCCUAGGGCGAGCCUCAACUCCUUGGCCAAAAUUACCUUCUCCCUUGUUCAUCGGCUGAGCUCGCAAAUUCUCCUCCAGCCGAGGACUAUAAUAAGUUGGACUUGAAUCAGAUACCGGGCUUCCGCCAAUGUCUCUCUGAACCUGUACCACAGUAUCAGAAUGUGCAUGAGGCAAUGCUAUCUGACACAUAUAACAGUCCUGGAACUUUGUGGACUUCUCGGGAUACACUUCCUGUUGGUGAGAUACCAAUGCAUCAUGGUAAAUCACAUGCUCUGGUGAUUGAACUUGAUGCCAUCCAUAAGCACCUCCUGCUGUUGUUGAGGGUACUUGAACCUGAUAGGAAUUAUAGCUUUGUUCAGCAGGAAGCUGGACGACCUUGGGAACAAAGGUACUCUCGCCUACAUACUUAUCCAACCGGGUCUGUUGUGGAUGGAUCAAUGGCUGAAGCACACUUGGUCUUAUAUUAACAUGAGAAGUCGAGGGAGUCAUUGUCAUGUGCACUGCAGGAAUGAAGUGAUGCGGGGUGAUGCCAGCAAUACUAUCACCGUAUUGCUGUUUGGUGAAUACAGGACCAGCAGUCCCCAAUAGGUGAGGACUUGGGAAACCCAUCUGAGGAGGAAGCUGGAGAUGGUCUGCCCGUGUAACAAAAUCUUGGCGAGGACCAACAUAAGUUUGCAGAUAAGGAGCAGUAGAUGAAAUGCCAAUUCCAGGUUGCUGCUGUGAUACUGUAACAGGCACAGAUCUUUCUAAUUCACCUUCCGGAUGAGAAGAUGGUGUUUGGGGAGGCCCAGACUUAACCACAGGAAUGACCAAUGGAAUUGUAGAAACUUCAGAAUAAAUUGUAGGCUUAGGAUCCACAAAUACCAGCCUUGUACUAGCAUCAUGAGAAGUAGAUGAAUCCCUUUUCGGUGAUAACUUGCCCGGUGAUGGAAGUCCAGUAUUGUCCCCCUGACCAGGAACUGAGUUAUCAACAACAUCAGUUCCACUAAAAUCAGAAUUUUGAGUUGAAGUUGCACUUGCAUUGCUCUCCUUCCUCACGAUACCAACACUCACCCCAUCCAUAAUCCCAUUGACAGCAUCAACAUAUCUCUGCUCACUAUUAUGUAAAUCCCCAAUUUGUACGACACCAGAUGGAUCAACUUCAGAAGCAGAAAACAAAAAUACCCUCAACUUUGCUGAACCAUCUGGAGAUCUCUCGACCAACUUCCCAUAUUCAUCCUUCAUAUUGUCAAGAUCAUCAGCACAUGAAACCGACACCAGUGCAUCGAGAUCCUCAUCGGGGAGCUGGUAUUUAAUGACCACAGGUUGCCCAUAUGUAUCCACCAUCUUCUGCACUAGCUCAUUGAAGCUCACAUCUCUCCGAACACUAAUCCUUGUCUGCCCUCCAACAUACCUCAACAUUCCAUCACUUGGUCUGGGCAAAAUCUUUCCGCCAAAGCUGCACAGAAGCUUUAUUUUCUUCCCAUACACAGAAUCUUCCCCACCGUCAUCACUUGCUUGUUCAGUCCCACUCCCACGACUGCCCAAAUUGGCAUUGUAACCAUAUCCCGAUGUCAAAUCAUUCCCAGUCUGAUCAGCAACAUUGCCACUGACCUUAUUGCCUAAAUUGGGAUUAUAACCGAACCCAGCUGCCAUAUCAUUAACUCCAUGAUCUAGACCACUGCCAGCACUCCUAUUAAACAUAUUCGAACUACAGUCAGAAGGCCUAGAAGCAGUUGUUGUAGUAUCAGAGCUUACAAGAUCAACAUCAUUUCCGCCGACCCGACUGCCCAAAUUAGGACUGUAACCAAUUCCAACACCAACGCCAGGGUUCACACCUGGAUGUCCCACCGGCACAGCAAUGCGGGGGCCAGGGCACCACGGGGGCACCCCCGACACGGCAUUUCCAUACCCUAGGCCAACAUGCCCAGCCUCCGAGGCAACCGGUGCUUGGUAAAAAACAGGUAUUGAAUGAGGGCUAUUAACUUCACGAACUGGGUGGCUGGGGAAAAAUCCAUCGGGGUUUCGAGCAGCUGUAGUAGCCUGCGCAAUGCGGGGUUCUUCGGCCACAGUUCGAGCUACAUUUAACUGUCUCAGUUCUUUGGGAAACGAAUUUUGAUCAAACGCCAUAUCUACAAUUAAUUAAAAAAAAAUUCAAAAUUCAAUCAAGGGUCUGCAAAAUCAAUCCUAAAUAAGAAAACCCACGAUCAAAAUUCGAUAAAGCUAAAAUCUUUUCAUCUAGAUUGCGAUAAGCUAAGGUCUUUUCAUCUGGGAUUUUCAUUUUGUUAAUUCUAAUUUAAGUACUGAAGCUUUUCUAAUCAUCUGCUAUAAACCCUAGCCAGAUUGCACCAAACUAUAACAAAAUUUUACAGCUUUAUAUCCAAAACAGGGGACAAUAAACACAAAUAAUUGAACAAAAACACACACACAGAGAGAGAGAUUAAGUACCAGAUUGAAACGUUGGCGUUUGGAGGAGAGAGAGAGUGUGUGGAAGAGAUAAGAUGGAGGAGAAGAAAAAACACAGAGAGAGAGAGAGUCCGAGUCGGUGGAGUGCAGUUUCCAAACUCCGAAGGAAUCAAAGCUCACAGUGACAAGCGUCCCCUUAGCAGCUCCUUGGCACUUUCUCGCUCUAAAAAUCUGGUCCUUUUAUUGUUCCAUCCAUCGUUGAAUAUUUUCCGUGGUGGGAUUUUAUUUUCUCGGGAAAAUGAUGUGUUUGUGAGGAAAAUGGCAGAGUGGCUGAAGAGAAAAAUUAUGGUUUUUGGUUUGAAGUCUUGGAGAAGAGAGAAGAGAGAAGGUGACGGGGGAAGCCACGUGGAAUGUUUCAUGCAAGAUUAUGAUUUAUCAGUAAAAAAGUGUAGUAUUAUGUGUUGUUGUUGGGAACCUAGGAGUACUUUAUUUUUGAUAGUGACAUAUGCAAAUAAUAUAUAAACAUAUAUAUAUAUAUAUAUAUUUUUUUUUUGAAUUUAAUGGCCUUAUCGAUGAUUCUUUAAUAUGUCGAAAAUAUAAUCUGGUAUAUUAAGUAUUAUGAUACAAAUAAUUAAAUAUUUAAAAAUAUUUUAACUAUUAAUAUAAUGAGACUUGAUAUACCAAAUUAUAUAUUUAGUGGGCUUAAAAAUUUAUCGACAUUGUGGCAAGGUAGGAGAAGACAAAUACAAAACGAAAAUCUUGGACGGUCCUUCAAAUACUACAUUAAAUUAUACUAUGCAUACAACAUAUUAUUUAAUUAAUAAUUUAUGAUAGAAUUGUUGGUAGUAAUUUCGUAUCUACUUAUGGUUACUUAUUUUAACUGCAAUCAUGCCAUUUUAAUCACAACUUAAUUGAAGCCUUAACUUCUUAUUUUUGUUCGUGAUCAAUCUUUAAUUACUUUGAUCGCAUGAUCAUGGUCAAUAUAAAUCAUGAUUGUUUUACUAAUUAGGGUUUCAAUCGUUCAAUUUUAUUUAAUUUUUUGUUAAUACAAAAAGUAAUGAAUAUUAAACACAUGCCAUUAGAAAAUUAAAAAAAGAUAAACAUAAGUUAUGAGUUUAUGUUAUAGCAUUACCACUGUUUUAAAAAUUCUGCCUAGUGCUAUCAAGGUCAUGUCUAGGCUCUGAACGACAAGCGACCACUUUGAUGAUUCAUAGACGAUUGAAAAUUAUGAAAAAACGCCUAGACUUGUUUAAGUAACUAUUCAUACUUAAGAGUAAAUUAUUAAAAGAAAAAAUGUAUGUCUACAUUCGACGAUAGAACUUACUGUAAUUCUUAUGAACUAAAGUAUUUACAGUAAGAAAUAAUUAAGUUAAUGCAUGCCAUAGAUUGUUGUAUACUAUAACUUACCGUAACUUUUUAUUUAUCCCGAAAUUGCUAACUUCUUUCCUGGUCUGAAUAGGGUAACUUCACAAUAAUUGGAUAAUUCUUGGUCCACUAUAUUUUUCUGGAUUCAUAUCGACCGUUUGAAGGACAUUUUCGACUUUCAUCGAAUCGGUGGGUGAUGACACAUCAUCAAAACUGGAAUUGCGAUCCUCUGAAUUUCUGUGUUCGAGAUUAUAUAUUCUGAGAAAUAAAACUAUAAGAAAUUUUAUUUGAACUUAUAUAAUCUCUUUCAAACUUUAAAUAUGAAUUGUCUUUCUUACUCUAUUGCAUAAUUACCGUCAGGUACAAGAUUAAAUGAACAAUAAAACCAAAAUUUAUCAAUAGACCCAUAUAUACCCAAUCAUCAAUCUACUUCUUGGUACCAUCUGGGAAUGUGUCGCGCCUUCAUCGCACUAGCUCGAUGUUACUUAUGAGCUUUUAUAUGCUUAUGUUAUUGUUUAUGGAUUCGAAGCAACCAAGGAUUCUUCAAACUUCAGAACACAUGAAUGAAAUGCUGAUUCAACGGACCAUGUGAAACUUUUGGAUUUUGUACUAAAUAUUGGAGGGAUUGGCUGAUCCAAUUUUGAUCAUUUGCAAAAAAACGCAUACUGAUUGAACAAAAAAUAAAAUAAAAACAUAUGGGAUUUAAAUAUUUAAUUUUUUUUAAUCAUCUAUAUGGGAUUAAGCAAAAUCAACAGAUGAGAUUAAUUAAAACAGAUAUGGGAUUGAGCAAAAUCAGCAAAUAGAAGGAUUACGCAUGAGACAAAUAUGUGGGAGAUAUUGUUGUCUUUAUGCCUUGAAUGAGUUUCAAAACACGAUUUUGGUUUUUUAUUUUUUAUAUGGGUGUAAAGAUAAAUUUAUGUAUCAAAUUGUGUUUGUGAGGGUAAUUUAGAUAGUAAGUUUGGGUUUAAAGAUAUAUUAAUAAUUUAGUUAAAAAUAAUAUGGGUGGAGGGAGUAAGUUGAAUGUAAAAAAAUGUUGUAUGGAUUCAAAUAAAAUUUCUAAAACUAUUCAUUUUAAACUCUUAUUAUCACACUAACUCACUGCACACAAAUAAAGCAUCUGAAUCUCUCAUACUAACAAUCCAAAUCCCUUAAUUCUUGGCUUUCUAACACCAGAGAUUCCGAUAGAUUUUCAAUUCUCAAAACUGGGAGGAUAUGAGAUAUAUUUUCCUUGUUUUUUAUAAUUUUUUAAAGGUAUAAAAAGUUCAACAUCAAAGAGGAAUAAAUCUUAAUUUAUAAGAAAAGGUGUGACAUCCGACAUCGCCCAGGGGAGUUGAUCAUGUACCUUAUAUGUAUAUUCCCAUCUCUACCUAGCACGAGGCCUUUUGGGAGCUCACUGGCUUCGGGUUCCAUCAGAACUCCGAAGUUAAGCAAGUUCGCACGAGAACAAUUCUACGAUGGGUGACCCACUGGGAAGUUGUCAUCUGAGAUCCUAGAAACAAAAACCGUGAGGGCGUAGUUGGAGCCAAAAGCGGAUAAUAUCGUGCUACGAUGUGGAACGGGUCUGGGAUGUGGUGGACCUCGGGCCGGGAUGUGACAAAAGGAAAGAGAAAAUAAUAUGGAAACUAACAUCAGCUAGUCUUUUACUUGUUUGGAUGAGGUUGGCCCAAAUUCUUUGCUUGAUAUUAAAACAAAAAGUAAAUUAAACUUCCAUACGCGGUUUCAUUAUUCUUUUUAAGAUUGACUAAAAUUCAAGAAAGAAACAUAUAUUUUGGGUAAAGAAUGAAUGUUAAAAAAGUUAAGCAUUUUGAGUUACGACUUUGUGUCUCACAAAUCACAAACAUGUUCACCAUUGAGUGUUAUGUGGUUUGAUUGGAAGGAAGGCAAUUUCUAUGAAAUUGAAGAAACUUGCACCAAACAGGUUUCGAGAAUUAAUCCUAAUUUUAACACGCAGAGAACUAACCUUAUUUCAAUAGAUAAGGAAUCCAAGUUCUUCUGCUAAACUUUAAGGCAUAAAAUACUAAAUAUAACCUUACAUAUUAAAAAAAAAACCAAAUUAACUUUUCCAAAAACAUGAGCACGAUGUAGCAAUAUUCCAAACCUAUCAAGCGGCAGUAUGUGUUGGUAACUUUUCGCGUAAAGUAGCUUUAUUAUUCUGGACCUUGACAUUUUUCAUCUAAGUAUUUACCACCGAAAGGCUCAGCACCAAAUUAACGAUAUUAGUCAAACAAAUUCGUGUCGGUAUUAUAAAAGUACACUAACUAACCAAUCGAUAUUACAUCAUGCUUAUGUGAUUCUGGUAUCUAUGGCGCACUGAAAGUCAGGUAAAAGAAAGAGAUCUGUAUAGUACUUGGCUCGAUCGUCUUUAGCAAGUAGAUAAUCCUACCCCUGUUAAGUUGUCGUUCCUCCAAUAAGCAACAAGGACGUGAAACCCUACAUUUUUUACUAUAUGUAUCCUUCCAUGUUUGAAACACCCUAAUCAUUUUGCUAUAGAUAAUAGAGGUGUGACAACGAUAAGCAUCCCAGUACGUAGUGAAGAAAAUGAGUUUCAGAAUCUGUCGUGUUUGCAUGGGCUAAUUGGUCCUGGUCGGCCAUGCUUUGUCGGUUUUAUGCAGAUUGAUUCUUGUCAUUCAUGUUUAUAAAGACGGAUAAUUGAACACGACUAACUCUAACAAUUCUCGAGAAAAUAAUUGAUUAAUUGUGGGAUUGUGUGAGAUGGAAAGUAGACCUCAACUUGCAUUGUUUUAUUUAUAACAUGUGCCCGCGCGCGCGCAAUAUGCCCUAUUGGCUGCAGCGUAGAGAUAAAUUUAUAGUCCCAAACAGUUAGGACAGUAGUAGGCCAAUAGAGGAUAAAGAAGUGGUGAAUAAACAACUGGCACCACAUGGAUGGAGACAGUAUAGUUCCCUUGUGGGAGAAAUCAGAACAUAAUUAGCAAACUAAUCGGUAGUGUAAACAGUAAUUCAGCUAGCAUAGAUUUCUCCUGAUCUGUACAUUUGACCAAUCCUAGGCUCCUAGCUAUCUAGUAAAUCUCAUGUUGAUGAAUCCGAUGAUGUUCAAUAUUACAACAAACGUAGAAGAAGGAUCAACAAAGUGCAAGUGCAUUUAAUUAACUAAUUGCUAUUUAUAUGUUUAAUGAGAAAUGUUAAGGAGACUCUCAAAAGUAAAACUAUUUGUUAACUCUAUGUCAUCUCAUGUUUUUGAUACAAUGUUUUAUAAUAUUGACACGGAAAUUGACGUUAAUUAAAUUGUCAACUGUGAGAUGACAGAGAUUUCAUCAAGAAUUAAUCUCACUUUGAGAGAAAAUCUCCUGAGCAUUUUUCAUGUUUAAUUACUAGGUUAGGAAUAUUUAGGAAGGUCAUGAUCUAAUGAACAGUUGAAUAUCAGAGUGCGGAACAAACAAGAAGAACAAAAUAAUAAGAAUUUUAUUAAACUAACUGAAUGCCGAAACGGCUACAAAAACCCUAACAAGCUACAUUGUGAAUAACUUAUUUCGAAUGAAUAACAAAUCACUCUAUUUAUAAUAAACUAACCAUAAACCCUAAUGCUAACGGGCUAAGCCCAGAAAACAAAAUAUUAAAGUAAACCUAAAUACUAAUAUUCUACAACACCCCCCGUCAAACUCAUGGCGGUAUACGACAUGGGUUUGCAAACAAGCAGAUGCGGACUGGCUCUGUUAGGCGGACAGACAGACAGGCAGGCUCUGCCGCAACGCGGACAGACAGACAGGCAGGCUCCGCAACGCGGACAGACAGACAGGCAGGCUCCGCAGCAACGCGGACAAACAGACAGGCAGGCUCCGCAACGCGGACAGACAGACAGGCAGGCUCCGCAACACGGACAGACAGACAGGCAGGCUCCGCAACACGGACAGACAGACAGGCAGGUAUGCAAACUUGACUUGACUUGACUUGCGAACUGGUGAACUUGCGAACUUGACUUGACUUGAUUCUUGACUUGACUUGACUGGCAAACUGGCUAGAGUUGAGAGUAUGGAAAGAACCCGUCACUAAACGGACGAGGUUUCCAUAUCUCAAUUAUACCAACAAACAACGAAAACAAUUCCAAACAAGGCAACCAACAAUUCUUGCGGGCCUAAAACAAACUUAAACCAUAUUUUUGACUUUUGCCCGUGUGGGCCUAAAAAAAAAACUCCAAACAAUUUUUUUCUCUUCUCUUUUUUUUUUUUUUUUUUUCCUCUCCUUUUUUUCUCUCUUCUUCUUUUUUCUUUCCUUUUUCUCUUUUCUGCUGGGCUUCUUCAGAACUGCAGCAACAUGUUUCUUGGUCUUGUGCGGCGGUGAGUUCAUAAGGCAGUGCAACAAGGAUGUGAUGAGCAGCGGCAACCUGGGUGGAUGGUGAUUGGGUGCGCGGGACGACGGCAAGGGAUCUGGGUGCAGGUGCAAGCAGGUUGUUCCGGUGGCAGCGUGGUGGUGAUCUGAUGAAGAAACGAUGGCUGGCAGGUACGGUUCAGGCAGAUGCGAGUGCAGGCUGGUGGUCUGGUGCGAGAUGGUGGUGCGGUGGUUUAAGCAGGCGAGGUGCAGGGUUCAUGUCACAGGGAACUGGACGCAGUGGAAGGUUCAGGUUUUUUGUUUUCUUAUGCAAACUAAACCAACAACAAAAAACUAGCAUACAAACUGACAAAUAACAUACCAACCCGACCAAGCAGAUUAAAUCCCAAAGGAUUGAACCUGCUCUGAUACCAAGUUGAAUAUCAGAGUGCGGAACAAACAAGAAGAACAAAAUAAUAAGAAUUUUAUUAAACUAACUGAAUGCCGAAACGGCUACAAAAACCCUAACAAGCUACAUUGUGAAUAACUUAUUUCGAAUGAAUAACAAAGCACUCUAUUUAUAAUAAAUUAACCAUAAACCCUAAUGCUAACGGGCUAAGCCCAGAAAACCAAAUAUUAAAGUAAACCUAAAUACUAAUAUUUUCCAACAUGAACUGCCACAUAUUUGGCCGGGACAAAAUCGAAGUAGCUAGCUCUUUCGUUGUUUGACAUCAUCUACCUCAGGGUGCUUGCUUCUUGUUUUGCAGCAGCAGGAAUUGCUUAAUUAUUCGCUGUCAAAGUAUCACGAGUUCUUGCAGAUGUGAGAGAGUAGCAACAUUAACAAGAACGGAUGUGCUCUCCUAUGUUGUUAUGCACUUAAGUUAAAUAUAUUUUUCCUCACAAUUAAUAAAAUAUCAGUCGUAUAAAACCAUUGCUUUAUUUCUUUACAAGGUUUUUAACCAUCCUGGAAAGGCCACCUUUUUUUUUUUUUUAUAAUUAUUAUUUAUUUUAAAUACAAGACAAUUUAGAGUAUGGGCAUUAGCCAUUUAACAUUUUUAGACCCGCCAUAUGCCAUUUAAUAAUUUAGAGUAUGGGAAUUAGCCAUUUAAACUACUCAUGUGCCCCCUCUCCUUCAUUGGAUUGUAGUAUGGGCAUCGUCAUCUUCAUUCACUACUUACGCCCCCUCGUAGUAUGGUCGUCUUCUUCAUUUACUAUUUGCCGUAUCAAAUCUGGGCCUGGGUCGACUACGUACGCGUGCAUGCAUGCAUGCAUUAAUGCGUGAAAAUUGAGCAAUAGAGAAGCUACGCGCGAAUUGCAAUUGUAAUGAACUACACAUGCUGGGAACUUCUGCAAAUCGAAUUGAUGGGGUGAAAUUAAUCAUGCAAACUCAUUCAGAUUCUAUUAAAUUUCUUUAUUAUUUGAAAUUUUCUGAUGAUCCAGUGAUAUAUAAUUAAGUUAUUCCCAAUAUAUAUAUACUUUACAGCAAGCAUUCAUUCCCAAAUUUCCCAGCCAAAAUAUACUUCAGAUUUAACCUAAUUCAGAACUAAUCGUUCGCAAAAGAAAAAAGUUUGCAGAAAAAUAAAUUGAAGGUAAAAAAAACAUAGCAACAUUAGUAACCGUGCCAAUAUAUACACCCCCAUGAAAAUUAAUUAACAAACCAUAUUUACGUUUAUGUGUAUUAUGAAACCCAAUGAUUAAUUAAUUAUUAAGAACGGAUUAAUUGCUGAGGUCUUGCCUUUGGAUCAUACGCUAGCUGUAGGCAGUUAUCUCCUUGGACGCAGGGGGAGAAGCCACAGAGUCCUGCGAUGUUCGAGGCGGCGAAUGCGGUAAUCGGGAGGAGAAUCCCAAGAGCGGGUCAUCCUCGAGGUUGGACUCCUCGUGAUCAAAGUUGAGGGCGUAGCUGAGUGCGUCAUAUUUGAAAUCGGCUGAAUGAUGCCUCCGGCCCGCGCGGCCAUGGCCAUUGCCACGUCCAUGCAUGCGCCCAAUCCAAUUUCUGCACUUGUCUUUCAAUUCUGCAAACUCGUAAUGAUUGUUGUGGUGGUGGUGGUUGUAAUGGUGUUGGGGGUGGUGAUGAUGCCUAGACCGCGAGGACCGGGGAUUAGGGGAGAAUGAGGAGGUUUGCACGAGGCUGACAUUAUCAGCCUCAUGCGGAGUGGGAGGCGCCGUGAGGGCGCCGUGGUGGUGAGCUUUAGGAGUAGGGAAGCAUGGGAUGAUGCAGAGGGAGGAGCGGAGCUUUUGUUUGAGGGAGUUUGGGGAGCAGGGUUCGUGGUGGUUCUCCAUUAUUUUGAUUUGUGUGGAGAGGUUAGGGGUGGUGGUGGUGGUAUUUGUGUUUUUAUUUGGGAGGAGGAGGAGGCCCCGUGGAGAAGGUGCAAUGACGGAUGAGGACACGUAGAUUUCCGGAAUUCAUGGGAUGCUUUUGGGGUUUCUGGUCAUUUGACGUUGUUCAGAGAUUAUCGCUUUUUAGGGUCUUUUUUAUUUUAUAUUUUUUUCCUUUCGAUAAAUCUGAAAACCAUGUUGGGCCAGAAUUUGAAGGUUAAUAUUGUCGUCCAUUUGCAUGACUUAUGGGCUGGGCUCGAAUACAAAAUUGGAAUGUGAGCUUGAACAUAGCAUAGAUUUUAUGGUGUGAUUAGUUUUUCUUGUUGCCCAAUUAAGAAAACUACGUGCUUAUGAGAUGAGAUUUGGUGCCGAUGUGGUUAAGCGAGUUGAUUUUUUUUUUUUUGGUCAAACGAUAAGUUUUGUUAGAUUAGUCAUUGAUGGGGUUCGAACACACGCUAUCAUGUAAGGGCUCAACACAUUUUCAUCAUUGUGGUAAAGAGCCACUUGUGUUAAGCGAGUUGAUUAGGACUGUGUUUUUUUUUGUACAUGAGUUCGAAUUUUCAUUAUUAUAAGUUAAGAUUAGUUUAGAAUAUCACAUUGUUGGACAAAAACAAAGGAAGAUUUGAGUAAUCCAUUUGAAUUUUUGUUUAUUAAUUUUCUUUAAUUUAUUCGAUCUAAGAGCUGAAGAUUAAGAAAAGUAUAUGAAAGAUAAAAAUAAGUGUCUUUUAAUAUUAGUUUGUAUGAUCCUUAGAACCCAUGGUGUGUUCUUCCUCACAUGAUAAGAUCUUUGUCCAUAUCCUUUGUGUAGUAAAAUAUUGUAGAAGUGGGGUUGGGGUUGAUACGUUUGUAUUGUUUAUUGAGAGAAAAUAUACUCACUCCUGACAUUUGUGAUUCUCUACACCUUGUCUUGUUUUUAACUUUGAAAAAGAUUCACUUCUAUUCAAUUUUGAUAUUAUUUAUUGAUAAAUUUGAUCAUUUAUGAUAUAAUUUCUUUAAAUAGUCGAUUUUAUAUGUGGGGUAAGACGCCAUUUGUGUGUACAAUCAAAUUGACUUUCAGGUUAUAAGGACAAAGACGUCUCAUUAUCACAAUGAAUGAGACCACGUGGAUUGGAGAUUGGACUUACGUGCGACCCGAUAAUACCCUCAUAUAAUGCAGCCCGUUCAUUUGUGAGAGUGUCUGACCAUCUAGCUGGUCAGACUGCUCUACUCACAAUUCUGAAAUAAAAUUUAAUAGUUAAAACACCUGUUUCAUUGAAGCCAAACUUUUCCCCCUCUUAAUUCUACUUGAUUCAUUGAAAUAGUGCAAAAAAGAAUGUGCAAAUUCACUACCCUUUUUACCUAAACACAAAAACAGAAGAAAUGAAGUACUCAACAAAACCAUUCACUGCAGCCGAGAAAAGACAUUUUAUUUACUAGAAAGCCCAAUGAAACAUUACAAGAAGAGAUUUGGUUGAUCACGUGGCUCACCCUUGUCCCUUAAUAAGUGCCAGGUUUUCAGUUCAUAGCAACACGCAGCACCACUGUCUCAUUCGACACACACCUCGUGGACUUGUUGGAAGCUUUCGGUUAAGUUGCACUGAAACUCCCUCAACCUUUCCAUCCCAUGUCUCUCACCUUUUCUUUGUUUUGUUUUGUCUCCUCAUCUUUUACUUUUCUUUUGCUCAUUUUCGUUGAAGAAUAUAGCCCCACAUCGAAAACCUGACUGCAGUAAACACUAUUUAUUUUUGUUUUACCAGUAGUAGUAGUAGGCCGUUGAACCGUCUCUGAAACUUUAACGGUUUUCACUGGUACAUAAUUGAGAGGAGAGAGAUGAAGAUGAUUGAUGCAGAUCGUAUAUACAACCAUCAAUGGUAUGGACCCCUCUUUUGUCUGCCACCAUAUUUUGUUUCCAUCUUAUUGUUUAACUUCCCUCUUCUUCUUCUUCUUCAUUUCUUUGGAAAAUAUUUCAGGACCAAGCAGCUUUUCAUGGUGGAAAAACUGUAUCAUUUAUAAGAGAAAUAUAUACAUAUAUAUAUAUAUAUAGAGAGAGAGAGAGAGAGAGAGAGAGAGAGAGAGAGAGCUACACUUGUUUUCUUUGUCGGUUUUGAGUUGUUAUUUGGAGGUUGAAAUUAAUGGCUGGAAUGCUUCCUGGUGUGGAAUGCGCUCGGAGGAGACGAGUCCAUCAGAGCGGAGAGUCACCGUGCGUCGGCGGCAUCCAUGGCAGCACCAGGCGCUCUUCUUUCUGUUUGUAUGCUAGCAACCAUGAAUCUCACCACACCUCCACCUCUUCACUGGUAAUUCUAUCGCUCUCUGUGUUUUUCGCUCUCUCAUUUUCUUGGAAGCAUCCGAUUUUUCUUACCCUCGAAAAUGAAUGAAUCAAACAAGAAUCAAUCGAGGAAAAGAAGAAGAGAGCGCAGAAGGAGAAACGAGAAACUGGAGUGUGAAAAUCGCUGUCCUACCGAUUUAAAUUACAAGCAAAUAUAAUUUUCUCCUGUUGUAUAUGGAUUAUUUUUCAUGAUCAUUGUUUCAAUUUGCAUGUUUGAAUCAUUAAUAACAGUAUUAAUUUAUUGGACACAAUAGCAAAGAAGCAUACUGAACCAAGCAUACAUGGAUGAGAAGCUGGGAGUGGAAGCCAGAGAAGCCAAGGGGAGAUUAGAUGAAAGACUGAGAACACAAAGAAAACCACAACCCAAAAGGUAAUUAAUUUACCAAUAUGUGGUCCGGCUAUGAAACAAAUUGUUGCUGACACAUCAAUAAUGCCUCGAUAUCCAUGUUAUUGAUGCGUUCUUGACAAUAUCAAUGAAACAGUUGUUCCUUCAUGCACAUAAAAUUUCUUAACAAUAAUGGUUCUUGCACUAACAUACGCGACGGGAAUAAAUUUCCUCUCAUUCUUUUCUCCUUCUGCAAUACCUGUUUAUUUUUGUCUCUCGAUUUUCGAUAUGUUUUAACUAUGUGUUUUAUUAUAUUUGUGAUAAAUUUAGGCAUACUAAUGGUGGUAACAAGGGACUGAAAUGUGUGGAUGGAGGAGGAAGAUCAUCUGUCUUGCUUGGGGAGUUGCAGAAAGAAGUUUACGGAGCAAACAAGAGUAGUAGUAGUACAAGUGGGUCAAAGAAGUUCAGCUGGUCAAAGCUGACCUGGAAGUCAUCGGACCAGGAUGAGUGUGCAGUCUGCCUGGAGAGGCUCAGGCCAGGUGAGACCCUGGUGCACCUGCCCUGUGCCCAUAGGUUCCACUCUGGUUGCAUGGUUCCAUGGCUUCACAACAAUGCCCAUUGCCCCUGUUGCAGAAUGGAGAUUAUCUCCUAGUAAUUGUAUUGGUAAUUUGGUAAAUGCAAAUUGUAAAAUAUAGAUUGAGCUUGCAGUUGCAGUUGUAGAGUUGGUUUGAAGUUUGAACAAUUAACUUUGUGGUGCUAAUUGUUUGGUUACAAUAUGUUUUUGUUAAAGUGAAUAGUUGCCAAGUAGUCUUUGUGUGAGUAGAUAGUUUAUGCAAAUUUGUGGGAGAUUAUAAUUCCACACAUUAAUCUUGAUGUAGGACAAGAUAUGGGUCAAUUCCGACGAAAAAAUAUCAAGAAAAUAAAAUGUUUUAGAGUUUGGAAAGAAGAAUUAAAGUUGGGCUAUAUCAGAUUUAAUUAACAUCGCGACAGAAAAAGUAACAAGAAAUAUUAUCGUGCUAGAAUUGAGAGUAAUAUGUCCUUUUUGAAGAGAAUGCAAGAAGAACAAGACUCAUGGUUAUAAUAUGAGCCCGUCAUGUUUACGGCCAUUCGAGGUUGUUUAAACUCCCAAAACAACAUUUUUAAAGUCUAAUAAAACAACCUUUCAUGUCGUUUAAUUUACUAAGACCCUGAGCUUCCCGAGGGGUUGUGUUUGUGUCUUUUUAAGUCGUUUGGCUCCUAAUGUAAUGUAUCAAUUCAAAAAAUAAUCAAACAACCUUUCGAUUUUAUCCAUCUAUGAUGGAUUCCAAAAACCUUGGUUCUUCAAGAUUUACGUUUGUAAUCCUUAUAUGCUCGUGUUGCGUCAAAUCUCUUCCACAUCUUUCGGGAAAAUGCUUGACUAGUUAUAUGUAGCGUUUCUCAUAACAAACAAAUCUCAAUCUGACUUUUAUAAACGAACUUUUUCAGUUUUUAUUUUUGCAAGUCACUUUAGUAUAUGUGAUAGUCUACAUAAGGAAUAACUCUUUAAUUAUUGUAAAGAGUUAAACAUUAUUCCAAAAUUCUCAAUGAUUUCCAAAUUAUUGAACCAACAUGUGAUCUCCAAUACAAAAUUUUAAGAGGUGCAAUCCCUUUUGUGAAUGAAUGUAAUUGCACUACAUAUCACUAUCCAUCCAUCCAACCUCCCCACCUUGAAAUUGAAUAUCAGAUGAGAGAAAAGGCUCCACUCAUGUGACGGGUGGGACAAGAACAGGUGAAUUAUAGGACAGUCUUUGCUGUCUUGGUCGACCUUUCUCUUGUUUAGUGGAAAUCAUUUGUUCUUGCACUAAUCAAAUGUUAAUACCAAUCUUCGCUUCCAAUUAAGGGAGAUCAUGGUGAGAUCAUAACAACUUAAGUCGCGAAAAAGAUGGGCAGUAGUGGAUCCAUGAGUUUUUCGUUAAUAAGUGAGGUCAUAAAAGUUUGGUGCGGUGUUCUUACUUAAGUAUUUUUUUGGUGGGUUUUUUUGGUGCGGUGUCGCUUGAGCCUUCAGAGACUGAGGAACGAGGAUGGAAAUUGAGUGACGUGAGUGAAUUUGGGUGAAAUAGAGGAUAAGGGAAGCGUACUGAAUGGGACACAAACGCAAACCUAAGAAUAGAAAAGCUAGAAUUCACUAGAGAUUGGGAUAAACCCGAAAGAUUUUUUGUUCAUUUAUGAAUCAAUACAUUACACUGGGAGCCAAAUGGCUUAAAUAGACUUAAUUUGACUUUGGGAAGUUCGUAUCAAACCUUGUGAAGUUCAUAGAAAGUCUAAUGAAAUACAAAAAUAUUGAUUAGAUUGAAAAAUGAAAAGUCUGAUUUUAUUACCAACUUUAAAAUGCUGUUUUGGAAGCUGAAACGACAUCAGAUGGUUAAAAUCUGUUAAGGAAUUUUCAAACCUUGUGAAGUUCAUAUCUUGUCCUACAUCAAGGUUUUGGAUAAAAAUAAGAUUUGCAGCCUUGCUUCAUCCUGUUUUGUUUAGCUGUUGAGUUGGCAAAAUCCGAGUCAUUUUCAUUAAACAAGUUUGCCAUAAAAAUGGAGUAACAAGUUAAGACUAAACCAGAUAAAAGAUUCGGUUCUCUCAAACAAGACCGAAAAAAUAUCAAUAAAAUAUAUUCUAUGCUUUGAAGGUGGAAUGUCAUUUUCUCCUAUAAAAAUGAAGCAUGCUAACUUGGAUUUUAUCCUAAUUUGGGUAAAAUCUUCUUCUUUUCCUACCCUAAUCCUUGUUUUUGUGUCACGACUGGCUAGCUGGAGGUCACUAAAGAAUGGACCCAAUUUAGCUAAUUUAUCUUUGUCUUGAUUAUAUAGAUGGAUAAAUGAUUAGGCAAGGAUUGAUAAACUUUGAUUAAUUAUUCGUUGAUUGAUUGGAGUGACGCAAGAGUCCAAAACUUUUCAAAGUUUUCAAUGUGAUGUGUGACUAAGACAUAACUCGGAAAGGAUGAGCGGCACGAAUAAGGUUUCUUUAUGUCCAAUCAAGACAAUGUCGCGAUCGAAAUUGAGCCGAAAUUACAAGCAGUAUAAAUUUUGAAAAUUAUACAAGUUUUACAGUGUAGGGUUACUAUGUGAAGAAAAAAAAACCACGCUUUUAUAAAACUUUAUUUUUCAGCCCACUCCAGUUUACUGUUUUGUAUUCCUUCAAGUUUUAGUACAUAUUUCCUGGUGCGACAAGAGUUUGUGGCGGUUUUGACGAUCUUGACACAAUGUGGGAAUUCAUAUUUUUUUAUUUUAUAUAUAUCCAUCUUGUGUGGGAUGAGAAUUUAGUCUUACUUCUUGACCAUUUAUCUAUGCUCUGACACUCUCGUAUGUAUAAAUAGGUUCAUAAAAGAAAAUCAAUAAAAAAUAAAAAUAAAAAUAAAAACUUUUGCCAAGGGGAAGGCAGCGAACGACGCCGUUCGGUGGACCAAUUAUUUUCAUUAUUUUGGCACCUUUGCGAAUUUUACCAUUUUAGACUCUUCCCGCAACGGCUAGUUUCCUAGUGACCGUUUUCCCGUCUCCCAAAUUUCAAAUCUGCAAUCGACCUUCAACCCACCAUUAAUCUUCUUCACAUACCGCAACUCCCAGAAAUCUCCUUUCACUUUUCGAAAAACACCCGCAAAACCAAAUCCAAAUCCAAGGCUCUGGCAACUUGUCGAAUUCGAUCUCCGUUAAACCCACUUGGCAAUUCAAAUCAAGGACCCAGAAUUUCAAAAAUGGUAUAUUCAUACGCGCCCGCGUACUACUCCACAAUCCACGACUCCAUGACCUCCCUGUGCAAGUCCAUUCUUCCCUUCAGCUUCAAGAAGCGGCGGUUGCCUGCGGCGGAGCAGAGGCUUUCGAAGCUGCAGUCGGAUAACCUCAAGUGGCAGCAGGACUCUUUCCACCAGAUUCUGAACUUGAUGGGUCUUCACAAAGAAGGCAUCUUGGCUGAGACCGAGGUGUCCGCUUUCCGAUUGCAUUUGCUCGAAACCCUCAUUGCCUCUCAGGUGGCGGAGCACGAACAGCCGGUUAUUCUGAGAGACAAGUUGCUGUUCUUGCAGGUAAAAUGCCAGUCUGCAAUCUCAACUCUUUCCUUUUUUUUUUCAUUUCGAUUGGAUUUUCUUUCUUGGUUUUCUGAGUAACCAAGCAAUGUUUAGGAGCUCUUGUAUGCGAAAUGCAUAUCGGAAGACGAGUACCAUUCUUCGAAAAGGCCGUUGCUGCAGCGAUUAGAGGCACAGGGAGCUGAGAUCGAGGCCAAAGAUAUAAUCGCUUCAGGGUCGCUGCCAGCGAAGGAUCCGAAAGAGAAUACAGAUCAAGAGCAGUGGUCGGAAAUUGACUUGAAGGAUGAGAAAUGCUUGCUAACGAAAGAUAAAGAGGGUUUGAAUUCGAAGAACAAAUCGAAACACAGCUCGGCAGUGAAACAAAUCAAAGGGGCAGCUUCGGUGUUGGGAUUUGUAUCACCUUACAAACAUGGGAAAAACAGGGGAGAAAAGAGCAUAUUCGAUUUGCCUGAUUCGUCAAAAUUCUCUUCUUCCAGCUCUUCUAAGCAUCAAGCAGGAGAUCAAUCGUCGAUUCUUAUGCCGGAAAGCUUGCCACAGGUGCCGGUGAAAGAGAACGGCAGCGCAGAUCGAACAAGGAGGAAACCGUUUAGGAGUCUGUUUCAGAGAGAACAGAAAGAGGGUCAGGGGGAUCAUGCCCACGAAAAUGAACAAACACCUUCGAAAUCGGCCAAAAAGCAAUGGGGUUUUGAUGGAUUCAAGAAAUGGAAGAGGAAUGAGUCGGAGGACGAGACAACUCCGCUGCCGCUAAACGAACGAUCGGAUAGUGAGGCUCACUUGAAGCUUGUUCCAAUCCCCAUGGGUGAAGGGCCAGACACUAAGCUCAUAAAAAGGAGGCUGCUUUCGGAUGGUUCUCCUUCCGAUUUCUUCAUUGACAAGGUUCAAAACCGUAUGAUUUAAUUUCGUAAUUUGCUGGCUUAUAUUUGAAGCAUGAUCCGAAAUUGAAGGUUGUUUUUUUUCUUAUUUUUGUAUGAUCUGAAGGUUUUAGGGGAGAAGAUAAAGAAGGAGCUGUCAAGAAUUCAGUCAGAGCUUUGCGCUUCAAAUCCAAAUCUUCGAUUUACGUAAGCCUUUUGAUGAGUCUUUCUUACAUAUACAUUGGUAUCGAAAAGCAAUCUUUUUGUAUCGAAAACAUACGAGUUUGAUUCUUGUGAUUUGCUCAGGAAUGAACAAAUUGAAGCUAUUUCGACCAGGCUUCCGGUGGACAAGGCUGAUCUGAAGAAGUUCUUUCCCAAGUGAGCAAAUCUUCUCUAACUAAAACCACCGCCCCCUUGUACUUUCUCUCUUAUUUUUCAUUGGAUUUUUGUUUCGUUUUCAGGUCGUGGUGCGAUCGGUAUGGAGAAGUUGUUCUGGACGUGGUGAGGAAAGAGUUCAAGGAGCAUGUUGGGGAGAUGGAGAGCUUGAGAAAUGCGGCAAGAGAGAAACACGGUAUCCACUCAGCGCGAUGGACUGCAUUCCAAGAUGACGAGGAGAAUUGUCACCCGAAUCUCUUUGCUCCGCCGCGAGACAACAACCACAAUUAUACUUCAAAGUUCCAUGAAACCAAUCCGUUCUGUGAUGAUCACAUUCACACCACCCCUAGGAAGCUGAGAUCGAAACCGGCAACUUAUACACAAGAGCAGAACCAGAACCAGAAUCCCUUUUGGAUCCCGGGCACGGCUACUAAUGCGUUUUCGUUGAGUAGCUGCUUAAUAUGUAUUUUGAUUGAGAGAUCGCUUGAUAUGUUGUAUGAACUUUGAGAGAAGAACGCUGUUCUUCCAAGCAUUCAAACUUUAUGUUUGAUUUGUAAAUGUAGGCAAUGUAUUAUCUCCUUCAAUGUUUCGGAACUCGAUUCGCUCCUUGAUUUUUAUUUUCUUAGUUCUUCUCACUCACUAUUUGAAAUCCUCUAAAGGGCCUUCAUGCAAAUAUCCAACACGCGUGUAAUACAAGAAACAAAUCAAUCGAAACAUACGACAUGAUCAUCAGGAGUUGGGGUUACUUGCGAUGCAGGUAAAGUGGUCGAAUUGGAUUGGAAAUCAAGUUAAAAAUCGCAAAUUCGGCAGCAAGAGGAAUUUUUUGCAGACACCUGAACCCCGAGUCGUCCUAACCAGAGACUAUACCUUGACAACAAAACUAGCAAGAUUUAUUCAAGACAUUCAAGUAAAGGCAAAGGAAUCUGCAAGCUUUUGAGCAAAAUGGAAGGUCCGUUACCAAUAAUUCCAGCAAGAAACCCACUAUGUGAAAAAGAUAAAAGAAAAAGCAGAUAACGCUUCACCCCAGUCGUGAAAAGCAAUCAUGCUUAUACACCUUGGGGCGGAUUAAAAGAACUUUACAACAUUACAAAGAACUUAAAGACAUUAUAGCUAUCCUUGGGUUUCAAUCCCUAAAGAACUUCAAGACGUUAUAGCUAUCCUUGGGUUUCAAUGCUCACUGGUCCCCUCGCUCUUAACAAUUAACAAUCUAACUUACUAACGCUAUCGUUUGUCUAAAAAUAAAAGCCAAAAAUACAUAACCAAAAAACACACUAUAAGAUCCCACAUCGCCCACACAGUGAUCCUUAAAUGUAUAUUCUCAUCCCUAUCUAGCACGAGACAUUUUGGGAGCUCACUAGAUUCGGGUUCCGUAGGAACUCCAAAGUUAAGCGAGAAGGAAGCUAGAGCACUCCCAGGAUGGGUGACUCACUGGGAAGUUGCUCGUGUGUUCCCAGAAGGCGUGGUCGGGACCCAAAGCGGACAAUAUCGUACUACGGUGGUGGAGCGGACCUAGGAAGUGGUCCGCCCCGGGCCGGGAUGUGACAAACACCAAGGUAAAAAGGGAAAAUACUGAAAGAAAAAAAAACGAAAAUCCCAGGGUUUGCUAUGUUUGAAGCCUCUUUGUUGAGAUGAAGAUGCCAAUUCAUGCACAUUGAUAUGUAAGUAUCUCGUUCUUUCAAUCACUAUAAAUCCGCAUCAAGGACGGCAGACGCUACAAUAUCGUGGAUUUCGGAAAAAUUCAGAUACAAGUCAGUCUUGGGGGACCAAAACAUGUCCUGGUAGAUGCGAAGAACCAUCUUUAACUAUAUACAUUACUGUGUAGUAUGUACAAUUAAAUCAAAGAGAAGAUAUCUCCGAGUUAGGGACAGAACAGUCGGUGAAACCCUCACGAACAUCUCCUCGGCAAAGCGGGCAAACUCUGUAAGCAGGAAUGAACAGAGAGAAUUUCGGUGAGAAAAAAUACAUGGGGAAAUGAAGGACAAUCAUGAAGGGGGGAAAAACAGAGGAUGGCAAUGACAAUACCCGUGUAUCUCUUUGAGCCACUUAUCAACGCAUGACAUGUGAUACUCGUGAUGGCAGGGAAGAACUCGAAUUUUGUCUCCUUCCUCAUACUCAGCGAGGCAUAUGUAACACCUAUCAAUUAUUAACUCACCAUGAUCAAACAAAUUCAUUAUGCUCCCUACUGAUGAAAUCAUUUAAGUAAAACUUACUGUUCAACAUCAUCCCCGGACUUUGGUUUGUCAACCUUUGUGUGACUUUUAAGAGGAAAACCAUCAACAAGAGAUGCUGGGGCAGGAGCUGAGACCAUCGACAGUGAAAGUGACACAGGUUGGCGGUGAAUCUCAUCCAAAACCUGCACAUCGCACAUUACAACAAAAUUAGGUUUGAUACAUUCAUAAGGUACACAGUAAUCUGUUGUGUAAUAUCUGCCCCUAAGCUUAACCGUCAAACAUAGAUAAAAACUGCGCAAACCAUAUCACAGCCGUUCAACCUAGAUUGGUAAACAUGCAGCCAAAGCCCUCAAAGAGACCUCAAGAAGAAGAAUAUACUAAAAUCAUCGCUGAUUUAAUUACGUUGCUUAAAUACCCUCCUAACUUAAGACAUAUGCAAGAGUGCAGAAAGAAAAUUACCUCAAAUAGAGCUUCGGCGAGCAUGACAAUUCUUGAUAUACUUGCCCGAGUACUAGACUCUUCAGCCAUCAAGAAUGAGCCACAUGAGCACAUGCCACGAGGGUGGAUUCCUGUGGGACAAGAGGUAUUACGCUGGCCAUUAUCAUCAAGGCCAACACGAAGUCUUUCCCAGACCUACAAAGAGUCAUGCAGAUGCAAAUCAAUGAAAAUUACUAGUGGGACCCCAAAAAAUAAAGCUGCUAUAGUUUACGGAUUUCUCCGGCCCGUAAAACAUCUGGAUAUAACACUUCAUAAAGUAUAAAAGAACCUUUGAUGAAUGAUAUAUUUGUAAACCAUGUAAAUGAACAUACACAUAUACAAAAUACAGUUAAGCCCCCAUACUCUCGCAAAUGAAAAAACUCAAUUUUAAGAUCCAAGUUAAGCCACGUGACUGAAACAUCAUAAUAUUUUUUAAUGUUAAAAUCUAUCACCUCAGAUCUAGAAUGUCGCCGUCGUUCACUCGAGUUGGGAAUUCUAUUAGCCCGGUGACCAGAAUCAACUCCAAUUUCAUCAUCAAAGAAAUCACCACUCAAACCAAGCAGCCAUCUGUCAUGAAAUCCCAUAUCCUCGGUAUCAUCAGUAGAGAAAAGAAUGGUUGGUGAAUCAAUAAACCUCCUGGAGCUGCGCCUUGAAAAUGCAUCCCAGAACAGUCGCCUGCCAUUCCUUCUAGCCUCACGAUUACUUGCAUCAGCAUUGCUACUCCUCAAAAAGUUGGAAGAAAUGCUCAUAACAUCAACAUGAAGUACACUUCCAUCUUCCUGGCCUUGUUCCCUAUUGGACACAAGGAAUCCUAAACCAGAAGGUAUUGCCUCCCGAAGGGAAUCAUUUCCAAGUGAGUCGAAAGUCGACGGAGUUUCAGAAACAUUAGCAGAAUCAGUAUCAGCAUUAAAACCCUGUACACCCCUUACGUCAGCCACAUGAUUCUCAACAGACACUUCCUGAGAACGGGAAUUCCGAAUCCCUUGUGGAGAUGAGCUACUUGGAAGCAUAACCUCGGGACAGGUCUCAGAUACAUUCUUGUCUGCUGAAAUGUCAAUGCCAUUGACUGAAUCCACAUUAGCAGAACCAUUCAAAGAGACUGUUUCUGAAGAUUGUUCUUGUCUAAACGAAGUACUAGCGGUAGUACUAUUAUCCCUACAAGAUUGAUCAUGACUAUAAUCGGCACUUACCUGAUGAGGUAUUAGUUCUUUACUUUUGGACAAGCACUUCCCCCGGUUAAUUGUGUCAACACUGCUUAAUCCUUCUUCAACAGUGCUCUCAGAUGAUGAUCCAAUUUCAAUAAUGGGGCAGGUGAACAGUGGUCCACUACUGGAGACCAACGAGGAUCCUUCUCCAGAGUUCCGGACUUGAUUGAUAUCAAGAUCAGAUUGCUCUGCAUAUUUUACACGACACUCAGGUGCGUGAUCUUCCAUCUGCAGGAAAAGUACUGAAGCAAAUCAGUCUCCUUAUGCAAUCUAUAUGACUAUAACUACCAAGUACAAAAUGAUUCACGAAAUUUGAAGGGUAUUGGUAGAAAAGGUCAAAAAACACUAUCAAGGCAUGAAGCAAAUCAGUCUCCAUAUGCAAGCUAUAUGACCAUAACUACCAGGUACAAAAUGAUUCACGAAAUUUGAAGGGUAUUGGUAGAAAAGGUCAAAAUACACUAUCAAGGCAUGAAGCAAAUCCGUCUCCUUAUGCAAUCUAUAUGACUAUAACUACCAGGUACAAAAUGAUUCACGAAAUUUGAAGGGUAUUGGUAGAAAAGGUCAAAAUACACUAUCAAGGCAUGAAGCAAAUCAGUCUCCUUAUGUAAUCUAUAUGACUAUAACUACCAAGUACAAAAUGAUUCACGAAAUUUGUAGGGUAUUGGUAGAAAAGGUCAAAAUACACUAUCAAGGCAUCAAUACAACUACGUAACACCACAGUUCUUUGGCCACCAAAAAAGGUAUUAAACUUACGUUUCUAUACUGUCCAUCAUAAGAGAUGUGCAUUUACUCCCAAAUGAACACAAGUAACACAAGAAUAAAUAACUUCAGUUAUACGCUAAAUAGACUAAUGCUAGGUAUCUCAACUUCAAACCAACACCAAGCAAAAUUUCUGCUUCAUGACUUCAUGGAAAUAAUAUAUUGAGGUUGUCAUCACAAGUGCAUCGCAAAGCACUAAAUAAAAACAACUGCAAUCAUUUGAUAUCUAAUUACAUGCCUCUACUUCUCCAGAAGAUUCCUAAUACGUUCGUCAUGAGGACUCCCAUGAACAAUAAUAGACUUGCACACAAUUAUAUACUUAUAUUCUAGCAAAAUAUCUUUACUCAUCCAAACUUUUCUAAAUCUUCCCUAUCUCCCGAGAAUGGGGGCAUAUAUACACAGAAACAUUUUUACCAACCACUUCACACUACUACAUCAGCAGCAUGAUUGAUUCCCAGCUCAAGAACAUAAGUUGCGCUAAAGACUACGUGAUCAUUUAUCCGCACCAUUAAGAACCUUGACCUUCAAGUUCUACGAUCGUAAUCAAACUUUCUCCAACCAUUUCCCUGAGCAUCCUACCAACCACUCAUCGGGGAUCAUCAUUAAAGUUCAUAUUCAAAAACACUAAAAAAUCAAACAACAUAGUUCAGACCCCGAAAACAAAGUUAAAUCCUUUUUCCUCAUUCACGAUUGUUAUACUGGACUUGAACAAAUGUAUACAUUAAAACAAACAUAACUCGAACUGUCAAUUCAAUGUCCCCAUUAAUUAAAUCCCCAAACUUUUUUCAACAACACGGUCGCAUAAUUAGCAGUUUUAAAAUAUGAAUACAAUAUUCACAAUUGCAGGGAAAUUAUAACGAAAAUUCAAAGUAACUGAGUCAUUAUGAUAUUACCGAGCACAGGGCCAAUCUUCUGCAUCAGCUGGACAAAUCCCAUAGAUUUUUAUUGGAUUGUAACUUGAAUUGAGGAAAAUCAAACCCCCAAGAAAAUUAAUUUAAUGAAAAAAGCUUAAAAUUCUUCUAAUUUGCACCAAAUGAUCAAAUCCCAAAUCAUCCAAAACCAGUAAAAAUCGAAUUUUGCAUCAAAAAAUGUAAAAAGUAUGAGAAAUCCAAAAAUGGGCAUUGACGAUUGAAUUGAAGGCAUCGAUUUUAGUGGAGGACGAUGAAGAAGAAGAAGAAAAGGGUACCUCGUGAGUAGCACGUGCAGAGGAGCCACCACAGACGAAAGAGGAGAGUAUGGAACGACUGGCGGUGCGAUUGACUCGGGGCCGAGAUGGGCGCGAGCCCAGUCGACUGCUGCUCGAACCCAUUUGAGAGAGAGAGAGAGGAAGGAGAGAGAGAGAGAGAGAGAGAGAGAGAGAGAGCGCUUCAGAGAUGGUGAUGAAUGAUGAUAAUUGAAGCAAACCGGCUGAGAGAGAGAGAGCUUUCCAUUUUUCCUUUUUUAUUUCAAAUUCAAUUUUCAUUGUGAACUAAUGGUUUCUACAGUGGACCAGGCUUGACCGACCCAUCAAAUAUAUGGGUCUGGAUCAUCAAGUUUCGGCCCAAUGUAUUCAGUAAAAAACAAAGCUAAGAGCAACUCCAUAUUUAAAAAAUGAGAUGACUCAAAGUCCAUUUAAUCCACCAAAAUGAAUAGUAAUUGACUUUAAUGAACAAUAAUUGUCCAAGUGCAUCAAUUCCUAAAAAAUGAGCUGGGUAAGAGUUUAGUCAAUUCGUAUUAAAAUAUUAUUAAUUUUUUUUAUAAAAAAUUAAAAAAUAAUUUUAUUUUUAAUUUCGGAUAGAAUUUUUAACCUCUUGUCACGUUACGUGUCAUUUUCCGAAAGUACAAUUUUUGUGAAAGAUGGUUAGGUAUAUAUAUAUAUGUAUAUAAUCUUUUAUUUUUUUCUGUAUUUUUAAACAAAUUUUUAUAAUUUUUUAUUAAGUUAAUUAAUCUGGAUCAUUGGAUUUCAAAAAAUAAAAAAAUCCAAUAGCCUAAAAAUGGACAUGUGACCCAUGGUAAGAUUCUGAUAUUUUUUUUAAUGCUGGAACGCACACCUACGCAAGCGUGUAUCCCACGGGCCAACAGCAAAAAAAAAAAUUCACAUGGCUGACGUCAGCUUGGCCUCAUGUAGGCCGGUCUAUUGCUCAGUCCAUUAUGUGUUGGGCUCAAAGGUGGCCUCCACUUUGGGCCAACCUAUUGGGUGGGGUGAAGUUGGUUUUUUUUUUUUUUGGGGGGGGGGGGGCAGCCUAAAAAUUAGACUUUGAGCUAGCACAUUUGUUAGGGAUGAAAUGCUCUAAUAGAAAAAAUGUUAGGCUUAUCAUAUUUUUAAUAUUUCAUGUGUAUAACAUUUUUAAUAAAUAUGGGAUCUACAGUGUUAUUUGCACACUAAUUUUUAUCUCUCACAUAUUCUUGUUAAUUUUUAUUGACUCAUCUUCUUCAAUUCAUAUUGUCGACCGAAAAUUAAGAGGAGUGCGUGAGAAGAAAAAUGAGUGUGUAGAUAACGCUAUUGUAUAAAAAAUUUGAUAAAUAUAGUAUUUACUCUUAUGAUAGAGAUAGGGUUACGUGUUUGGUAUAUAUACGAGUACAAUGAAGCCAUGACAUUUGUAGUGGUGAUUGGUUACAUUGGUAUACUUGAGAUGUGAGGCAAAUUUAUUACCAUCACAAAGAUAAUUAUGAAACUUAUGGGCCUUCUAUUUUACUAAAAAUUGACCUCCAUCGUCCAUAUAUGAAACUUAAACUUGGAGAAAGAUCGUAUACGUUUUAUGAAAGGUUUUUUUAUCUGACAUGGAAUGAGAUAUGGUUUUCUUAACUAAGAUGUGAAAGACAAAAUUAUUCCCAUCACAAAGAUAAUUAUGGAACAUGGGCCUUAUAUUCUACUAAAAUUUGACAUAUUAACUACAUUUUACUAGAAAGAUGUACAUAAAGUUAUACCCAUUUUGGGAAAGUUAUCUAAUUUGACAGAGAAAAUCGAUAAUUUCAAAUGUGUCAAGACGUGUGAUUAUCUCUGUUUAAUUAUAAAUUGGAGGUAGAGAAAAAUGGCAGCACUUUAAUUGUAGUGUGUUUGAAUAGUUGAUCAAGGUAUCGGCAGAGAAAUAUCGAGUUGAAUUGUAGGUAUUCAACUACCAGCAAGACAACCAUGGAUCCAUGGGUGUGACUAGCAGUUGGUGCAUAUGAUGGACACGUUUUACCACUAACAGACGAAACACCAUGUCUGUAUCUACAUAGCUUUCUAUCCUUUCUCCACGUACUUCUGCACCCCAUUAACAAAAAGGCAAAUUAAAAUAUAUUAUACAAAAGUAGACCUAACUUUAAUGCUUUAUCCACUCCUAUAAAAUCUACAUAAUCGUCGAGUUCCAACACACUUCAGAACAAUAUAUCCACUUAUAGUUGCAGGGAACUAAGAAAAAAAAGAAGAUCGACUGAGAAACAUGCCUGACCAUCCACCACCACCACCGGGCCAUGAUCACGGACCCCCUCAUCCUGAGCCUCCUCCGCCGCACGCCCAUGCUCCUCCUCCUCCUCAGCCGGGCGGUGGACCUCACGCACCUCCCCCUGGCCCUCCUGAACCACACAAGCCACAUCAUGAUCCCCAUCAUGGUCCCCAUCAUGGUCCUGGUCAUCACCACCCAUGAAUCAUCAUUCAUCGUAUGAUGAAUAUAUACAUGCUUGCAUGCAUGUAUGUAGAUGUAUGGUGUACGUUGUGAUGUAAUUUCUAGUUUUAACUAAGUCGGUGAGUCCUCUCAUGAUCAUGCAGUUUUAAUGAAUGAUGACUUCGUGUACCCAAAAAGUAUGCAUGAUUAUGUAAAUUAAUAAGAUCGGUUUGUGGUUUUAAUUUCCUCUUAAUUAAUUAGUUAAUUUGGUACGCACUGAGCUGCUGAUCAAAGUGUGGUUUAAGAUGCAAAAUUUCCAUUCCUUUCAUGUUUUAAUUAAGAUGCAAAUCUAAUUACAAACAAAUACGCUGCAACUAACUAAAAACCCUACGUGCAGCAGGCCAUGGAUAAUUUUUGGUCUUUAAUUCGAUCUUUUACUUUAGAUAAAUGUCUAAUUUAAUUGCUGCAAAAGCUAGCUUCUGAAGUAUGAUCAGUGUUAAGAAACAAAUAAAAUUAAGAUAUAUAUCAUCAUUAUAAUUAAAUUUUCUGAUGUAGGAGAACAAAUGAAAUAUGCGUAUAUUGUCGGUGCGUAAUCCGCACUAAUAAUACAACGUUAAAUAAAAAUAUGUAUGUAUUAUUGUAUUAUACAAAUGUAAUGCCACAGUAAGGUUAUUUCCAACCGAAUGAGGGCCAAAAUGCUAUCUUUAGCUCUAUAGUCUUGCAAGAAAUUAUAUUUUAAUGAAUAGUGCUAUGCUAUAUUUUAUACAUCUCAAACUGAGAGGAUCAAAAGACAAUAGGCCAAACAUAGCCCUUUGAAAAAAACUAUCUCCAACUGAGGGAACCAAAAGAUCAUAGGCCAAACAUAAUUUAUUAUUUUAAUUAAAUUAAACUACUAUAUUUAAAAAAGGUUUUCAGACAUAUUUUGAGUCACUUGUCGUCAAAUGAAUAAGCCUCCGGAUUUCUUAUCUAUAUAUAAUCUCAAUAAUUUUUUUGGAUAGAAUUUCGAGUAACACGUGUAGCUAACAUGAGGAACUCUUCAAAUUUUUUAUCUUUAUGUAAUCGCAAUAAUUUUUCGGAUAGGAUUUCGAAUGACAUUUGUCGCUAAAGUGAGUAACUAUCCAUAUUUCUUAUCUUUAUGUAAUCUUAAUAAUUUUUCGGAUAUGAUUUCGAGUGCCACGUGUCGAGUGUUGUGCUAGGAUAGCACCAAACCUUAUGGAACCAACUCAAGCUAACCCACAUGAAAUAUAUCAAAUGGAAUGCAAGAACAAAAUAUAAAAGAACACCAAGAUUUUAACGAGGUUCCUCAACAGUCAGUGUAGCUGGAGUACGUCCUCGGAGCAGUAUGAGCUCACCCAAUAAUCCACUAUCAACCAAAUGGGAGUUUACAAAGUGUUGGCAAUCUCACAACCCAAAUAACCUAAUACACCCAAUAGCUCACACACACCAAAAAAACAAAUAGAGGAAGAAAUAUAAUGAAUAAUUUCUUCUCUAUACAUAUAGCUCAAAGCUAUUACAACAACUACUUUGAUAGAUGAUUACUAACCAAAGAGACGAGCACUUUAUUUUCUCUGAGGAGCUACGGCACCUUUUAUCUGUUGCUCUGCUGCUCUCUGCUCUCUGCUCUCUGCUCUCUUCUCUCUUCUCUCUGCACUCAGAAUGGGUUUUUCACUCUCUUCAAAACCGAACUAUUUUUCCACACAAGAACCAACAACUUUCUUAUCACCAAAGAAUAAUGCUCCAUCCGAGGCUAGCCUUUUAAAAUUCCACAAAUCAAUAAGAAACAUAAUUAUAAUGUCUCCCCAUUUUUUAUUUUUUUAUUAGCCAAAAGAUAUAUAAUAAUUUGGCCCUUUUUUCUUUUGUUUUGUUUAAUAGCUAAAAGGUGAUGUUGAGUUGCCACUUGGCCACAAUUCAACAUCGAGAUGUAAUUGGUUGUGCAAAUUUUAGAUAGGAUUCGUAUCUACAUGACACUUCUUAUCUUCAGCUUUUAAUGUUGUAGAAAUGAUGUAGGUAUUUAUAGGAAAAAAUUAGAUUUUUUUUUAAAUUCGUCAAAAAAAAAAAAAAUCAAAUUCCAACGGUAACCUGACGACAACAUGAUGUUAGCUAGCCGUUGCUAACUGGCGUCAUGCUGCCGCCAAGUAGCCGAACUAGAGAGCUGGCAAAAUGUCAAAUUUGACAUUCUAGCAUUGGAGGACUGGCAAAAUGUCAAGCUUGACAUUCUGACGCUGGAGGGUUGGGCUAGAGGGCUGGCUGGCUAACUAGAAAUGGCCAGCUCGCUGGCUUGAUUUGGGGGUUUGGGUGGGGCCUACAAGCCAUUUGACCUAACCCUCGGUUGGAGACGAUUUUCGUGUCAUUCUUAGCUAUUUUUAGCUCUAUGAUCCUUUAACCGGGUCGGUUGGUGGAGAUGACCUAACUACAAACUCGUAACAUAAAAUCCGUUUCUCGACUUGUAGAUGUGGGCUUAUGAAUCUUGUGGUUGCCCUAAUUCAGAGGAAUGACUACACACAAUGAAAUAAGACGGGAACAAAAAUCUUCUCUGCGUGAUACACAUGAUUAACUUGCAACAUAACACCGACCAGAAAAUAAAAAAGAAUCGAUCCCCACCACUUUUAUCAUUGUUCUUUUAGAUGGAUAACAUUUCAUAUAAAAUAUGAAAGAUCUUUUAUUUUUUAUGUGGCGCCUGUCGCGACGAAGAAAUGUGGCUACCAGCAAGCACGUGAAGAUAAUGUACGUGGACGUUGAUCUUUUACUUUUUGUACCGACACCAUUGCACUAUAAAAUCCCACUACUUUCUUCAACAGUUUCGCCAGAUCAAUAAAAAAACAAGAGAGUAGCUAGCUAGAUCGAAGAAUUACAAGUCUCUGUGUAACUGCUGCAAAUUAAGAAGAUUGUCGAAAAUGCACCAACCUCCAGGCCCUCCGCCACCGCAUGACCACGGACCACCGCACCACGGGCCACCUCACGAUGGUCCGCCACCACCUGGCGGCCCUCCAGGUCCCGGCCCUCACGGCCAUGGACCUCCAGGCGGUCCAGGUCCCCAUGGACCUCCAGGCGGUCCGGGAGGACCAGGGCAUCACGGCCACGGGUGUGGAGGUGGACCGGGUGGUCGCUGCUAAGUGCUAACUAAUGAUCUUGACCAAGAACUUUCUGGUGUACUACUUGUGGUUUAAUAUGUGCUAAUCAUGUUUUCUAGUUUAUUAGUUUACUAAUCAUGUUCAAGAUCACCACCAGACUAGCUCAGCUCAGCUGGAGAGGAUCAUGUAUCUGUCCGUAAUGGUACUAUGUUGAAUAUGCUGCGUAUUAUGAUAUCAAUAAAAUGCAUCUCCAUAUUAUAAUUAUACAUCUUUGAUCAUUCUUAAUUAAUUGAUUGGAUUAUAUUGAUAGGUAAAAAUUACUAGAAACAAUUUUGACGCGCUAAGAAUAUCCGCUCGUAUUUGAGGAGAGAAAUUUACACGCAAUCAAUAAUAAGAAGAUGGUUUUUUAAUCCUAAGAUGCGUCAUUAUAUAUUUUAACUUACUCACGUAACAUUGCGUAAAUGGUUUGAUAUAACGUCAAUUUCGCAGCUUAGUGGCAUGACAUGUAAGUUCUUUUCAUAUUACUCAAAGUUCAACUCCAAUUUCGGUUUCGAACCGCUUCUAUAGAAAGCUUUUUUUUUUUUUAAAUUUUAUUUGAACAAACCUUAUUAUCUAUAAUAAAGGGUAGGAGAAUGAGUUAAGUCUCACAAUCGACUAGCAAUAAUGUGGUUCAAAUUCGCAUUUGAUGAGAAUCGAACCUAAGAUCUCUAUUUACAAGUAAAGAAUAACACCACUAAACUGUAAUAUUAAGUGAUUGCUUCUAUUGAAAGCAUUAACCUUUAACAAACACUUAUACGAUCCAUAAACACUUUUAAGUUUUUAUGACCAACCAAAUUGGUUUCGCAUAAAUAGCCAUUCGGGCGCCCUAAUUUUAAUAUUUUUUAAUUAACAAGAAAAAAAAAAGUUAUGUACAUUCAUAGCUAUUGAUUUAGUGCUUGUUUAGAAGUGCUUCUAAAAUGACUAAAAACGUUUUUGUUAAAAUUAUUUUUGGAACUAAUCAUUAAAAAAAAUGCAAGUGAAUAUUGGAAACGCACUUGAAGUGCUUCCUACAAGAAGCAUAUAAUUGGUGCUUCUUUUGGAAAGAACUUCUAGUGAUUUUGGAACCCAAAAAUAUUUUCACAAAAAUCACUUUUAAUCAUUGUAAAUGCACUUCCAAACAAGGCUUUAGACUUUGUUAUCUCUCGACCUAGCCCCAAAAAAGGCCUAAAUAAAAAAGAGCCCAAAAUAAUGAAGCCCAAAUCAUAUCAUCGCAAAAUAGGGCCCAAUCCAGUUAAAAGACUAAAGCACCACUACAAAACACAGAAGUGAAAGAAAAGAGACGAAGAAGUUCCGCUAUUCGCACACCGCCCAGAAACCCCUCUAUAAACCCCUCUCUCUCUCUCUCUCUCUCUCUCUCCUCCCUCUCUCUCUCUCUCUCUCUCUCUCUCUCUCAACUCCGAACAGUGCUUCCGACUCUGGGCUCUGCCCUUGAAGCUUUAGAGGUAAUGGUCCCUUCUCUGCUUCGCAUCUUUCACUUACGAAUAUAUGUAUAUUUUUGUGUAGUUAUAUUCAAACCCUGCUGCAAGAUUUCCAAAAUCUGGAAACAAAUUUAAUUCUUUGUAACUUAGAGAAAUUGAGAGCACCAACAAUUUGUUUCUCUUCGGGUUUUGGUUGAAACCCAUUUCAUUUCAGUGGCUAAUUAGUGUUAAAUUGCAUUCAAAGUUUAAACCUUUGUUGCCAGAUUUCCAGAAUUUGAACGAAAUUUUGAUUUUUGUGUUACUUUUAGAAAACUAAGAUGACCAACUUGUUCCUGUAUCGAAUUUAGUCGGAAUCCAUUUGAUUUAUAAGUGAAUUAGUUAGUGUUUUAGUGAACUAAUAGAUUUUUUUUUGAAAUAGCAGAUUUGGUAGGAUGGAUGACAGUCUGUACGAUGAGUUUGGGAAUUACAUAGGCCCGGAAAUCGAGUCUGAUCAAGAGAGUGAUAGAGAGGACGAGGAUGAGGAGCUGCCCGAUAGGCAAGAGGAUAGGGAUGCAUCAGAUGGCGAUGAUGCAGCUGCUGGUCCCAAUGGGUGGCUGACUGCGUCCAAUGAUGUCGAUAUGGAUAACCAGGUUGUCCUUGCUGAGGAUAAAAAGUAUUAUCCAACCGCGGAAGAGGUCUAUGGUGAAGAUGUUGAGACAUUGGUUAUGGAUGAAGAUGCACAGCCUCUGGAACAACCCAUUAUUAAGCCUGUAAGGAAUGUCAAGUUUGAGGUUGGUGUCAAGGAUUCUUCCACCUACGUGUCGAACCAGUUCCUUUUGGGACUCAUGUCGAACCCCUCUCUGGUUAGGAAUGUAGCACUUGUGGGGCACUUGCAGCACGGGAAGACAGUGUUCAUGGAUAUGUUGGUGGAGCAGACUCACCAUAUGUCUACUUUUGAUUCAAAUAGCGAUAAGCACAUGAGGUACACGGAUACAAGGAUUGAUGAGCAAGAGAGGAGGAUAUCCAUUAAGACAGUUCCUAUGUCCCUUGUACUCGAGGAUAGCAAGUGUAAAUCGUAUUUGUGCAACAUCAUGGAUACGCCUGGUCAUGUCAAUUUCUCUGAUGAAAUGACUGCAGCCCUUAGGCUUGCCGAUGGUGCUGUCUUGAUUGUGGACGCUGCAGAAGGAAUGAUGGUGAGCAACUCAUCUUUCUUUUCAUUGAAUAAUAAAUAUGCUAUAUGAUAUUGUGCCCUUUAUUAUACUACGAUUUUAUGUUUUGUUAAGUUAAGAUCUAUCAUCAACAUGAUAUUGUCAUAUAUCACUGCCUCAUCUGUAGAAGAAUGUCAGAAUGGGUAUGAUAUUCCACUUGCUUAGAAAAUUUUAUGAUUUUGAUUGACAGGUAAAUACCGAGAGGGCUAUACGCCAUGCAAUCCAAGAGCGGCUACCAAUUGUGGUUGUAAUCAACAAGGUAAGAUUUUCUCUUAUUUCAGGGCUUCUUUAUUUCUCAUUUUCCCUCCAUUUUAUCACAGCAUGAACCCAUUAACUAUAUUGUUAUUAGUACCAACAUGAAUUUUCAUGUCAAAGGUUGACAGAUUGAUAACAGAACUCAAAUUGCCCCCAAGAGAUGCUUACUUCAAGAUAAGGCAUACUUUGGACGUCAUUAAUACCCACAUAACUGCGGCCUCUUCAACUGCUGGCAAUGUACAAAUUAUUGACCCUGUUGCAGGAAAUGUUUGCUUUGCAAGUGCUACCGCAGGAUGGUCAUUCACGUUGCAAUCGUUUGCAAAGCUAUAUCUUAAACUCCAUGGGGCUGAUAACACGGACGUAGAUAAGUUUGCCUCUCGUCUCUGGGGAGAUAUGUACUAUCAUCCAGAUGACAGGAGUUUUAGGAGAAAACCCCCUGCCAGUGGAGGCGAAAGGUCAUUUGUCCAGUUUGUGCUCGAACCCCUGUAUAAAAUUUAUAGCCAGGUGAUUGGGGAACAUAAAAAGAGUGUGGAGGCAACUCUUGCUGAAUUUGGUGUCACCCUCAGCAAUGCAGCUUACAAGUUGAAUGUUAGACCUCUGCUGAGGUUGGCUUGUAGCUCAGUUUUCGGAUAUGCCUCAGGCUUUACUGAUAUGCUGGUUCAACAUAUUCCUUCUCCUAAAGGUGCCGCAAUGAGGAAAGUAGACCAUAUAUAUACUGGACCAAAAGACUCUUUGAUUUACAAGGCCAUGAAGGAUUGUGAUCCUGAUGGUCCUUUGAUGGUCAAUGUGACAAAAUUGUAUCCCAAGUCCGACUGUAGUGUGUUUGAUGCAUUUGGUAGGGUUUAUAGUGGCAAGAUUCAGACAGGGCAGACUGUGCGGGUAUUGGGAGAAGGCUAUUCACCAGAGGAUGAGGAGGACAUGACAGUCAAAGAGGUGACUAAGUUAUGGCUUUAUCAAGCUCGAGAUAGGAUACCAAUAGCCGAGGCUCCUCCUGGUACUUGGGUUCUUAUUGAAGGUGUGGAUGCUUCUAUAAUGAAAACUGCCACCAUCUGUAAUGAAUAUUACGACGAGGAUGUAUACAUCUUCCGUCCUCUUCAGUUCAAUACUCUGCCAGUUGUGAAAACAGCAACUGAGCCACUAAAUCCAAGUGAGCUGCCAAAGAUGGUGGAGGGACUAAGAAAGAUAAGCAAGAGUUAUCCUCUUGCAAUCACUAAAGUUGAGGAGUCUGGGGAGCACACAAUAUUAGGUACAGGAGAACUCUACUUGGAUUCAAUAAUGAAGGAUCUUAGAGAGUUAUAUUCAGAAGUAGAAGUCAAGGUAAUUGAUUGCUCCAAGUUCUCAUCCUCUCUUCACAUUUUUUCUUUUAACGCAAUUUUUCCACCUCUUAGGGAUGUCAAGAAUUUUUUUUUCUUGAUGGAUAUGCGUUUGUUUGUAGGUUGCGGAUCCUGUUGUUUCAUUUUGUGAAACAGUGGUGGAGUCUUCGUCAAUGAAAUGUUUUGCUGAAACACCCAAUAAGAAGAAUAAAAUAACUAUGGUAAGAAGCAACCUCAUUUUCAGAAAUUUUAUGUGAUUCAGUUUUUAAAAUAUGACAUGCUAAAAACCUUUGUCCUUUUGUAGAUUGCGGAGCCAUUGGAGAGAGGACUUGCUGAGGACAUUGAGAAUGGUGUUGUAAGCAUUGAUUGGUCUCGGAAGGAUAUAGGCAAUUUUUUCCAGACUAGAUAUGAGUGGGAUGUUCUUGCUGCACGUUCCAUAUGGGCAUUUGGCCCUGAUAAGCAGGUAAUACACCUGCUACAGGCAGCACGUUAUUUUGUUUAUGAAGUGCUUUUGCUGUCCUUGGUUCUGUUUUAAUCCUAUUAUAGUAUAAACAUAGCUUCAUAUAGCCCCGCCCCAACCCGCGGAUAGCAAAUCACCUUGUGAAAUCAAAACAUAGCUUUAUAUAUCUUCUAUAUAACUUUCUUUUAUUCAUCUCUCCCUCCCUUCAAAAUUUAGCUAUACGUUCGAGACCUAGUGCUUUUGUUUGACAAAAGGGUAUAUUUGCAGGGACCUAACAUUCUAUUAGAUGACACUCUUUCCACUGAAGUCGACAAAAGCUUGCUGAAUGCUGUGAAGGAUUCAAUUGUUCAAGGGUAUUUUAUUUGAAUUCUUGUUCUUUUCCCCUAUAUUGUUGUUUCAGUUUAUAGCUCAUUAUAAUUUUAUUUCGCACAGGUUUCAAUGGGGUGCUCGAGAAGGACCCCUUUGUGAUGAACCAAUCAGAAAUGUCAAGUUCAAAAUUGUGGAUGCAAGGAUUGCCCAAGAGCCAUUGCAUCGUGGAUCUGGCCAGAUCAUUCCCACAUCUCGACGUGUGGCCUAUUCAUCUUUCCUGAUGGCAACACCGCGGCUUAUGGAGCCAGUAUAUUAUGUGGAGGUAUAUCCUUGCUCCUUCACUUACGUCAUAAUGAGAUUGAUUUUCAAAACAGGUUGUAUUCAAGUCCUCAGGAACUUAGAUUGCUUAAUGUAUGAAUCUCCUCGCUUCAAUGAGGGGCGCUGAAGUUUGAUUUUCUGAUUAAUUUCUGAUGCCCUUCUUUUCAGAUACAAACACCCAUCGACUGUAUUUCUGCAAUCUACACUGUUCUAUCUCGCAGGCGUGGACAUGUUACUGCUGAUGUUCCUCAACCUGGGACCCCUGCUUAUAUCGUCAAGGUAUGUUGGAUCAAUUUUAUUUUGUUGAGUUUCAGUUGCAUUAUACUGAUCUUGGAUUUUAUCAUGAGAGUGAAGACUGUCCAGCCAUAAUAUUGAUUUUUCAUUUAUUUUUCUCGUCCACUGAAUUUCAGGCGUUCUUACCAGUGAUCGAAUCAUUUGGCUUUGAAACUGAUUUGAGGUACCAUACCCAAGGACAGGCUUUCUGCCUCUCAGUGUUUGAUCACUGGGCUAUAGUCCCUGGGGAUCCACUUGAUAAGAGCAUCGUUCUGCGACCCCUUGAACCUGCCCCAAUUCAGCAUCUGGCCCGUGAGUUUAUGGUCAAGACAAGACGUAGAAAGGUAAAACAUUCCCUCUGCUCUCUCUUCCACUUUUGGUACCUCGAGAAUAGUUUAACUCACAUGCUAAAAUUUUUCCAAACUAUGCACUGCUGCCUCGUUAUACGGCUGAGUUUUGUUUUGUUGAAUUUUGCAGGGAAUGAGCGAGGAUGUGAGCAUCAACAAAUUCUUCGACGAGGCUAUGAUGGUGGAGCUGGCUCAGCAGGCAGCUGAUCUUCAUCUGCAAAUGAUAUGAUCGUGGCGGGGGCUUCACAACACGGUGUCCGCUUGUCCAAAGUUGAGGAACGAAAUUGUACGCGAUUUUAUUUGGAUGAAAACCAGUAGAAGUAGUUGUUGAACACGCAAGUUACAAUUUUGAAUGCAAUAGUAAAUUUAGCUGUUGUAACUUUUUGAUGUCCAAUACCCUUUGCGACCGUUGUAUCCGAUAUUCGUCAAAUCCUUCCUAACUUAAUAGAAAAAUUGGUGUGAGAAUUUCUAAAUUGUAAUGUUAUCUGAUGAUAUUGUUCUCUCUAAUUUAUACAUGUUUUAUCCCAUUUUUCUACGAAAGAGACUUGUUUACACCGUUAUACUUUUUAAGUUAAUUAUACAUUGUUACGUGUUUUAAUGUUUAUGUAUGACAGUGUGUGACUAACUUCGUGUACUGACAUUGUCAGCAAGAUCUUCCAUUUCCACGAUUUUGACUUGUCUCUUUCACUCCAUUUGAUUUUUUAAUUUCAAAUUUUAAUUUAAUAAUUAAUUAGGUAAACAGAGGGUUUUCUUGGACAUUACAUUUCCAGGAAAGCCCCAAUCUUUGAAUCUCAGGCCUUCCUCCUUCAAAUUUCAACACAAAUCCGAAAUCCUUAUUAUUUUACUCUUUAUGAUUUUGUACAGAGAUUUCUUUACAAAUUUCGACCGGAUCUCACAGAGGCAAUCUCAAUACCCUAACCCUAGCUUCGUCCCCAUUUCCCCCUCUGCACAAACAGAGAUUUGAUCGGGAAAAUCAGGUAAAAUUAGGGUUUUUAUACAUUUUUCCAUCUUCGCAGCCACUGAAUUUUCUGUGCAUUAAAGAUUCCAUCUUUAUGGAUCCACCAUUUUUUUUGCUGUAAGUAUAGUUACUGUAUAAUCUGAGCAUUUCCGUGGAGCAAUAUUUUGGGAUCGGAUACAAAAUGCGAUCCGAAACCCUAACCCUAGCUCCAGCUCUCAAUUUUUUCCCAAAUCUCAAACCCCCACACAAAACCCUAGCUUUCCACCAAAUUUCAGUCCUAAUCAUCACCUUCCUCGCCUAUGCUUCCUUCCAUGCCUCCAGAAAGCCCCCAAGCAUUGUCAAGAGCGUGCUUGGGCCCACAGUUCAGGCCAAUUCGAGCUCCGUCGACACGGGGUGGGCUCCCUUUGAUGGUCCCCGGGGCACCCACCGGCUAGGAGAGCUUGAUCUUGCGUUUCUUUCCGCGUAUUCGAUUGGAAUGUACUUUGCAGGGCAUGUCGGUGAUCGGAUUGAUUUGAGGUUGUUUCUUGUGUUUGGGAUGAUGUGUAGUGGCAUUUUAACGAUAUUUUUCGGGUUAGGAUAUUGGUUUGAUGUUCAUGUAUUGGGGUACUUUAUGGCGGUUCAACUUCUUUGUGGAUUGGUUCAGUCGAUUGGGUGGCCCUGUGUGGUGGCUAUUGUGGGAAACUGGUUUGAGAAAGGGAAGAGGGGGUUGAUCAUGGGGGUCUGGAGCUCACAUACCUCGGUUGGAAACAUCAUUGGGUCGGUUGUGGCAUCCGGGGUCUUGGAAUUCGGAUGGGGUUGGUCCUUUGUGGUGCCUGGGGUGUUGGUGAUUUUGGUUGGGAUUGUGGUGUUUUUGUUUCUUCCUGUGUGUCCAGAAGACUUGGGGUUUGAGUCUCUGGUGAAGGAGAUUCAGAUGAAUGUGGAAGUUAAUGGCGUGGAGAAUUUGGAGGGGAAGGUAGAAUCAGAGGAAGCUGGGCUUCUUCGAUCAGAGACUGCAGAUUUUGGAACAGAGAAUGCAGAUGGCGAUGCAGACACAGGUUCUUUGGCUGCAGUUGGGUUUCUAGAGGCAUGGAGGUUACCGGGUGUGGCACCAUUUGCUUUCUGCCUCUUCUUUUCGAAGCUUGUGUCUUACACUUUCCUUUACUGGUUGCCCUUUUACAUAAGGCACACAGGUACUUCCUCGAUUUAGAUUUGUAUACAUGAUUUUGCAAUUGAAUUCUUGGGAUAGUCUUGUGAUUAUUGUCGGGUUUCAUGCUUUAGUUUUAAGCGACCACCUUUGUUAAUCUUCUUGUAUUCAUUAUGAGUUUUGUUUCACCUUGCAGCUGUUGCCGGCAUGCAUUUGUCACACAAAACUGCCGGGAACCUUUCAGCCAUAUUCGAUAUUGGAGGAGUCUUUGGUGGAAUUUUAGCAGGAUUGAUAUCUGAUAUGAUCGAAGCUAGAGCUGUAACCUCAAUCGCGUUUUUGUUACUUUCGGUUCCAGCCCUUGUUCUCUACCGGCUUUAUGGAAGCCUAUCGAUGGUUGCCAACAUUGUUUUGAUGUUUCUUUCGGGAUUGCUGGUGAAUGGCCCGUACUCACUCAUCACAACAGCCGUUGCUGCUGAUCUUGGUACGCAGACCACGAUCAAAGGAAAUUCCCGAGCAUUAGCCACUGUAACUGCAAUCAUAGACGGAACAGGUUCUGUUGGGGCAGCUCUUGGCCCGCUUUUGGCCGGGUAUAUCUCCACGACGGGGUGGAACAACGUGUUUGUCAUGCUGAUUCUUGCUAUUUUCUCUGCAACUUUGUUUUUGAUUCGGAUUGCGAGAACCGAGAUUAAGGGGAAAUUGAAUGAGGGAAAAUGGUCUUUGUAUAGCCGCAUAGGAGGCACAUAGUGAUUGAGAUUUUCUAAUUUCUUGUCAUACCACAAAAGUAAGUAGAUUUUAGGCAGAUCCAUUUCUCUACGUUUUUUGUAUCUCAUUGUUUUGUUCUACAUUCAUUAUUCUUUUUUUUUUUUUUGUCUAACGAUAAAUUUUGUUAGAUUAGAUGUUUGAUUAGCUACUCGGCAUUUCAAUGUUAGACAUACUCCAUAGCAUAAUAGGAUUGCAGAGAGAAUAAAUAAGACCUUGGUCGAGAAAGUUCGUUGCAUGCUAUUUCAAGCUAAGUUGCCAAAGAGAUUUUGGGCAGAAGCUUUGAGCUAUGCAUGUCAUGUGCUUAAUCGACUACCAUCAACAACAUUGGAGGGUAUAACACCCAUUGAAGUUUCAAUGGGUCUAAAGAAUCAGCUCGGGACUACGAUAAGCUACUAGUUUUGGAUGCAGUGACUACUUUCAUGUGAAGGAAAACAAACUGGAUCUAUGAGCCAAGAAAGUUGUCUUUAUGUGAUUCAAUAGUGGUGUGAAAGGCUUCAGACUUUCGUGUCUCGAGUUGAACAAGAUUAUAGUAAGUAGAGAUGUGACAUUCGAUGGAAGUCACAUGAAAUUGAAGGAAGAUGUUCAGAUGGUAGAGCUUGGGGAACAAGUAAUUGUGAAUUCACAGCCAAGUAAGGAAGCUGUGGAAGAAGAAAGGCAAGGUGAUCAACUUGAACAUGAAGAGGGUGAUCAUGAAGAAGAAACACCAUCAGAAGAACUAAAGAAACAAGAUGAUUGCAUAGCCAAAAGGAAGGGAAAAAGAGACAUCCCUACCUACGAGAUAUAAAGAUUGCAUGGCCUGCAAGGGAUAUGCAUUGCCAGUAAUUGAGGCUGAAAUUUCCACUAAUUUUGAAGAAGCAGUAAAUGGCCUGAUGCAAUGGACGAUGAGAUGCUCUCCCUUCACAAGAAUAAGACUUGGGAAUUGGUGGAGCUGCCUAGAGAAAGGAAAGCAAUUGGCUGCAAAUAGGUUUAUGCAAAGAAGGGUGAAGUGGAUAACAAGAGCUUGGUAAGAUUUAAAGCUAGGCUAGUGGCUAAAAGAUAUGCUCAGAAUGAGGGAAUAUAUUACAAUGAGAUUUUUUCUACUAUGGUUAAGCACUCAUCCAUUCGAAUAAUGAUUACCCUAGUUGCACAAUUCAACCUUGAAUUUGUACAACUAGACGUGAAGACUGCAUUCCUUCAUGGUAAUUUGGAUGAAGAGAUUUAUAUGAGACAAUCUGAGGGGUAUCGAGUGAAGGGCAAAGAAAGAUUGGUUUGUAAGCUCAGAAAAUCUCUUUAUGGUUUGAAGCAUCAACCUUGAAUUGGUACAACUAGACGUGAAGACUCCAUUCCUUCAUGAUAAUUUGGAUAAGAGAUUUAUAUGAGACAACCCGAGUGGUAUUUAAAAUUUGACAAUUUUAUGAAGGGUCAAGACUAUACAAGAAGUUACUAUGAUCACUGUGUUUAUCAUAAGAAGUUGAAAGAUGGUUCGUUUGUGUACUUGUUAAUCUAUGUGGACGACAUGCUCAUAGCCUCAAGCAAUAUUUCAAAGAUAGAAAAGUUGAAGGAGCAAAUGAGAAGGGAGUUUGAAAUGAAGGAUCUUGAUGAAGCCAAGAAAAUACUAGGAAUUGAGAUCUUAAGGGAUAGACAAAAAGGUUUGGUCUGUUUGUCUCAAAAGCGAUAUCUUGAGAAGUUGUGACAAAAGUUUGGAGUAACAAAAGACACUAAGCAUGUAGGAACUCCAUUAUGUGCUCACUUCAAGUUGAGCAGUCAACAAUGUCCCAAAACUGAUGAAGAAAAGAUGAAUAUGGAUGGUAUUCCAUAUUCUAAUUUGGUUGGAGGAUUAAUGUAUGCUAUGGUGUGUAUUCGUCUUGAUAUAGCACAUGCAGUUGGAAUUGUUAAUAGGUUCAUGCAUAAUCUUGGAAGAGAACAUUGGAAUGCUGCUCAGUGGAUACUAAGGUAUUUACAUGGAACGAGGGACAAAUGUAUUUGUUUUGAAAGAUCUGAUGAAGGAAUUGAUAAGUUCUUAGUUGGAUGUGUAGACUCAGACUUUGCUGAAGACUAAAAGAUUGAUGACUGGGAAUGUGUUUACUAUGGCAAAUGGUCCUAUAUGCUGGAGAUCAAUAUUACAACCAACGGUGGCACUAUCAACCACAUAAGCAGAAUAAAUGGUGAUCGUUGAAGCUAUCAAAGAAGCAAUGUGGACUCUAGGGUUGUUAGGAGACUUAGGUGUAGAAUGACAUAAGUUGGAUGUAUAUUGUGAUAGCUAAAGUGCCAUUUAUUUGGCCAGAUAUCAGGUACAUCAUGAUAGGACUAAGCACAUUGAUGUACGAUAUUUUUGUGUGAGAGAAGUGGUAGUUGAAGGUGAGAUUUGUCUAAAAAAGGUUGCUACAAAAGAUAAUCCAACUGAUAUGUUGACAAAGGUGGUUAAUGCAGCUAAGUUCGAGCACUACUUGGAUUUGGUGCAGUUGAAGCAAGUUUGAUCUUGCGAUAUGGUGGAGCAACGGAAGUUGUUUGAUGCCUCAUUAUGGAUUUCAUGCCAAGGUGGAGAUUGUUGGAUUUGGAAUUAAAUCAACAUGCCUAAACUAAAACAAGGAUCAAGAUAUCUUGGACGCAAGAUAUUUGGAUUUGUGUUUUCUAGUUGGUUUGGAAUUUGAUUUUAUUGUAGGAUUUGGUUUCCUGUAUUCCAAGGACUUUGUGUAAACCUAUGACAUCUAUUAGGAUAAAUAGAUCGAUGUGGGAUAGAAUUUUGUGUGUGAAAGUUAUGAGAGGCAUACGUUUGUAUACUUGAGAACACUUGUAUUUGUGAGUUCUCUUGUAUUUGUUGAUAAUCAAUAAAGCUUCCGUUGUUAGAGAGAUAAUCCUAUAGUGGAGGAACUCUGAAGUCGUUGUGUUUUGUUUAUUGCUUGAUUAUUAUUUUUUGUUUAGUUUACAACAUACUGAACAAAGACGUUGGUUUCCAAACAGUGCGCGACUCUUCUUUAUCAAAGGUGAGCCACCCUCUGCGGAAAGUUAAAUAGAACUCAUUAGUAAAUGCAAACACCCAGAUAUCAUUUAGGGAAAUUAACUGAUAAUAGUUUAUUAAAUAUAUUGAAAUUACUCUUAUAUAUUAUUAUAAAGAACGAAAAAAAAAUUUAUUUAUCUUCAUUAGUAUGUGAAGUUUUAAUUUCGAAUAUCGUGAAUGAUAAGUUCGAUACUAAAUUAUUUUUUAAUUUUAUUUUUUAAUAGAAUUAUAGUAUUAGCGGAUUAGAUAGUAAUUAUUUCUCCACCUUUUAAUUAUAUAGGUGGCUCGUCCUUUAUCUCCAAAAUCUGCUCACCACCACUGAUUUUGUUUGCCCGUUUUAUAGGGAAGAAAAGGGAACUGGAGGGAGACUUGAGUUGACUGCUCCAGCAGAGAACGCCAUACCCAUAGCUAAGAACAUCCCGCUAUACAUCCAAAGGAAAGAAACAUGCUAAAGUGAUGAUGGUGCUUAUCAUCUUAUGUAUUACUUUUAGAUGAGUUUUAGUUAUGUUAGUUAAUUAAGCAGCAAAAGGUUCAAUCCUGUUAAUUAGGGAUUGUUGCUAGGAAUCUAAUAAAAAUUUAAGUAAAUUGUAGCAAUGGUUCAUCAACUUUAAUCAAAUUAGAACAAUGGUCCAUCAACUAAAAAUUCAUUACCAUUGGUCCCUCAACUUAUCAAAAUAUGUAGCUAUAGUCAUUUUCAUCAAUUUCGUCAAAAUUUUGUCAAAAUAAGUUAUGUUGGAAUAACCAUUUAUAUAAUUAGGGUCCCUCAAAUCAUCAAAGUGUGUAAUUAUGAUCAUUUUCGUCGACAACGUCAAAAAUUUCAUCAAAACGAGUUAUGUUGGAAGAAUCAUUGUUACAAUUAGAUUAGAGUUAAGGUAUCAUUUCUCCAGUUGAAUUAAAGUUGAGGGACUAAUGAUAAUAUAUUUUAAGUUAAAGGACCGUAACUGCAUAUUUUGAUGAGUUGAUGGAUCAAUAGUAAUAGAUUUUUAAUUGAAAGAUCAUUGCUUCAAUUAAGUUAAAAUUAAGAGACCAUAAUUACAAUUUACUCUAAAGAUUGUAGUGGCUGCACGAAGCUGAAAAAUUAAGUUUUAAACCACGUGGAUCAUUUCAAGUGAUCGACUUUUGGUUUGGAAGGUGCCAAAAAAACAAAUGUUGGAAAUAAGAGUUAUUAUUCAAGCAAACUACAAAUUAAUAAUUGUGUCCACUUCUUUUGGACGAUGAUGCGUUUAAGUCAGUCAGGCAAGGCAACUUGGAUAAGUCGAAAUUUUGACCAAAGUGUGAACCUUUUGAAGGUACCCCAUGACGCGGUUCACUGUUUGUGUGCUUGAUAAAUAAUAAUAAAAAAAAUCAAGUAUAACAAGUUGUAUACAGUAGAUUUAUGAUUCGUUUAGACGUACUUUUACAAUGACUCAAAAUUAUUUUAGAGAAAAUAAUUUUACGUUCCAAAAGCAUGUAGAUUGCUUCUUGGAAUAACGCAUUAGUUGUGUGCUUUUUUCAGGAAUCAGUUCAAGUGUUUUUUUAGAAUUCACUUACAUUUUUACUAAAAAUUAAUUUCAAUAACAUUUUCAUCAAAAACCAUUUUAACAAUUUUUAAAUCACUUUCAAACAAAUCCUUGAUCAUCAACUCGUUGUCUUUCUUCUCCUAAAAAAAAAUAUCAGUGUUGGAGAACUGAAGAUAACAUACAUGAUGAGAUUUAAAGAUUGUAUUUAAUUUUUCAAGUUAUCCUCCAAGUUAGUUUUUAAGAGGAAAUAGUAUCAAAGUACCAUUUCAAUUGGGUUUGGGGAUUUGGAUCCUCUCCUGAGCAAAGGAGACAGAGCUUCAUGACUUACAUAUACAGACUGUUAAAUUUUGAUCUAACGACUACAAUUAUUAUAACUUUAAAAGUAUAUCAUAUUUGUAAUCAUUAGAUAAAAAUUCAACGGUCUGUGUGUUUGAGUAAUGAGAAUUUGUCUCCCUUGCUCAGGAGAGGAUCCAAAUCAAUCGUGUCUAAUGAAGAUAAGUUGCUUUGUUUACCGAACAAACACGUCGGUUUCCAAACAGUGCCCGACUCUUCUUUACCAAAGGUAGGCCACCCUCUCUAGAAAGUCAAAUACAACUCAUUAGUAAAGGGCAAGGAUUGUUUGCCCUCCCACUUCCUGCGUCCUCCCGUGCCUUCUGUUUGUAUGGUCAUGGUUAAAUCACGUCAACAUUUUAUAUUACUAUUUAUUUUUGUCUUAUUAUCUCUAUGAAAAAACAAUAUAAAAUGUUAACGUAAUUUAAUUAUGACCACACAAAACAGGAGGGCAUCGGAAGUGGGAGGGCAGACAAUCCUUGUCCUUAAAUGCAAUCACCUAGAUAUCAUUUAGGGAAAUUAACUGAUAAUAGUUCAUUAAAUGUACUGAAAUUUCUCUUAUAUAUUAUUAUAAUAAACGAAAAAAUAGUUUAUUCAUCUUCAAUAGUAUGUGACGUUCUAUUUUCGAAUAUCGUGAAUGAUGAGUAGUGUUGAUGCACAAAACCGGAGGUCUUGGAAUAACGUAAAUCCGACCGUGAAUCUGCAAGAAAGUAAAUAACACAAAAUGUAUUGUGGUUCACCCUAAGGUUUGGGUUACGUCCACACUGAUAUUGUAUUUACCUGGAAUCCGCUUGCUACUUAGUUAUAUAUUAAACAUCAUUCAGCAUGUGAGGGAGACUUUGAUUUCUUUUGGUGUUCGUCCUUUAUCUCCGAAAACAUCUCACCACCACUGAUUUUGUUUGCCAAUUUGAAUUUUCUAGGAAAGAAAAAAGAACUGGAUCUUCUCCUAAGCUCAUGAUGGAGAUUUUCAUGAAUAAGCUAUCCCGACCGUUCAAAUUUGAUCUAAUAAUUGCAAUUAUUAUAACUUUUAGAGGAGUCCAUGUUUGGAGCUGUUGGAUCAAAUUUCAACGGUACGGAUAGACUACUUAGGAGGAUUCUUAUCCUGAGCUCAGUAGAGGAUGGCACUGGAGGGAGACUUGAGGGGACUGCUCUACUAGAGAAUGCCAUAGCUAAGGACAUCCCGCUAUAGAUCCAAAGGAAAGGACAGACUAAGUGAUAGCUCUUAUUCCCAACUUGUUUUUUCUUUGCACCUUCCAAACCAAUAGUCGGUCAAACUUAUUUUUUAAACUUGGUGCAGUCACUAAAUUUUUUAUUAGAUUCCCAGCAACAAUCCCCAACUAACAGGACUGAACCUUUAGCUGAUUAAUUAACUAACAACACUGAAACUCAUCUAAAAGUGAUAUAUUGGAUGAUAAGCAUCAUUGUCACUUAUUUUGUCCUUUCUUUUGGAUCUAUACUCUCACCCACACAUUCACACGCCAAAACAUCCAAAUCAGCUUGAAUUAUUCUGCCAUGUUUCCAGUUGGAAAUACAUAUCUCAUCUUUCAUAGUAAAUUAUUAUUAAAAGAUAAUUACAAUAAAACACCAUAACAUUAUCCUUUAACAAUAACAAAAUGAAUUAUCUUCACUUUUCAUCUGACGGUGUGAAGCUAUUUUCACUUAACGACCUUGAUUGCAUGGGCUGAUGGUGUAAAUUUGAGUCCAAACAUUGCCCUCCAGUUUUCUUGAGCAUUAGCUCGUAAACCGAAUGGUUAAGAAAAUUAAUCAUUUAUGCCUGACCCUUAACCGUUCAACAUGUUAUUUGGUUAUCCACCCCAUUCAUUCAAAAGGAAAAACAAAGCGGAGCCGAAAAACACCAAGCCAAAACAUGUUUGCACUCGGCCUAAAGAUUUUUUGAACUAAUGCCAACAACAAAUGACUUUGUGAAAAACCAAGGCCAUAAAAAUUUUAAUAUUAGCCUAAUUCUUUUCCACCAAAUGGCCUCUCAUAAUUUCUUUUUGCUGAUGGGCUACUCUGACACACCUAAAGCAAAUUGGACAAGGAUUGUUUGCCCUCUUACUUUUGGUGUCCUCCUGUUUGUAUGGUCACGGUUAAGCCACGUCAACAUUUUAUAUUACUAUUCAUUUUUAUCCUAUUAUAUCUAUAAAAAAAAUAAUAUAAAAUAUUGAUGUGACUUAACCGUGACCAUAUAAAAUAGAAAGGCACAAGAGGGCAUCAGAAAUGAGAGAACAGACAAUCCUUGUCCAAGGAAAUUAAGCCUUAGAAAUUUAUGGUCUUCAAAAGUGGGUAAUUUUCUAUACCUCCAAGUUUCCAACCUCAUUGUGGGGUCCCAACCUAGUUCUCAUAAACGAUACGUCACUAAUAAUGUAGCUUUUUAUUUUUUAUUUUUUAACAUCCGAGGCCAAAGAAGAAACACGAAUUCAACCUUGCCGAGUAGGCCACUUGUUGAGGAAGAAGAGCAACCAUAGACUAGAUGAUUGGCUUCUAUGCUGAAUAAUCAACAGACAGAACAACGUGGAGAAUCAAUAACCUCGGCAGCAAUAUAUGACAGUACACAGUACACUAGAACACUUUUCAUGUAAGCUAACUUUAUAUAUAUAGGACAAGGAUUGUCUGUCCUCUACUUUCGAUGUCAUCCUCGUGCCCUCCUGUUUUGUGUGGUCACGGUUAAGCCACGUCAACAUUUUAUAUUAAUUUUUUUAUAGAUAUAAUAAGAUAAAAAUAAAUAGUAAUAUAAAAUGUUGACGUGGCUUAACCGUGACUACACAAACAGGAGGGCACAGGGAGGGCAUGGAAGUGGAGGGUAGACAAUCGUCGUCUAUAUAUAUAUAUGACAACACACAGUACACUAGAACACUUUAACUUUAUAUAUAUAUAUAUAUGUAUGUAUGUAUGUAUGUAUGUAUGUGUUGACCCUAGAAAUUACAAAGCCUACGUGGCGCGUAGGCCGAGUAUAUUCUAAGCUAACUACGUCCUUCGGUGAUUGCGGGGCGUGCCAACUCGUCGGCCGAGGCUUGGCCGAGGAGUAAAUUUGAUGAUGCUGCGUUGGGUCGCGCUACUGACUUCUGCGUCUUGUGAUUACGGCCGAGAAAGGAACACGUCUCGGCCUCUUGGGUUCUCGAGCCUGAAGACAAGGCUGCUAUUUCUUACAAAGUUCACGAACCGAAUUCGGCUUGCAAUGUGCCGAAUGUAAUAACUGUGACACCUCACCUCGCCGAGAAGGCUAAUGAGAUGACCUCGACCAACAAAGAUUCGAAAACCCUUCUCGACCGAGACUUGGAUAGGUAAUCGACCGUUCUCGCCGCAGUGCUGUUGAUGCCAACGGAAGAUACUGCGAGACCGACCGACUCUACGGUGACAGAGCUAUCUAUGCCGACUUAAGAUAUCACCGGUUGCUUCCACAGUGCUGUUGAUGCCAACGGAAGAUGUGUCAGCGAAAAAGGAAAAGAAAAAGAUCUCAAGUUGUGAGAGUUUGCGCAGGGCAAUUUUGUGUUGAUUUGCAGAGGGCCUUUUCUGAUGCACAGCGUCCCCUAUUUAUAGUACUGAACUUUGAAUCCGAGUUUAAAUCCUACUCGGACUAGGUUUCCCUCUCCGGAUCACCUCGACCAGUCCUACAUCUACUAGGACUAUGAACCUAGUCCUUAGCUAAGCUGGAUUAGUUUCCUGGAUAUCCGAUCCCGUCGAGACUCCCCAUUGCACUAGGAUUCGUCCUAACCGCCCUAGGUUUGGGCUCCCACGGGUUGACCGAUUCAUGGUCCUUUUGCCGCCCGGCCCCCUGGGCCGAGAGUGAUCCUACCCUCGGCCCAAACUAUUAUUUUGGGCCCAAACAUUGCCCCCUCGCUUCUGAGGUCCUCGACCUGAAACCUUCGGCCGAGUUUCGGCCUUGAAGAAGCGAAUCUACCACUCAGGAUCCCAAUACCCGAGUUCCAAGGCGCAUUUAUUGAGCACGAUCGCACGAUCUUGAUCCUGCCAACCCACUCGCCACGUGGCGUCCUCUAACAUGGCCAAUCCCCCAUAAUGACGUCUAAGGCGUGCGGCAGCCUGAACCGUCUUGCCAUCAUGACCACUAUCUCAAUCCGCGAGCCACUACCUCAGUCCGUGAGCCCACUUGUCAUUGUGCAGGCGUCGAACCGUCUUUCGUCAUUAAUUUCACCGUCACACGCAAUCAUGCGCCCCCAAAACCCUAAAACCUUCGGUCUUCUCAACCGCAUUUCCCAAAUGUUCAUCAUGAUCAACAAUUCCUUCGGUUGAUUUUGCCCUUUGUUUUGAAUUUCGAACGAUUGUUCUUCCCCCCAUAACUCUAUAAAUACCGAAAUUCCCUCAUUUGUACUUUUACGCUCUCAAACUUCCUGAAAUCCUCUGCCAUUGAUUUCUAGUGCAUUUCUCCUAUUCCAAGUCUUCGUCUUUAAAUCCCCAACCCAGACAACCCUUUUACUCCGUGCCUCUUUCUCACAAUGGCGUCCUUCAUCUCCAAGCUUUCCAGGGAAUGUGACCAACACCAGAAGAUUGUUGAUCGGAGCUCGAUCAAGACCAUCUGGUUUGAAAACGACAUGAGCACCCAGUACCAAAUCCUGGGUCCUCUCUUCAAGGCUACAAUACCGCCGACUAUCAUCGGCCUUCUACAGGAGCACUGCCUAACACCCUUGCUUCAAGGGUUUGAAUGGUCGCGAUGGGAUGCGGCUAAACCCCAAGGCUCCUGGCCCUCGACGACCACAUCCUGGGCAGCCUGGGUCGUUCGAAUGGAACGACUCUUCGGCGAGCAAUGGAAGGCCCUUGGCAUCUACGACGCCAUCCUCCUUUCGUCUAUGGAAAUCGUCCCCGACAAGGAGCUUCUCCAAGCCGCUCUGUGCUUCUGGUGCUCGGCCACCAACAUGAUUGUCCUUCCUCUAGGUCCCAUUGGUCCCACCGUCCUGGAUAUCACUGCCAUUCUGGGGACUUCGGCGACCGGGAUCCCUGUCGACGCGACCCUCUCUGGGCAUCCGUCGAAUAUCGACCUGAAAACGCUCUUCGACCGUCGGGCCUUCGAGACCUUGAACCGUGACGGUCAUAUCCCGUCGAAGGAAGAUAUUCAGAAGCUCCACAAGAACUUCUGCAAUUACAACACCCUCUAUCUUCACUUCGCCGGCCGAGGAGAAGAAGACCUGCGAGAGGGAGAGCAUGAAGCCUUCCUCUUCUACUGGUACAACAAAUACGUUUGUUGUACCAAGUCAAACAAGUGUUUGGUCGAGAACAUGCCGGUAGCCGAAGCCCUGGCUAGUGGUCACGUCUUGGCACUGAGUUCCAAUAUUCCCGCCCAACUUUUCCGCUGCCUGGCCGAGGCGACCCUCCACAAGGUCGACCCACACCAGAAUGGUCAUCUCUGGGUCUUCCAACUCUGGUUGCAGGUAUACUUCACCUCCCUUCGGCCGGCCAUAGCUGAAUUCUCACCAACAGAGGCGCUUGGACCUCAACUGGCCUCUCGACCGACACCUCCCCAUCAAGCCGAAGAGGUAUUUCGGUACCUCUUUCGCUCUCGACGACUUCUCCAACGACGAGUUCCUAAUAUGUCGUCGUCGAGACUAUCCUUCCUCCAUCAGGCUGCCUACCUCCCCAUGGAGCGCGGAGGAGGACGCCGAUCUUCGUCAGACCUGGGGGUCGUUUGUGCUUGCUCGCGACCUCCCUCUCGGCUGUGAUAGGAAACGGUCAGGUUGGGAAGUAUAUCAUCCGAACUUCCUUGCCCGACAGCUCGGCUACCUUCAGGGCUGCCCUAUCCCCCUUCUCUCCUCCCGAACGGUCCUAAGCCGUGGACGCGAACCUCGUUCCUCUGAGAAGGAGUGUAGAACCGCCGUGAGGGAAUUCCAAGAGCACUGCCCAAAAUUCCGGCUUCGACCAGCCACCCUAGAAACUCAUUGCACCGACACCUUCGGUGAGUGGUGGGAAAAUUACACCCAAGAGUUCUUUAGUGCGCCGGUCGAAGAUGUGGUGAGCAGACUCUUCGGCGACCGACCUAAGAAGGCCUCGGCCCCUCAUACUCAAGGUACCUGUUCCAUUUUCCUCAUUUCCAUCAACCUUGCAUAUUGAUUUGCCUUACUGAAUUGUCUUUAUCUUUUUAGGUAGUCGGCCUUUGAGAAAGACGGAGGCAGUUGCCGCUGCUACGGCCGGGAAAAAAUCGGUCGUGGCCCAAAAGGACAACCCGCUAGUAGGGCCGUGCUGAUCAAACGGCCUCGCCAAGAGGCCGGGCCGGCUAUCGAGCCUUCCCCGCCUGCCAAGCGGGUCAAACAACUGGCGAAGAAAGGUGCACGGGAGAUCCACGUUAUCUCCAGCCACACGAGGACUCCAAGUGCUUCCCCUUCUCCCGCCGCUGGCCAUUCUGGGGUCGAGAAACAGCCGGCUUCGGCCGUAGAGACGGCCCCAGCGCGGCCUGCCUCUGUGGCCGGCGAAUCAGUUGUACCUCCCUCUGUCGAGAAGGCACCUGUCUCACAACAGGCGGUUCCUUCGACCGAGGGAACCUCUCCCAAGAAUCCAAAGCCCUCGGUCUUCGUGUUGGAAGAGAGUGAGGGGAGUGACGAGGUCCCGCUGGCGCGUCGUCCUCAUACUCGUCGAUAACCUCCUCCAGUAUCCGAGAUGGAGGUUCAAACCGGCCCCUCCCCGGCUAAUCGUGGCAAGCGCACGGUCGAGGAACCGACCCCGGUGGCCGAACCUCUCGUUCCUUCUCAGGACCAGGACGUCCCUGCCUCCACUGAAGUAGCUGCGCCAGUCGGCCCAUCGGCAGCCGACCGUGGCAAACGGCUGCUCGAGGAACCCGAGGCCACGGCGGAAUCGUCGAUCCAUCCUCAAGACCAAGGCUUCCACAUUCCUCCACAGGAGGUUACCUCGGCUUUUGUAAGUGCCUUCAAUUGUCUCCUCCUGAUUGCUUUUCUGCUUUAGAAUUCUAAACAAGGAAAAACUAAAUGUCAGGUGCCUGUACAUUCUUUUCACCGUCAAUUCUAUGCGCCGAAGGGCGUUAUCUAUAUUUCCUGGCCGCCUCAGUGGCCAUCAAACGUAGAUAACCUCCAUCGGCCGCGUGAAGUGAGAAGCAAUCUGAGACAUUGGGCUUGGCCAUUGAGUUCUUUAGGUUCGAGCAAUGACCCUGGGGACAUGGCCGAGGUCUCCUCUCGGCAGGUAAAAAAAUGACACCUUCUUGCUAUUCUUGUCAUGACUUCCUUUAAGCUUAACCUUGUCUAUUCGUGCAGGCUUCAUGGGAGGUUGAAUUCAAAGCCCUCAUCUCCAGCACGACUGCAGAGUCCGGCCCUUCGGCCGCUCCGAUUGAGGCUGCCGAUCCAAGCGCCCUAGCCCAGUUGCGAGAAGUCCUGUCGCUCUCAUCAUCGCAAGUACUUGAGCGCAACGGUCUUGAUCUGCUCGGCGUGUGUCUGAACGACCUUGGAGCCGACGGUCGCCUGAGCGGAGAUGCCAUUGUUCGAGCAUCGUCUGCCUUGGAGCGUGUUCGGGAGACAUUUAGCAUCUUCCAGACUGCUCUGAAGGCCGAACAGGACCUGCAAGCCGCCACAGCCGUUCAAGACACCCUCCGUCCGAAGAUUGACGAUCUACGGGCAAAAGGAGAAGCGUUAGCCGAGCUCGACCGUCAGAUGGCCGAACUAGCAAAACGCCGGUCGGCCAUUGCUUCUGAGCUUGCGAGGGACUUCGAGUCAGGCGGGAAGGAUCGCCUAACUGAGUAUGCGGCGGCAAAAAAACGGGUCGAAUGCCUGAGGCUGGACAAAAAGAAUCGGCAAGCCGAAGUCAUCAUGGCCGACGUGCGGUGGUUGGAGUUGAAAGCUCUGCUCAGCACUCUUCUUCCCUCGUCUCCUUGAAUGUAUUUGACCUACUCAUUUUUGUAAUACCUAUCAAUUUUAAUGGAAUGAUUUUUUCUACUGGUACAACAAAUUUUUUAUUCACGCAUUUCCCAUGUGACCGGAUAGUAUUUCUUCAAGAACUUCCCAUUAAUCGGUAAUUUGUGAACUACUCCAGUCCGGUCUUUAAGAUGAUACGCCCCUUUGCCGUAUACCUUAUGCACAAUGAACGGCCCUUCCCAAUUCGGCGACCACUUGCCGAACCUAGGAUCUUUUAUUCCUACGGGCAACACCGUUUGCCAUACCAAUUCACCCUCGCCGAACGUUUUCUGUCGUACCUUUUGAUUAUAGGCUCGCUCGGCAAUCUGUUUUUGUGCCACCAGUAAGUUAUAAGCGUCAAGUCGCGCCUCUUCCAAAUCUUCUAAUUCCUGUCUUAUGGACUGAUUAUAUUCGGCGCUAAACAAACUACUUUGUUCAAUUAAUCGCAACGAAUUUAUGCUCAACUCGACUGGUAGCACCGCAUCGUGUCCAUAGGUCAAUGCGUAUGGGGUUGUUGCAGUCGCCGAUCGGGGCGACGUUCGGUAUGCCCAUAAUGCCUCGUUCAACUUCAAAUGCCACAUGCCAGGCCUUUCUUUUAUUAUUUUUUCGAGGAUGCCAAUCAACACUUUAUUACUUGCCUCAGCCUGCCCAUUCGCCUGUGGAUAAUACGGUGUGGACUGUUCCAGCCGAAUUCUCAAAUUGGCCGUGUAUUCCUUAAACCUUUCGGCUGUGAAGAUUGUUCCAUUGUCGGUUAUGAUCGUUUCUGGCACACCGAACCGGGUCACAAUGUGUUCCUCCAUGAAAUCGUAAACUUCUUUAGAUGUUAACUCGGCAUAUGAUUUUGCUUCGACCCACUUAGUAAAGUAAUCAGUUGCGACUAUUAUCCAUGCAUGCUUAGCAGCUCCAGAAGUCGGCGUGAUUUUGCCGAUUACGUCCAUGGCCCAUCCUCUAAACGGCCACGGCUUAAUGACCGAAUGUAGCGAUUCGGCCGGGACCCUUUGUAUAGGCCCAUGGAUUUGGCACUGCACGCAUCCUCGUGCAAACUCGAUACAAUCUUUCAGUAUUCUCGGCCAAAAAUAACCGUGUCGUCGGAGUAGCCAUCGCAUUUUCCGUCCAGACUGGUGAGCUCCGCAUACCCCUUCAUGAACCUCUGCGAUCGCUCGAGCACUCUCUUGGGGGCCGAGGCAUAGCAAUAACAAACCAUCUUCGCCCUUUCGUACAACUCGUUCUGGUACGUGACAUAGUUCGUGGCGUGAGCCCGUGUCCUGCGACUAUGUUUUCCGUUAGGAUUGUCAAGGUACUGCAUAAUGGGCUUUCUCCAAUCAUCUGGUACUGCCUCGGCCGCGCAAAUUUCUAUAGAGUCCUGCCGAUCUAACAACGAAGGCAAGGACAUGACCCUGGUGCGUAUCACAUUGUCUCGACGGAGGAUUUGCUGAUCAACCAAGGCCGGGUAUAAUUGUCGUAAUAUUGGUAUCUCCCGGCCUAGCUUGCCCCCCAGGAGUUGUGCACCGGAGGCGAUUUGAGCCAACUCGUCUGCGUCGGUAUUAUGAACCCGAGAAACAUGCUCGAAUGUAAUACCGUCAAAGGACUCGGCCAAAUAGCUGGCGACCAUGUGGUAAGGCGCCAGAGUACAACUCAUGCAGCGAAAAGACCCAUUAAUUUGGUUAAUCACUAGUUCAGAAUCCCCGAGGACGAGGACACGAGUGGCAUGUAGGUCAAGAAGGAGGCCAAGACCAAUGACAAGAGCCUCGUAUUCGGCCUGAUUAUUGGUGCAGUCGAAAUCCAAUUUGAGCGAAAAAUACCAACGAUCGUUGUGAGGAGAUUGAAUGACGAUGCCUGCGCCGGCCGAGGACGAAGUACUGGAACCAUCGAAAUACAUCGUCCAAUAGUUGUCGCGGGUCACCACCAUGCCGAUUUCGACGUCAGCACUCCCCGAAAACCGUAAGGCGAAGGGUGCUGGGCAAGGAAAUCGGCCAACGCCUGUCCCUUCACAGCUUUUUGCGGCACGUAUUGCAAACUGAACUCGGACAACGCCAUCGUCCAUUUCCCAAUUCGGCCCUUCACAAUUGGCCGGGUAAGCAUGUACCGGAUAACGUCGGUCUGGGCAAUGACUUGGGUGACCGACGGGAGCAUGUAAUGCCGAAGCUUGGAUGCAGCGAAGAACACGGCGAGACAGAGCUUCUCAACGGCGGAAUAAUUGAUCUCCGGAUGACUCAGAUUACGGCUGAGGUAGAAGAUAGCCUGUUCCCGUCCGGCAUCGUUGUCUUGCGCAAAGAGGCAACCGAUAGACUCCUCGGCCGCCGAAAUGUAUAGCUUGAGAGGCUUACCGCGCUGAGGAGGGACCAGGACAGGUGGAUUUGUGAAGAGAAACCUUGAUCUGUGUAAACGCCGCCUGAUGCUCCUUAUUCCACACGAACUUAUCUGAGUCCUUGAGUUUCAAAAGUGUGGAAAACGCUUUCAUCUUUACCUGCCGAAUUAGCAAUAAAUCGGCGUAAAAAAUUGAUCUGGCCGAGUAAGGACUGUAAUUGUUUCUUCGUUGUUGGGGGUGGAGCAGUGAUGAUUGCGCGUGCCUUAUUCUCAUCGACUUCAAUCCCACGAUGAUGUACGAGAAAACCAAGAAAAUUCCCGGCCGAUACACCGAAGGCACACUUGGCAGGAUUCAUCUUGAGGUUGUGCUGACGCAUGCGGAGGAAAGCCUGUCGGAGAUCGUCCAGAUGUGUCUGUCGGCGUUUAGAUUUGACGACAACAUCGUCGAUAUAAACUUCGACGAUGGUGCCAAUUAAAUCAUGGAAGAUGGUGUUCAUCGCCCGUUGGUACGUGGCGCCGGCAUUCUUGAGGCCGAAUGGCAUGACAACCCAUUCGUAAGUGCCGAGUGCCCCCGGGCAACGGAAAGCAGUUUUGUGCACAUCGGCUUCGGUAAUAAAUAUUUGGUUGUACCCGGCAUGUCCAUCCAUAAAGGAUAAGAUCGCAUGAUUCGCCGCGGCAUCGAUUAACAGGUCCGAGAUCGGCAUGGGAUACUCGUCUUUGGGUGUUGCCAGAUUCAGAUUUCGAAAAUCGGUACAGAUGCGCAGUGCACCACUUUUCUUUAAUACAGGAACAAUAUUCGCCAACCAUUCGACAUAUCGAGCUGUCCGAAUGAACCCGGCUUUCAAAAGCCGAACUAGUUCGUCCUUAACACUGAGUUGUACUUCGGUCGAGAAUCGACGAGGUGGCUGACGGAAAGGCUUAAACCCGGGCUUAAUACGUAAUUCAUGCUCGACUAAAGCACGAUCUAAGCCGGGCAUUUCAUGAUAACUCCAAGCAAAACAAUCUUUGAAUUCCGUAAGCAAGGCCCGCAACUCGUCCUUCAUUUGUUGAGGAAGUAACGCACUAAUAAACAAAAGCCGUGGGUCAUCGACCGUCCCAACAUUAAUCUCUUCCAAAGGGUCCUUAACAAGGGGCCGAUGAUCUUCGAGCUCGGCCGGGGCGGCUCGAAUUUUAUCAAAAGAUAAUACAGGCCCAUUAUCUCCCUCAGCAAGGAACUCGACGAGGUUGACGCCCGAAUUUGGUUGUUUAGAUAUCGUAUACCAAUGGGCCAGCAGUCGUUCCAUAGUAGAUGAAACCGCGGCCCUACGUGCUUCCCGAUCGGUGUCAAACAUCAGUUUCGGGGAGAAAGUUAGCUAAUCCGAGUCUCGCCGAAUCCUGCUGGACAGUCUCGGCGCCAACCUCGAUAGCUUUCUGAACGGAAAUCCGAGUCGGCCGUCCCUCUUCAUUGAAGCCUUGCAACGUAAUAUAGCCGACGUGAUCGUCAUAAUACCGUGCUUGAAUCAUGUUGGUUUCGAAGGGCUGGCUAUCGGCCGGAUGAACAGUGACCGAUUUGCCGUCCCAAAAGACAAGCACUUGGUACAAUGAGGAAGGAAUACAACUGGUUUGAUGAAUCCAAUCUCGGCCGAGCAGUGCAUUAUACUCGGUUUUGGAAUCAACCACGAAAAAGGCGGUCAUAUGGGUGCGACCGGCAAUAUUCACAGUUAACGGAAGCACACCUUUGGUGUGGGACUUGUCGCCGACAAAACUACUCAUUGUGAUCCCUGACGGAAUAAGCUCGUCAUUUGAACGGCGUAAGGCCUUCAUGAUGUUCAGGGGCAUGAUAUUGACAGUAGCUCCACAAUCGACAAAAACUUUAGAAACCGGAUAUCCCUCGAUGUGUGCCGUUACAUACAAUGGUUUUAAAUGGUGAAGCUUGGCCGAUGAUAAACGAGGGAACAAUUCGGCCAAAGCAGCCUUUAGACUAUCAUCUUUUGUUGUUGGCUCGCCUUCAGCAAUUGAUACGAAAUCAACAUGGCCGGGUUCCUCAGCAACCACAUCUCCAUCGAGGAAAUUUGGUUGAGCCGUGCUUGAUUGAAAAUCGGCAGGUAACACAUGGACCAUACUGAUUUCCAUAUUAUCCAGGACUGACGUGCCCAACUGGUCAAGACCUUCCUCGUUCGGUUGGUCAGCGACUACGGACUCAGUUAUCGUCAGAGUCGGACAACGAGAUUCUUCCGUCCCUUCUUCAAUAAUGUCACUCGACGGAGCCGCUUCGGCCACUUAUUGGUUCUGCGUGACCGCCUCAGGUAGGGUCGAGAUUGACAAUGAACUUGGGGUCAAAACCUGAACCUGCUCCUGGUAGUGUAGCCAAGCAUCCCUAGUGUCAAGAUAAGCAUCCAGACGGGCAAUACGUGCGAUUUCAUCGGUCGUAAGGCCGAAAAGAGAAACCGCCGAAAAUACUUCAAAGUGAUACCGUAAAUACUGAAGGUCCUCCAGCGAGAAAGGAAGGUCAGCGACAUCGAUAUCGGAAUACGGGUCGACUUCAAAUCCAAAAACACGAGCUUCUCGUAUGUGCUGAAACCUUGCUUUCAAUCCUGGAUCUGAGGUCUUCUGGAUAAUCCGCUCAGCAUCCGGACAAGUCAGGAUCAUAUCAAUGGUGUCCUGACACGCCUUCGGCAAACCAUACAGAUCGUUGGCCGAAUGUUUCUUAUGAAAUUCUUGCAUAUACUCCAAAGACUCCCCAAGGAACGGGGGAUGCAAAUUCCGUCGAAUUUUGACCAAAGGCUCUUGUAUAACUAGCGGGGAUAAUUUGCUUUCGGCCUCUUGCCUGAAAUGUUCAAAACGUGCCUUCAUUUCCCCUGGUCGAAUGAGAAGUUUGAUCCGUUUAUCAGCUUCUUCAAACAUGGUCUCGACGUCUUGAUCGACCAGCCGUUUCCCCUGAGCCAACUCUAUCAUAAUUGCUGGAGGUGGUCGCUCCUCAUCAGUGGCAACUGUAUCCUUCGGCCGCCACUUAGGGGCCGAAGUUUCUUGGGCUGCUUGUCGGCGAGCCAUGCAAUCUAUCCGUUGAUGCCGGCGUUUCUGAGAUUUGGACAACGCGGUGUAGACGCCCUUCGAAGAAUGAUAUGUAUACCAACGUUGAUCUCUAGGCUCGGGAGGCUUGAAGGUCUUUUGACUCCGUGAUGAUCUUGAACUGCUAGAAUUACGCUUAUAGUAAUCAUCGUCAUAAAAUGAAGCAUCAAAAUCGAGGCGCCGCCUGACCGGGGGUGUCUCUUCCAUCCGUACUUUAGGACCAAGCCUCUCAAAAACCCCGUGAUGGUGGCCUUCAUUGGCUACCUUUUGCCGAGUUGCGGCCACAGGCUCCGAAGAAGGCUUCUCCUCUGGUUCACUGUCGACCUUCGCUCUACAUUUCCUGCACAAAACCGCCGUCCCACUAUCUUCAUCGGCGCUAUAAUCCAUCAUAGGUUUGACAAUAGCGGGCCCCGUUAAAGCCGUAGGUGGUUUAUUUGAACGAAAAUCGGCCAUGAACCGUGGCCGAACAUUCUGAUUCCGCGGGCGUUGUGUCUCAACCACUUCAGCCUUGCCUUUCCCUUUGUCCUUGGGUAGGUACGCGUCGACCAUGUUUACUGUUGCCGUGGGGAAUGGAUCAGUAUCCACACUCAUCUUUUUUUCGGGGAAUUUCAGUUUGCCAUUAUCAAUCCAGUUUUGAACGUUGUCGCGAAAUACGACACAAUUGUUUGUCGUAUGUUUGCUUGAAUUGUGGUAUUUGCAAUACACCUUUCCUUUAAGCUCUUCGGCCUUAGGAAUGUUGUGACCAGGCCGAAGCUUGAUGAUUCUUGCGAAUAACAGUUGGUCGAAGAUUGCGUCAGCCUUGGUAAUAUCAAAAGUGUAGACCUUUGAUGGUUUCAACGCUCAUUCAGCGGUCGAGCGACUUUUGACUUCUCUAGAAUCAACCUGAGUUAAUGCCUUGCAAACGUAUGACUUAUCUAUCACUAUCUCGGCCGCAUCCACACUAACGCAUUCAUCCUCGGUUGACGCAUAGUUGACAGUAGGAUUUUUGUACAACGUCCCCCGAGAUGGCGUUUUCGAAACCUUCUCCUCACGGAGCAAGUAGUCGUACUGUUCAACAUGCUGGGCUAAUUCAUACAUGUCCCGAAAGUUUGCCCCCAGGAAUUUCUUUUUGUAUUCGACGUCGAGGCCGUUCAAAGCAAGCCUGACAAAUUUGACUUCGGGUAAGGGCACUCGGCACCAAUUCCUGGCCGAUUUGAACCUAGUGAGAUAGUCCAUUGGUGAUUCAUCAGAUGCCUGAGCCAUCCUUGCUAAUGAAGAAACUGACAUCUCCAUCCCUGGUCGAUAAAACUGCUCAUGGAAUUUCUCGACCAACUCUUCCCAGUUCUGGACGGAAUUGGGGGGUAAAUUAAUGUACCAAGCGAAUGCCGAGCCGGUCAAUGAGAAGUUGAACAGCCGUAACUUAUGAAAGUCACUAUUAACAUCUCCACAUUGCGCGGUAAAAUGAGCCACGUGUUCCAACGAAGAUAAGGACGAUUCACCGGCAAAGAGGCUAAAAUCUGGAAUCUUGAAGCCUUUAGGGUAUCCAAACGUUUCCACGUAAGCCGGGUACAGAUGGAUAAACUUAGGAAACUUCGGCCCCUUUUUCAUGGCCGAGUCAAUCAUCCGCUGGACUUCGGUCAUAUCAACAGGUGCUGCUUCACCCCUCUGGUUGGUUCCGUCUGACCCGCUGUUCGACCCUCCACCUUUUUCCAAUUCAAUUGGUUUGGGGCGAGCAGGAAUAGGUUCGGCCGGUACAAUUGGUGACGGAUUGUUUCCUGGAGGGCAAUGCUGGAGAAGAUCGGAAGGCCUGCUGCCACCGACUUUACUAAACAAUAUUUCGAGCAACCUGUUCUGUCGCUCAGCAGAACUGACUAUCGCAUCAUGCAGUUUGUCGAUGCCUCGACUAAAUGUCUGCUCGACUGACCGAGACUGCUCGUUUAGUCGCUUUCGGAGAAACGACCUCGUUGGUGGGUCAGAUCCUUCACCACCAUCCUCGUCACACUCUUCUACUAUCCUUUCAGUGAGAAUGCAGGUGUUCCUGUUAGGGAUUUCUGGACCGCAGAGUUGACUGCCGAGAUUAACUUCUCUCUCUCGGCGAGUCGCGCUUGUGGACUCAGGUGUACCAACGCUAAGGGGAUUCUGCGCCUGUGGCACACUCUGUCCUAUGCUCUGACUCGGUAAAUCGGCUGUCGACUUUCCCAUAGCUGUUUUCUUUUUACCGAUCGUGUUUCAAUUGGCAUGAACUUCGUAGUUUAGCACUGAGUCCCACUGGGUGUGCCAAAAUGUUGACCCUAGAAAUUACAAAGCCUACGUGGCGCGCAGGCCGAGUAUAUUCUAAGCUAACUACGUCCUUCGGUGAUUGCGGGGCGUGCCAACUCGUCGGCCGAGGCUCGGCCGAGGAGUAAAUUUGAUGAUGCUGCGUUGGGUCGCGCUACUGACUUCUGCGUCUUGCGAUUGCGGCCGAGAAAGGAACACGUCUCGGCCUCUUGGGUUCUCGAGCCUGAAGACAAGGCUGCUAUUUCUUACAAAGUUCACGAACCGAAUUCGGCUUGCAAUGUGCCGAAUGUAAUAACUGUGACACCUCACCUCGCCGAGAAGGCUAAUGAGAUGACCUCGACCAACAAAGAUUCGAAAACUCUUCUCGACCGAGACUUGGAUAGGUAAUCGACCGUUCUCGCCGCAGUGCUGUUGAUGCCAACGGAAGAUACUGCGAGACCGACCGACUCUACGGUGACAGAGCUAUCUAUGCCGACUUAAGAUAUCACCGGUUGCUUCCACAGUGUUGUUGAUGCCAACGGAAGAUGUGUCAGCGAAAAAGGAAAAGAAAAAGAUCUCAAGUUGUGAGAGUUUGCGCAGGGCAAUUUUGUGUUGAUUUGCAGGGGGCAUUUUCUGAUGCACAUCGUCCCCUAUUUAUAGUACUGAACUUUGAAUCCGAGUUUAAAUCCUACUCGGACUAGGUUUCCCUCUCCGGAUCACCUCGACCAGUCCUACAUCUACUAGGACUAUGAACCUAGUCCUUAGCUAAGCUGGAUUAGUUUCCUGGAUAUCCGAUCCCGUCGAGACUCCCCAUUGCACUAGGAUUCGUCCUAACCGCCCUAGGUUUGGGCUCCCACGGGUUGACCGAUUCAUGGUCCUUUUGCCGCCCGGCCCCCUGGGCCGAGAGUGAUCCUACCCUCGGCCCAAACUAUUAUUUUGGGCCCAAACAGUAUGUAUAUGUAUAUAUAUGUAUAUGUAUAUGUAUAUAUAUAUACACACUGCAGGCCAAAUGACCCCACGGUCGAGCAUCAGCACUCGGCAAUAAUACCUAUGUUCUGCCAACAUUCUAGUCUUCCUCAGCUGCUGCAAUUAUACAAGGCUCAGCAUCUUUGGCAAAUAGGGCCGAGAAAAAUUGGAUAGCCUAGAAAACUGGGCCAAGCACCACUGAGAAAACACCGCCAAAUAGAAUUAACUCGGCAAAAACUAAUGGUAAAAAAUGUUUAACUUAAACAAAUCCCCCACUUUUCUUUUCUUCUAUUUAACGUAGAAAAGCAGAGAGUUGCCGCAGCUCUCGACUGCCGAGGUCGAGAAAAAUUAGGCUGGGGUUGGGAGACAAACCAUUCUUAGCUCGGCCUAUGACCAAUCAAGGUCAACAAUGCAUCAAAUAAUCCUACGUGCCAAUUAUGCCAAUGUUGCCCUCUUAUUUUUUUAAGCAUCGGCUGAGCAGCCGAAUAAAUUCUUAUUCAUUUUUUUUAGCAAAAGAAAAUGAAAACGGCUGAAUCAUAAUUAGGAGGAGGCCAACGAUCUUUUAUUCCAAGCCGAGAUCGUUUUACAUCAAAAUUUUCAUUGUGAGUUUUUCCAAGCUGAAUAAAAGAUCAUCCCAAAAUAUGUUUGGCUUGACGGAUUUUUCAUCAUCGGCCGCCGAAUGAACUAAAUAAUUAUUAUUCCCCCGAGGCAUAAUUACUUCGUUAAUUUAGGCUUUUAACUCAAAUAACUUGGCCGAAUGAGAUUUCUCCAAAUCGGCUUUAUCGCCAAUAAUCAUAUCAAUUGGCGUGGUUUUGGCAUCUAAGAUCAGGUUUCUGCCAUGUCCAUCAUUAGAACACUCAUCUGACGAAUCAUUUUCUAAGUCAAUUUUUGGCUCAUAAACUUUAACUCUUUCUUCUAGGCCUACCACACUUUUAGUCUCAACUGAGACAACAGGUGGCCUAGGUGUUUCUUCGGCCAUCUUGGCAAUUUCCUGAGGUAGAAUUUUGAUUGUGGCCGAAGCGAAAAAUUAUCCCCCAGUCUUUUGAUCCAACCAUUCUUCAAAUGGAAUUGAUUUGAACCCAAGACAAAAAGGAGUUUUCUUAUCGAACCACUCAUAAAAUCGAGCUCUAUCUUCAUAUAACCAUUGAUCUUGUAAGUUGUGAUGAACCUUCACCUUUAUCAUUUGAGAGAAAGAUUUUUGCAUUUCUUCAUAUGCUUCAAGGAUCUAGUCAAGGAUUUUUCCUUGCUUCUCGACAUUUUCCUUGUAUAGGCGCCAAAUCUCACCCACUAAAGCCUGAUUGAGAUCUUGAUAUAUCAUGUGAACUUCAUAGUUUUAGCACUUGUCCCACUGGGCGUGCCAAAAUGUUUACCCUAAAACUACAAAGCCUACGUGGCACACAGAUCGAGCAAGGAACGCAUCUCGGCCUUCGGGUUCUAGAGCCUGAAGACAAGGCUGCUAGUUUUACGAAGUUCAAUAUCAAAUUCGGAUUUCAAUGUGCCGAAUGUAGUAACCUUGUAACACCCCACUUCGCCAAAAAGGUUGAUGAGAUGACAUCUACCAACAAGGACUCGAAAAUCCUUGUCGACCAAGACUUAGAUAAAUAACUAGUCGGUCUCAAAGUAGUGUUGUUUAUCCAAACUGAAGGUGCUCCUUGAUCGGCUGAUGGUACGGCUCUAGUAUUGUUUAUCCAAACUGAAGAUGUUGCCAGUUGCCUUCACAGUACUGUUUAUCCAAACAGAAGAUGUGUUGGUGGAAAAAGAAAAUAAAAAUCUCAAGGUUGUUGAGAGGUUUCGCGUUGAGCGAGAGUUUGCGCAUGGCAGUUUGUGUGUUGAAUUGGAGGGGGCUUUGAAUGUCGUCCACGACACUGUAUUUAUAAAAGAAAAUGUUGUGUGGCGCGGCCAAAUAAUUUUGUAAAGUCCAAUUGCAAUUCUAAUUCGUGAAACUGAACUUGAUCCGCAUCAAAGGCCAAGGCAUAUCCUUCAAAUUGAUCCGUGGGAUUUGUUCAUUGACUUUUCAAACCUAAUAAAAGUUAGGCACAUCACAUCAGAAACCAAACCUAUCUAGCCUUCUUCACAAUAAUCAGUUUGCAACACACCACUUGUCAGUCAACCAAAUUGAUCACACCCACACAUUCACACGCCAAAACAUCCAAAUUAGCUUGAAUUGUGCUGCCAUGUUUCCAGUUGGAAAUACAUAUCUCAUCUUUCAUGAUAAACUAUUAUUAAAAGAUAAUUAUGAUAAAACACCAUAACAUUAUCCUUUAAUAAUAACAAAAUGAAUUAUCUCCAUUUUUUAUCUAACGGUGUGAAUCUAUGUUCACUCAACGACCUUGAUUGCAUGAGUCGAUGGGGUAAAUUUGGGUCCAAACAAUUCUACUUAAAAAUAUAGGUAAUUUAUUUCACAGCUUCUCAUAUCCUUCUCCUCAAAUCUCUCUUUGCUUUUUGGGACUUCUCCUCCAUAUUAAAGAUAACAGUGUUUUUUUUUAAUUGGAAACAAAAUGUUGAAUUUAUGUUAUUUUGGUCAUAAAAAAAAGAUAAUAAUUAAUUUUGAUAGGGUUUCAAAAUCAUUUUACAAAAGGUUAUAUAUGUCAUUAAAAUUUUCAAUAAAAAGUGGGUGGGAAAAUAGGAUUGAGGGCAGGGGCAGAUCUAUUAAGGGACCUGAGUGGUCCCGGGACCACCCGAAAGCUCAGAUAAUUGGCUGUGAAGACUUCCAAGGACCACCCAAGUCUAGAGAGUGAUGGAGGGGAAAAGCAGCGGCUGCACAAAUAUUCUGGCUUUAUGUCAAACCAGAAGAAGAGAAGAAGAUUAUUUACUUUUUAAACAACAUCCUAGGUCACGACGUCAUGUGGAGCAUUAAAUAAAACGGUGAGUAUUAGUGUAUUGUUUGAGAACACCAUCCUAGGUCGCGUGGGAGGUUGAGAGCCUCACCAUUUUUUAUUAAAAAAAAAACACACACACACACACAAAACAAAAAGGGUUCGACUUUCAAACAAUUCCACUCCACCCAAAUUAACCCCCUAGUCCUAAUCCCCGUUCCCUAAUAUUCCCACCCCACCCAACCGAAGGCCACCAUCUCUUCUCCGUUCUCUUCUUCAGCCUUCACAUACCCAUACAUUUUAAGAUUAACUUGAUAUUUAUAUUCAUUCAAUGCGUUUAAGAAGUGACUUUUCUCAAUUGUAAGGGAUUAGUGAUCUUGCUAAAAAAGAGUAAAAAAAAGGUUGCAUCAAAUUGUUGUUUAUAUUAAGAUUAAGAAUAAAAAGUUGUUGUUGAUCGUUUAUUGUUUCAAUGUUAUUUUCAUCUAAUUUUUUCAGCUUUAUAUUAGGAUCACCCGAUGUUAAAAUCCUGAAUCCGUCACUGAUUGAGGUGUGGGUAUAUCAUGAUUAUCAUCACUCUUUAUUUUGAUGUUUAAAACGAGAUGAGUUUUUGUCAAAGAAAUAAAUGUUAUAUGGACUUAUAUCAAAAGAACCCAACAAUCAAUUGGCAUAUGACGAUUGACUGACGCAUGGAACAUGACGAUUGAUUUUCCAGGUUUCCGCUAUAAAAUGGAGCAAAGCAUUUACGUUUUUUCACACAGAAACCAGAUCAGAAGCCUUUAAUUUCGCCCUACGAAGUACUGCACUGGAAACAAAGUAUACUAGCAAGUUGUUUUAUAGGAGACAAAAUGGCAAUGGAGACGCGAGUUCUCAUUGUGGUGGCCGUGGUGGCUAUGUUUAUAUGCCUUCCCUCCGCAGCAUACGCAGCCGAGGGAACAGCCACUUAUUAUACACCUCCUUAUGUUCGUAAGUAUAUAUUUCAACAUUUUCAAUGUAUUAUCACAAUCUAAAUUACCUCCUCAUUGGGAAACUGGUGUUCUGUACACUGCUGGUUUUGCCAUGGUGUGGAGAAUUGGUGGCUCGUACAUAACUUAUGAUGUCGAUGCUCCUACUGGUAUUAAUUCUUAUGUACGUACCAGUCCGCCUCGGAGCUCGUUCUUAUCUUUAAAUCAAUCUGAAAUAACGUACAAUUUUUAGGGUCCAAGAAUAAGAUAAAAUUAUAUUCUAGUCUGUCUAGAACCAUAAACAUCUUAUGCUCACAAACAUUUUGGUACAUAGAUAUAUGUAUGUAUAGAAGAUUUCAAAUUUUGAGUAGUGCUACAUUUACAAUCUAUUUGUAUCAUUUCUCUAAUAGAGGUAGGGAGCAUUAACAAAUGUGGAUCCCAUCACAUUUAGAGAGAUGAUAGAAGUAGAUGGUAAGAAUAAUUUACCUUUUGUGUAUAUGUAGUCAUAUAAUUUUGUAAUUGUGUAAAUAAAUAGUCAAUGUUAACCCGGCUUAUUCAACUAAUCGUGUCGAAGGACUCAACUCGUUUAUAUAUAUGUUGUGAUGUUUAGGUUAAACUUACCUAUGUAUCUUGUGACAUGUAAACCUAUGACUAAUUUUCUGUAUCUUUUUUAUUUUAUUUAUCUAAAUCUACUUAUUCAUGUUAUUUCUAAAAUCACAUUUAACUUGAUCAAGAACCCUUAAAAAAAAACCAUUAAAAAAUUUAGCUUCAUAAUUGCAUAAAUGUCUUAAAUUGCAUACUAAUAAUUGGAGAAUAAGUGAAUCAGGUUCUGCAUAUAAUACUAGUAAACGUGUUGAUCGUGUCAAAAUUUGGGUUACCGAGUUUGGCACUAACCCAACUCGUUUAUUAUUGAUUGUGCUUAGGAGAUAAUUUCCUGUUCUUUUUUAUAUGCCAAAACUGGCAACAUGUAUGCAUGCCCUUAAUUAUGCAUGUAUUGUUUGGUGGACGUGCAGCAUCCUCAUGCAACGGAUACCAAAAUGAUGGAGUGAUGAUAGCAGCAGCAAGCGAUGCCAUUUGGGGCAACAGAGCUGCGUGUGGAAGAAGGUACAGUGUGACAUGUAUCGGAGCCACCAACCAAGGUGUGCCACAGCCUUGCAAGGGGAAUAGCGUUGUCGUUAAAAUUGUGGAUUACUGUCCUCCUGGAUGCCGAGGAACCAUCGAUCUCUCUCAAGAAGCCUUUGCUGCAAUUGCUAACCCCGACGCGGGAAAAAUCAAGAUUCGUUAUACCCAGUAAGCGCGUGCACACACGUGUGUAUAUAUAUAUAUAUAUAUAUAAAUAUACCAAUCUAUAUAAUUUUUUUUCCUUUUAGUUAAUAAAAUUCAUCAUAAUUAACCUCAAGAGUAUAAAAUGAAAUUUUAUUUCGUCUCGGUUUUGUGGUGAAUAUGCAGGGUUUGAAGCAAGCACGCUCUCCAAGAAUGAAUAAAGUAGUCAUUUAGACUAAGGUGGUCAUAUCAUAUGCUCCAAGGACCACUUGUAAUAAAACCUAUCCAAGUAAUUGUGUUUCACAAUUUCAGACGUGAUGAGCUGAUGUUAUGAAUAAAUGUGUGUUUAUAUAUUCAAAUAAAGAGUUUACAUAUUAUUUUUCAUUGUACAACAUCUGCAUGCACUUUCUCGAAUAUAUAUAUAUAUAUAUAUAUAUAUAUAUAUAUAUAUAUAUACGUAUAUAAAGUAGUGUUGAUGCACAAAAUCAAGAGGAUUUUGGACCAACGUAAAUCCGGCCGUGAAUCACACAAACGCACAAGAACACAAAGAUGUAUCGUGGUUCACCUCAAUGUUUGGGCUACGUCCACACUGAUGUUGAUUUUGAUUCACUGUAUGAAUGUAUGAAUUACAAUAGAUCGGCAAGGGAGCUCUGUGGAUGCAACCCUUGCCAUUUUGCUCUUUGUUUGGCUGAGAGGGUAUUGCCCUCUAUAUUGUGAGGGAUGUGAGAUGAGAGUCUCUGUUUCUUUUGUGAAGAUCGGCAAGGGAGCUCUGUGGAUGUAGCCCUUGACAUGAAUUCGUUGUUUUUCUAACCUUUGAUGACACAUUUAUUUACUAAAAUGAGUGUAUGUAGAAAGCAAACCAUUUAAAGUCUUAAAUUCCCCCACCUUUAUUAGCACACGAAGAAUAAAAAGAAAGAGUGAGAUCAACUAGGGGUUAGUUCUAUUCUCAUUCAUUGAUUCACUUAUUCCUUAAUUCGUUACUUCAUUCCUAAUAAGUAAAUAUGUCAUGAAUUGAAUAACUCAAAAGGUAAUCGAAGAGUAUGAACAAAAACAUUACUGUAAAAGAAAAAAAUUAGAGUGCAAAAAUCACUCAAAAUGAAUUAAGUAGGGUUUUUUUUUUUUUUUUUUUUUUUUUUGUUAUGCCCCCUAUAACACAAUAUCUCACAUUCCCUUUAAACUCAUAUUUUGUCACUUAACGUCAUAAAAAACAAUAUUCGCUUCACUUUGAUAAGUUCUGUUUAAUUCAUUGGGAUGGUUUAAUGGGGUCUGCUUCAGAGUUCAGAUCGUUUUGGUUAGCUAUCUAAAUAAAUGGAUAAUUUCGAUGUUGUAGUGAAGUUGUCCCACAAACAAUCAAAUUUUCAAAAGCUCCAAGCGUUUUUUUACCAUGUUCUUCCUCUGCAGCAAAACAAAGCAAUUUGAGCUCAGAAAAUACGGAGAGAGAUCUAGAGAGAGACGGAAGAAGGUGUUGUUUCCAGUGGGAGGCCAAGCGUUUUUUUUAAGGAAAACUAAUGAAAAUGGCUUGAAAACUUUGAGUUUUAACGAUAAGAACAAAAUAAAAGGUAAGGUGAAUGGUACAUGAUUGACUUUUUAGUGUAAAAAUAUGGUUUUUCGUUAAAGUGAACAAUACCUGGAACUUUUCGUUAAAGUUCCUUUUUUUUUACCAUCUUUCAUUUUUGUAUAGUAUAUCAUACAUUUUUGUGAUUAUAUCAAUAUAAGAAAACUGAGUUAAAUCAAUAUCCAAUUAGUUUUUGAGUAUCAUUUGACAAACAUAAAGACAAUAUUUGAAGUCCUUUAAAGAAUAAGGCAUAAAAAAGAACGUCACAUGAAUUUUGACCCUAUUCACAAUAUAGCAAAUUGAUUAAGACACUCAACUCACUUGUGGUGCAAGUUUCAUUCUAAUCAUAAAAUAUUCAAUCUUUUGCUUAGUAUUAAUCAAUAUUGCCAUGCCUGACAUAACAAAUAACUCAUUUAAGAGUCUGACACCUCCUUAAGGUGUUCAAAGGCAUUUUAAAAUGACAAGAGUAACAGACACUCGCAAGGAAAAUUGUGUGAGGGAACAUAAUUUUGGCACGGGUGCAAUUUUUUGCGAUUUGCAGAGGAAGAUGGAGCCAGAGUUUUCUAAUUUAUUGCAUGAAGUCAAGAAGGAAUGGACUCCGACAACAACUGGAGGCAUUCAGAAAUGGGUCAUUAAAACACGUGAAUUAUACAAGCCCGACAGAGUGCUACCCAUCCCUUUGAACUUAGACAGCAACUAAGCACGCCCACUUUGUUAUGUACCCAUCGCACCAUACUAGACUACAUAAAAUCAGUCAAUAUGGUGGUGGCGCAGGGUGGCUGCCGCGGUGGAACAGAAAGAACUAGCCAUCUCAACUCAAAGCACACUCACUAUAAUUCAAACACGAGAGUCAUCGAAACAACAAAAUUUAGCCAGUGUAUCAAAAAUUGAAAGGGGUAAAAAAAAAAUCAAGGGAAGCUACUAAUGUCUCCUCCAUGCCUACAGCGCCAGCCUACCAUGAAACUCAAGAAUUCCUAAAUUCAAAUUCCAGCGAAUGCCUUCUUGCCAGUGCCGGAAGAUCCAGCAGGAGUCACCUUCAACACGUUGAACCUCUUAGUCUCGAACAGUGGCCUGAACAUUGGUAAAGUACCCAAAAAAUGAACAAAAUGAGCACUAGCGCAUGCCAAAUUACAUACAUAAACAUGUAGUUAAAAACGAGCUAAGGUAAAUCACCUGCACUGGCCGAUGGUAACAUGAUCUCCUUCCUUCACACGGAAGCAUGGAGAUACGUGUGCCGGGAUGUUGGAAUGUCACUUUUCAGAUCUUAAGCUAGCGACAAGAACGAAAAAGAUUUCAGAAGAUCAAAGAGGUGUUGAAAAAUAUUAGUAUUUAGGUUUACUUUAAUGUUUGGUUUUCUGGGCUUAGCCUAUUAGCAUUAAGGUUUCGGUUUCUUACCUUUUUAGGGUUAAGCUAAGUCUAUUAUAAAUAGUAUGCUUGUUAUUCAGUUAAGAACAAGUUAGUUAUGUAGCUUCUUAGGGUUAUGUAGCCGUUCCGGCAUUCUCAUGUGUUUAAUAAUAUUCUUAUUAUUUUGUAGUCUUUUUUGUUUGGUAUGUUCAACUUGGUACCAAAAGCGGUUCAAUCUUUUGUGAUUUAAUCUGCUUUUGGUUGUUAUCAGUUUGUCUGUCUGUAUGUUUAGUUUGAUAUAUAAAAUUAAAACAAAGAAAAAAAGAUUGCUGAAGCUAUGUCGUGCCUCGCCACUCCGCUGCUUGAAUCGAUUCCGCAGCUAUCCGUUGAACUCGUUGUCUGCACCAGCACCCAUUGACCGCUGCUUCCCUUGCCGUACUCGCAUCCCCCGCCGCUGCUGCACUAGAACCGACCCACCAAGUAUGUUGUCUCGAUUAGAUCCCGAUGACAUUGCACCCCUCGCAGCCCCGCAAGCCAAAACCCGUCGCCAUACCCAUCUGCUCGUACCCGAACUUGCACCACCAUCUGAUUGCUUCGCUACUUAAACCUAGAAAUCAAUCGUCGCAUCCGUUGCAUCGUCGCCAUGCCACCAAAUCCCGCCUGCAACCCAUCGUCUCACCACCACCUGCUGUAAACCCACAUCGUUCGCUUGCUUGCGCGCCGCGCAGACCGGACCUGAUAAACCCACCCUGCUUGCUACUUGUUGUCUGACCGAAACCAGAUUGUGCCAUAAUUUGUCACUUUUCUUAAUCAUUGUGUUACGAAGCCCAAAAAAAAGGAAGGAAAAAAAUAGAAAAAGAAAACAGAAGAAGAGAGGGAAAAAAAAAAGGUAUGGAGCCCAUGAUCUGUUGGCUUAUUAUGAUUUGUUUGAAGGCCUUUUUUAAUUUUUUUUGGCCUUGUUGAUUGAAGCUACUAUUGGGCUUGGUUGGUUUUGAGACCUAAACGAGUUGUUAGACUGUUUGGAAUUGUUUUGUGACCGUCACUUGAGUGAUUGGACAUAUGACCACUCGAGUGAUAGUAGCUUUUUGGUUCUCGCUGUUUGUUGCUACAAUUGAGAUAUGGAAAUCUUGUCCAUUUAGUGAUGAAUUCUUUUCAUACUCUCAACACUGGCCAAUUAGAAUCAGUUUGCCAGUUUGCCAGUCAAGUCAAGUCAAGUUUGCAUGCCUGCUAGUUUGCCUAAUGGAGCCAAUCGGCAUCUGCUUGUUUGCAAACUCAUGUCAUAUGCCGCCAUGAGUUUGAAGAGGGGGGUGUUGGAAAAUAUUAGUAUUUAGGUUUACUUUAAUGUUUGGUUUUCUGGGCUUAGCCCGUUAGUAUUAGGAUUUCGUUUUCUUACCUUUUAGGGUUAGGGUUAGUUUAUUAUAAAUGACAUGUUUGUUAUUCAGUUGAGAACAAGUUAGUCAUUAGUAGCCUCUUAGGGUUUUGUAGUCAUCGUUUGUUUAAUAAUAUUCUUAUUAUUUUGUAGUGUUGUUUGUUUAGUCCCUUACUUUUAAAACUUUUUCCUUGUACAUACAUUUUAUUUUUAUGGGUAAAGUACAAAAAACUACCUUAACUAUUGGUCUCACGACACUUUCAUACCUCAUCUUUUUAAAAUGACAAUGUCAUACCUCAUCUUACGAAUUUGUGCCAAUGUCAUACCUCCUCCAUCAGUUUUUUUGUUAAUUUCUCAGUUAAAUGAUGACGCGGCUUGAUUCGGGACCCACUUUCUAUUAAAAAAUUAAUAAAUUUUUUUUAAAAACUAAAAAAAAAUCAUUUAAUAUUUUUUAAAUAUUAAAAUAAUAAAGAAAAGUUAUAAAAAUAAAAAUAAAAAUAAAAAUAAAAACCAAACAAAACUUCCCCUACGCGCCCUCUCUCUUUCUCCCCCAUUUUCAUCUCAUUUCCUCUUUUUCCUACCUACUGCAACCUAGAAAAAAGAAAAAAAAAACUUUGUCCCUUUUCCCCAUGCGCCCUCUCUCUUCUCCCCCACCUUCAUCUUCUUUCCUCUUCUUCCCCUUAUCUGCUGCAACCUAGAAAAAAGAAAAAAAAAACCACAAAACCUAUCUUCAUCUUCCCCGACCCCCUGCCCUGCAACUCAUCCCUUUCUUCCCCCUCCUGUCUUCCCUAAACCAUCUGCACCACCCUCGCACCCACUACCUGCAACCUAUAAAAAAAAUAAAAAAAAACCCAGAUCUCGUUCGCCAGGCCUAUUCCGCGGGUGGAGAACCGGUGCGCGGAGAAAAUGGGGGGAAUGUGUGUGGAUUUAAGGAGUGGGGUGUGUAGAGGAGGGAAGAGAGUGGGGUGCAGGGGAAGACAAUUGGUUUUUUUUUUCUUUUUUUUUUUGGGUUGCAGCAGAUAGGGGGAAGAAGAGGAAAGAAGAUGAAGAUGGGUAGAAGAGAGACGCGGGGGGGGGGGAGGAAGGGACAAAGUUUUGUGAAUUUUUUUUUCUUUCUUUUUCCUGGGUUGCUGCAGGUAGGAAGAAGAGGAAAUGAGAUGAAGAUGGGGGAGAAGAGAGAGGGCACGCAGGGGGAGUUUUGUUUUGUUUUUUUUUUUCUUUUUUCUGGGUUGCAGCAGAUAAGGGGAAGAAGAGGAAAGAAGAUGAAGAUGGGGGAGAAGAGAGAAGGUGCGUGGGGAGGAGGGACAAAGUUUUGUUUUUUCUUUUUUUUGGGUUGCAUCAGGUAGGAGAAGAGGAUGGGAGAUGAAGAUGGGGAGAAGAGGAGGGGGAGGGGGGGGGGGAGGGACAAAGUUUUGUGUAAUUUUUUUUUUCUUUCUUUUUCCUGGGUUGCAGCAGGUAGGAAGAGGAGGAAAGGAGAUGAAGAUGGGAGAGAAGAGAGAGGGCCCGCGGGGGGGGGGGGGGAAGUUUUGUUUUGUUUGUUUGUUUUUAUUUUUUUCUGGGUUGCAGUAGAUAGGGGGAAGAAGAGGAAAGAAGAUGAAGAUGGGGGAGAAGAGAUAGGGCCUGGGGGGGGGGGGGGAAGGGGCAAAGUUUUGUUUUUCUUUUUUUUGGGUUGCAGUAGGUAGGAAGAAGAGGAAUGGAGAAAAGAGAUGGCACAGGGGGGAAGUUUUGUUUGGUUUUUUUUUUUUUAAUUUAAUUUUUUAUAACUUUUCUUUAUUAUUUUAAUAUUUAAAAAAUAUUAAAUGAUUUUUUUUUUAGUUUUUAAUAAUUUUUUAAUAGAAAGUGGGUUCCGAAUCAAGCCACGUCAACAUUUAACUUAGAAAUUAACAGAAAAACUGACGGAGGUAUGACAUUGGCACAAAUGCGUAAGAUGAGGUAUGACAUUGUCAAUUUUAAAAGAUGAGGUAUGAAAGUGUCGUGAGACCAAUAGUUGAGGUAGUUUUUUGUACUUUACCCUAUUUUUAUUUUAAAUAAAUUAUUUUUCUUUUCAUUACAUUUUUUUAAUUAUUUUGCGAAUAAUAGCUUUGUGGUGCAUAUUUUUUUGCAAUAACUCACUUUCGUCGCACAAAGUUUUUAGACAUGAAUAUUAGUCGUCCCAGGUUUGUAUUUUGGCAUUUUAUGCGACAAACAUAUUCGUUCAUAAAAAUUUGGUGCGACGAAUGAGGAACCGUCACGCCUUAUUUUCCUCGACCAAUGCUUUUGUUCAUCGCGCAAAGUCUUUCUUCACGAUCUUUGCACGACCAAUUCUGCGCGAUGAGGUUUUCAUUGUGCAUACGUUUGUGCGACGCUAUUAAGUUUUGCACGACCAAGUUCUGUUCGUCGCACUAAAUGUUAAAUGUGGUAGUGAUUGAUUUUUACUUUAAUUUGAGUCUCAACUCAAUUCAAGUUCAACAAACUUUUAACAAAAUAGGGCUGAAAAUUUUAACUAGAAUGAACGAGCCACUCAAAACCCUAAAUUACGAGUGGGUGCGAAGAAUAUUUGAGUGCUUGUAAUUGUUGCUCCAUAUGAUUUUACAGUAAGCAAGGCUCCUAUCAUUGUGUGUGAUUAGUUUACUUUUGUGUUCUCAAUCACUUAUAUGUCAUUUUGCUCUUAUUGGUUUGAGGGAAUAAAGGCUCAAACUUCCUGACAUUUUCAUGAUACUUCAACAAAUCCAUUGAAAACGUACUAAAUUGUCUAACAAAUGGGCAAUUUGAUAUAUUCUUACUGUUGGAGGAAAGAUCAGCAGUUUUCAGUUAUACUGUAGAAAGGAAGAAUACAAGAGAAUAUAUAUGAAGGAUGACUUUUGAACGACAACUGAAAUUUAAUUUUAUUGCUUUCAAAUUUUUAUUACAACACUAGGCCAAUCUUAUUAUUGGCUAUUUUUUAAUAACAUUCAUACCUUUUGAUAACAACUAUGGAUAAGUUCUAAGAGAGACAACUCUACAUUGCAGAAAGUGCAUUACGUUUAACACUUACAUCAUUGACAUGAUCCUAGUUGAUCUAAGGUUGUUACAUAUAUCCUCCUUAGGUUCCUGAGUAAUUCUCUCUAGUUCCUGCUGAAAUCUCUCCAUGGCCGAGGAUGGCAAACACAUUGGUACCAAUAUUCCAUCCUCAGUGUUGUUUUUGUGUUGAACGUAGAAGCUAAUCAAAUCCAAGGCCUUGGCGGGUCCAGCAAAUACCGGCUGUCCCCAUCCAAAAUUGACAUCUCCAAAACCUGCACGCGUAUUAUCAGAAACUAUUAAAUAACUUCCUGUCGAUGAAUAUUGAGGUCGCCCUCUUAGUACCAUAAGAUCUGCCACUGAUCUUAAGUAUUCUUCAUUCAUGGUAGCUUUAGCCUUCUUCACCAACUCCAAAGCAUAUCCCAGUGGAUUUUUGCAUAGAGGUUCAGCCUUUGAAACUGCAGCUGGAUAUGCAAAUGCAUUGCCAUAGUAUCCCAAGGGAAGACGUAGAUUGUGGUGCUUUCCCCGUGCAUUGACAAUGCAUGAGACUCGAACAGCCUGUUUUGGAUUAAUUUUAAGUGCAAGAGUGCGACAUUUCCACAAACAGGCUGUGAUCAAGUCAAAUGUGGAGCAAGUGGAAAUUAGGUGGGGUGGAAUCUGUUUUCGAAUGACUCUCAUCUCCUUGGCACCAAAGUAGAAAGAUCGUUGAACCAUGUUUGACUGGUUACUGAAUGCAUAUGAGCCAUCAGAAUGAUCAAUCACGUCUUCAUAUUCAUGAUGAGCACAUGUAAUUCUUGGUGGAUUUCGAGCGAAAAAGAGCUUUCUCUCCCACACUGGUAGAAUAGAUGGUGCAUGUGCGCCUCUUGCCAUCUCCGCAAUGGCGGUCAGGAACAGGAGCAAUCCAGAUGCAUCACACAUUGUGUGGUUUAGGCGCAAUGCAAGUAUGAAACCUCCACAUGUAAGACAGGUCACCUGCAUAUUGCAAAAGUUAGUUACUAGACUUUUUUCUUGAUCAUCAUAUUCGUGCCAGUUAACAAUUCUUUAGAAGAAAAGACCCAAAAUAAAUAAAUAAAUAAAAAACCAUCUAAAUUAGAUGAUCUAAUUAGUAAACAAAACAUUUCAUAAAAAUUAGGAAUAAAAUUCAAGAAAGAUGGAGUCUCUUUGAAAGGCUCUCGUGCAUGUUGUAGUUACUUGAAAAAGUCUUUAACUAUAGAGGAUUUUAGACAAAAUGCUUAUAGAAGAGAAAAAUUUAGACAGAAGACAAAGAGGAAGACAUGCAAAAAACCUAGAAGAAGAACGGCAAAGGAAAACCUACACAACAAAGGUGAUGUGAGACUGGUAGAAAACCUAGGACCUAAUUAGGCGGAUACCAAGUAGAAAUAUAAUUUCCUCAAUUCAAUGUGUAUACAAAUUUUACUGUAUAGGAUUAAACAUAAGGAUCGUCGAAGAAAAAUUAGUUUCGAAAAAUAAUGAAAGCGUCUCAUAAUCUUUUCUUUCCAAAACAUCCUAAUGACUUUCUUUAAUCAUAAGAACAAAGAGGCGUGGUCAUAUUGUAGAUAAGUUCAAGUUUAGGUGCGGUGGUAGUAUGAUAAAUUUUCAUUUAUGAAAAGGGUUGCCAAUUUAAUGAAAAAAGUUAAAAACAGUUGCGGUGCCACCAAACUUCAACUUAUUUACAUUAUUGUUAGUGCUUUCUUGUUUAUGUCCUUAUUUGUCAUUAAAAAUUUCGUAUGUUGUUGAUUACACUAAUUUCUUACAAAAAAUAUCCGGGGUGUGUAUGUGACCUUAACGCAAAAAACACUACUCAUACCCUUAAACUACUUCAAAUUUUUUGUAAAGAAUUAAUGGCUAUGACCAAAUAUGAAUACGAAAAACUAAAUAACAUGUAAUUGAUAAUUAAUUGACUCACCUGAACCAGCAGCAAAGGACAACCAAUAAUUCCAUCAGAGCCUGGAAAAUUAAAUAAGAACUCCUCUAAGAGUGGACAAGGGGGUAGAAUUGUGUCUCCUAGUUGCUCUAGUGUGACAUCAGCAGAAGCCUCGACGAACAAGAUACCUUCACCAUUGCAAUCGACCACGAGCUUUUUGUUAGGCCCUUCCCUAAGCCUUCCAGCUAAAGGGUAGUAAUACACUAAUGCUCUACUUAAGGCUUCCCUAAUCACCUUAACGGGAUUACGAUUUUUAUUAAGUGAAGGAUUGGCUUUGUAACACAUUAUAACUGGAACCUGAAAUCUCAAGCUUUCUUGGUCGUCAAUAUCAGAGAGAAACUUUGUUUCUUGAGGCGUUGGCUUUGCCGGAGUUAUAAGUUCCGGCUGCAAUCGUUUCACCUGAAGUAUUGAGGGUAGCAUCAUUUCAAUAACAAGCUUAAGAACAAGCAAAAGAUCAAAGGAUUUGGAAUUUUAUUUUGUGGUAUGCAUGCUAACUAAAAGUUGAUAGUCAGUACUUAUAUAACGUUAUGUAGAUGCUCUAGGGUUCCCGAAUCUUCCGUCCAAGUUUCCACCCGUUGUGAAUGUGAUUCUUUUUUUUUUUGGAAGACAUGUGAUUAUUUUCUUUUCCAUUAAAAAUGUUGUUAGAAAGAAACGUUUAAAUCGCUUUCCAAAAAAAAAGAAAAAAAAGAAAAAAACGUUUAAAAUUAAAUCACGCAAUCAACAUGGACUGCAAAGAAAAACAUGUUGUUGAGAGCUAUGUGCAUGGGACCAUUUCACAGUUCACACCACAUAUUCGGAGCUAUGUGCAUGGGACCAUUUCACAGUUGCUAUGUGCAUGGGACCAUUUCACAGUUCACACCACAUAUUCGUACAUAUACAUUAAUACUGAAUUUCAUUUCAACAUCAGAAAUCUGAAUACUAACAGGGAUAUGAGGACAGGUGUACGGUAAAAAACCUUUGAUAGGAAUGGAAGGAAGAAGGCCAACAUCGUACGUACCUUGCCCCAAUUACAGCUGUGACUUUUGUAAAACAUCGAUUACACGUCUGCUAUAAAGACAACAUUGUUGUUGUAUAAAGACAGGCAUAUUAGCACGGGAGAAUAAUGUUCCACAUGGCGUGGAGCACGGUAAGUGUUGGGCUUCACACAAUCUGUUCUGCAAUCAUGACGAAAGUUGAGGUUCACACAAAUUGUAUCAAGACUUUGUAACAGCAGCAUGAAGGUUAGGAGUCGACUUGGAGGAGAAGAUCGCGAGCGGGUUCAGCUAGCACUAGUUAACCGAGCCCCAGAUUCCAUGUUCAUGGUUAUCGGCUAAUCCUCAACUCUUAUGUUCGGUGCUUAACUUCUGAACAUUGAACUUUUUGUCAAAUUUUAUGUUCAGCAUGUUCAAAUACAUGAUUCAAUCUAGUUGUAUUUUAUUUAAGAAAAUAGAAACAAACCCAAGAGGAUUUCAGAGAAAAGUGACGGCAUAGGGCAGAACAUUGCAGCUCAAACGUCACUAACAUACUUCAAUGAUUUAGGGUUUUGGUCACGAUACCACCUUACAUCUCAUUUAAAUUAGCUAGCUAACAAAAGCCUUCAAGACCCCAGUUGUGCUAAGCUAAUCUAAACCUCACACCAAAGCAAACCUAUCUCAGCCCUACACUUGUAAUUUUGGACUGAGUCAACAUAUUUGGCCGUUACAAAUUUAGAAAAAACUAAGGCAUUACUUUUGUUUAAUACAAAAAAUUGGAAGCUAGAAAUCAGUUUAUGCAUCAACACUCUCCUUCAAAUUGUUUCUAGUUUUGACGCCAAGCAAAUCCCUGAGGUAUACAAAACCCUCCUUUAGCGUAUCCUUAGUAAAUAUAUCAACAGUUUAAUCUUCAUAUUUGCAAUAGAGUAAUUCAAUCACAUUCUCUGACGUACAAAAGAUCUCUAAUAAAGUGAUGGUUCCUCUUUUCAUGUUUUGUUUUUUUAGUGAAUCAGAGGAUAUCCUGUUAGAGCAAUUACAAAGGUGGUGUUGAAAUUUAGUGAUAUAGCAUCUACUUUGAAAAGGUAGCUGGGUCAACCCAAUAGAUAAAUAAUCUCAAUUAAAAUUCUAGACGAGGAUUCAUGUACGGUUUCAAUCAUACUACAUAACAGUGAAGAACAAAAUGAAAUAGAGUAAAAAGAACAAAAGACUCACAAUAUAAUUCAUGGGCACACAACCAUUGAGAAAUAAGUACUUUUACAAAACUCAUCAAGACAGACAUCUACUACACUUGAAGUUUUCUCUUGUACUUUUAAUCUUGUAGCACACAGUCUUUCUUUUGCUCUCUUUUGGAUGAACACGACGUACUCAACAGGUUCUCCUCACGACUAAAGAGAUUGCACUCAACUUCGUCGCAUAGAUGGAAACAACUUCUUCACUCAAAUGAAUAUGAUGAAUAAUAUGAAAGGUAUGAAGUGUUUCACUAAGAUCACUCUUCUAACCUAGCACUCAAGAACUUUGCUUUGAACCUUUUAUGCUCAAAUCUUAUAACCAAGCAAAGAUGAAUGAUAGGCUUGAUUUCCUAUGAAACCAACAGCCUAGAAUAAAGGAAACUGGAAUUAUGUACUAGAAUAAAAUCAAAUUGGGUUUAUUUCUUAAAACUAGGCAAUUAAACUGAUAUUAUAAUCUUCAAGAUAUGCAAUGAUGUGAUUCUCGUUUCCUAUAUGAAUGCACAUGAUACUCCAAUAUAUGCUUUGAUGUGCACGUUUUCAGUAAUUAAACCUAGAAACUACGACACGAGUGGCGAUACUUUGGAUUAGUUUGGUAUUCCUGUGCUUUCUAAAAAAAAUGUGAUUUUGCUGUUCUAUGAGAAUAAACAAUUGUUACGUGUUUGGUAACUUUUUUUUUCUUUUUUUUGUAAAAGUGCUUUUAACAACAAAAAAACAGUCUGAGUGUUUGGUAAACUUUUAUAUAAAUUAUUGUGAAUGUGUUAAAUAACUAAAAAGGAUAUGGUAUGUAGUGUGAUAUAAUAAUUGACAAAGAUAAUAAUGUAGGGGCAAAAAUUGUAAUUUUGUAAAAUAUGUGGGGUUGUACUUGCCUUUGAAAAUUUUAUUAAAUGAGCAUUAAUUACUAUACUUCGAAAAAAAAAGCACUUUCUUUAAAAGCAAGAUAGACUCUGCUUUUGUUUUUCUAUGCUUUUCUACUGUCAUUGACAAUAGUUUUUUAAAAAAUCACUUUUUUUUUUGUGUGUGUUACCAAACACACUUAAUGUUCCAGAUUUUUUAAAAGCAUUACAAUCCCAAACCAGCCCUUUGUUAGAAUGUUUAGAAUUUUCUCAACCAAAUGGCUCAAAAUAUUUAGGGGAAUACUAUUAUGUAGGUUGCAUUCAGUGACUUGCUUAAUUUCUUUUAUUAGUGAAUAUGUUCUAGAUUGUUAAAUUAUUUUGUAUAAACUUAGCAUCCAUAAAGCAUUUUAAGUUAAACCAUAUUCACUAGCAAGAGCAUUUAAAUUGUAGGGGGUAGAAGACAAUUCUGAGAUCAAUCAUGUUUCGAAUGUUUACAUUUUUGCAAUUGAUUUACAAUUGAGUUGUAAGGAAAAACCAAAAGAGUGACCCUUCCAUCCACAGAAGGUACACUUGAGAUGAGCACGAUGAUUUUUAGUAAUGUGAUUCGUCUUGUUGCACUUCCCACAUCGAGGUCCACCGUCUUCUGAUUCGGCUUCUCGGCUAGUGGUUUUCAUGGCGAAUUCCGCAACUUCUGGUUGGGUAGUAUUGUUUUUCCCACUGGAAACUUCAGCCUAUCUCUCAUGGCAGAGAACCAAUGAGUAGGCUUUGUUUACUGUGGGCAGUGGCUCAAGAGAAGAGUGUUGCUGCGAACGGUGGCGUAAGAAUCAUUCAACCCCAUGAGAAACUUCAUGGUCUUAUGUGUUUCAAUGUACGAAACAAUCUCCUUCUUUGUUUCACAACUACAUGCCAGAAUCGAACAUAGUACUCCUCGUUCAUCCUAGAGACUUUUUAGUUUGGUGAAGUAGGUACUUACUGUCAUUCUCUAUGUGAAAUAGUUGGACGAUGUUCAUAUGAGAAAAUCUUUUAUGUGCUUAAUCACAUCUUUUAAGUUGCCCAAACUCUCAAUUUCUUUGCGGCAGUGCGCAAUCGAACAACAUGCAGCCUUGCCCCCACAUUUCAAGGAAAUAUCUCUUUUUUUUUUUGUCGAAGGAAAUAUCAUAUCAAUUGGGCAAUUUCAUGGGUGGAGAAGCUCUUGAGUAUAUAGGUGCAAUCAGUGGCGGAUCUAAAGAGGGAUCUGGGAAGUCCCAGGACUCUUCGAAGAAUCUAAAUCGUGCUUUGAAAUUUUCUAAGGACCCCCCGUACUUGAAGAUGAUGGCCAGUGCAGCUGCAACGGCAUCGUCUUCUGUCUUCCUAGAGAAGACGAUCGCGCGAAGAAAUAUUUUUUUUCUAUUUUAAGACUUGGCCCAUAAUGUUGUUUGGUUUUGUUCGAUUUUUUCUAUUUGUUGUGGGCCUAAUGUUUUGCGUAGGCUUUUGGUGAGAUGGUUGGCGUGAUGCUCGUUUUCUUGUUUUCAGGACCCACUCUUUCUUUGUCUUGCUUUUUUGGGUCUUUAUUUUGUCAAGUUUCUUGGUAAUUAAUGAAUUUUACCUUUGUAUAAUAAUAAUAAUAAUAAUAAUAAAAUAAUAAAAUAAAAAAAACCCAAACCCCUAUCACGUCCCCAGCAGUCCCACCCCAUCCCUUCCUCAACUUGAUAUUAUAUUCUCCCUUAAAAAAAAACUUGAUAUUUAUAUUUAUUUUGUGCAUUUUGGUAAUGAUUUUUCUCAAUUAAGAGGGAUUAGCAAUCUUGCCAAAAAAAUGGUGGAAGAAAGGGCUGCACCAAAUAUUUGCAUAUGUAUAUUUGCUUAUUUAGUGGGCUUUGAUUUUAUCGAAUUGCAACUGUUUCAAUGAAGAUGACAUUUUUCGCUAUGAAUAUCAUUGAGGGUCUACUUCUCAACAAAAUGGGAGAUCAAUAGUUGCAUGUAGAGGACAUUUUUCACUAUAAUUUUUUUUUAUCUUUAUUAUUGGGACCCCCCGAGUCUAAAAUCUUGGAUCCGCCACUGAGUGCAACAGCCUGCUUGCAAAUGAAUAGGAUGAAGUUGUUGCCACCAAGGUAUAAAAUAUCGAUGAUAUCGGAAAUAUCAGUAGUCCAAAAACAUGAAAAUUUCGAUGGAAAUAUCAGGAUAUUAUCAAUAUCGAUAAAAAUUGAAUAAAAACCACGGAAAUUGUAAGAAAAACUUGGAAAUUUUUAUUAAAACUUUGCAAGAUGUUUAUGUAAUCAAUUAUUUAUUAGUUUAUCACAAAAAAAUUGGAAGGAAAUGCAUUGCAUGAUGGAUUUAACUGAUUUAAGUUGAUUAUAUAGCGAGCUGGCAAACAGUGUGAGUGUAGAAAAUAUGUAGUAAUUAAUGAAAGAAGUUUAAACACACCAUAAUCAUUUAUAUAUAAUGAAUUAGUACAAUAUUUUACACUUUAUACAUAGCAUGAUAAGAUACAUGAGUGACUUAGUACCACAUAGAGUUCCUAUGAAGUUCAAAAUUUUCACUAUCUUCAUCAUCUCUAUGUAGUAAGUGUAUUGUGAAGAGUAGUCAACAACCAUGGCAAUGACUUUCAAGAACCAAAACCCAAAAGUCAAUAGGAAACCGAAUACUUCAGUAUUUUUCGGGAUUUUAGGAUUACCAAACAAAUGGUAUUUGGAAACCAAUCCCAUAUAAAAAAUUUCGGUAUUUUUCAGGAUGGUUUUGGUUUGGAAUUUUUCGGUUUGGGUUUGGGACUUUUUCGGUUUGGUUUGGGAUUUUCGAGAAUUUUUUCCAGCCCUACCAUGUAAGUGACCAAAUAAAAAAUAGAAAAAUUAAAAACCACGUGACAUUGACUAAGUAAUUAAUUGACACAAUUUAAAAUAUAAUACCACAAAAAAUUUGGAAUAUGUGCAAAUUUGUUUCUUGUAAAAAGAAUUCAAAACAAAACCAUAUAUAUAAAUAUUUUAGCAUAUUAUCACAAAAACAUAAGUGAUAUGGUGGUUAAGGUGUUAAGGAGUCAAAUAGGAGGGGUUUCAAUCCCUCUAUGCGCAAAAGGGAGACUUUUCAGAAAUUUUUAAGUAUUUUUGGAUUUAAUAUCGCGAUAAUAUCGGUAUUAUCGCGAUAUAUUAACGAUAAUUAAUGGGAUAAGUCACGAAAUAUCGUCAUCUAAAAAAUCGAUUUCGCCAAUAUUUUCGAUAUUUUGGUCCUUGGUUGCCACUAUAGGUUGUAAAAGAGUUAAGGAUACUGAGAAAGAUUGUAAAAGAGUACUGCAUUCUCUUAUUUAUUUAUGUAACUGUGAAAAAUAUUGGUACACAUAACCACAAAUUAACUAUUUACCUGAUAUUUCUUUUCACUUGUAAGUGAGAGGUUUUAGGUCCGAUUUUCACUAAAGGCGAAUUUAAAUCAUAUUAUUACUAGCCUAUUGUGAGGCUUAGCACACUCCCAACAAACAGCCACCCUCUCUCUCAGUCUCUCUCGAAGCAACUGCUGCAAGCAUGCAACUCUCUCGAACUGAAGAACAAAACCUCCCUCCACCACACAAAUACGGCCAACCACCACCACACACAACCAUGAGCCACCAGGAUCCGGCAAUUCUCCAUUUCCCUCUCUCAGACUAUCUCUUUCUAGGAGUCGGCGUCUCUCUCGACGAUUUCUACAACAACGGCGGGCUAAGAACUCUCUGUCUCGCAUUUGAUUUUUCAUCAUUUACUGCCGCUUCUUAUUCUCUGAAACGGAAGAGACCCCGAUGAUUGAGAUCCCGAGCGCCAUGCAAGAAAUUAAAAGCGAGAAGCCCCGGUAAUCCUCUUUAUUUAGGGAUUUGGGAUUAAUUUUUUAUUUAGGAUGCAUGUUUAAUUAGGGACACCACUAGUUUUGAUCAGGCCUUGAAAGAAGUGUGAUUAUAGAGCAUGCAUAUUCACUUUCUACUUGUGCAAUCUGACUUUUAGAAAACACAUCUAUUUCGACACCUCUGCUUACGUUAGAAAGCGAGGUGGACUACUCUAAGGCGUGCAGUGGUAAAUUGCGUAUUGAUUUACUGCUAAAAAAAGGAGAGGAAAAUAAAUAAAAAUAGAAAAAACUAAUAAAUAUAUGCAAUACCUAACAAAGCACUUAAAGACUUUUGAAGUCGUGACCUAAAAGUAGGGAUGGGCACUUGAAACCGAAAAUCAAAACCAAAACACGAACCAAAUCGAACCGCACUAAACGGUUUGGUUCUGCGGUUUUCAUACGGUUGUGGUUUUGAAACCGAACCGCAAUGUAGGAAAUAGUUUGGUUUCGGUUUUGGCUUUUGAAAAUUGCACUGAAACCAAAACCGCACCUCAAUUAGAUCAUGUUUUAAUUGGUUGUUUGUUAGAAUCUAUACAUUUAGUAUGGAUACAACCACACUGUAAUGUCAUCCGUUUCCUAAUUUUUACCUUUGGUGCUUAUUUCGUUCUGAAUAAACCAUCGUACGUUCUCCAACACUAGGUAAAAAAAUAAAAUUUAAAAAAAAUUCCGUGUCAUAGUCACUGUUAUUUUGAUCUCUCCAGAUUUUGAAAGAUGGAAAAAGAAAUACUAUGUAAAUGAAUGGUGUACUUAGCCUUUUAUAUGACAUGGAACAAGAUAUAUUUGGAAGUUACACUAAACGUUUAAAGAAUUAAAGUAUGUAUACAUUGAAAAUUACAUUGUGAUAGGAUGAAAUAAGCACCUAUUUUUCGGUAAGAGUAGAUCCUUCACAUGAGACCGUCUUAUGCGUACGUAAGUGUAAAUUUUAAAAGGAAUUGUUAUUGGCAUUUCAAAAUUCUCAUUCUACACUCCAAACUUUUUAUAUUUAGACAGAAAAAUACACUUAUGAGGAGUGUCGAAUGAGAUUUUGGAGUGCCAAUAACACUUUCCAUUUUAAAUUGUAUAAUUUUUCUCAAAAACCGAACCGAAUCAAACGGUUUGGUUUCUUUCGGUUUUGGCUUCAAAACCGUACCGAACCGCACCGCGAAAAGUUAUGAUUUCGAUUAAGGCUUCACUCAAAACUACACCGAACUGCACCAUGCCCACCCUUACCUAAAAGCCUACUGGCAUGCACGGAACACACACGCACACACAAGACACACGUGUGUCACAGUAAGGGAAACCCUGGCAGCCAGCUCAUUAGACCAUCUCCAACUCUUGGGCUAAAAGCCAAAUUUUUUAGCUCAGAAACAGUUUUUCUACUCUAACCUUUCUGGCCUAGAAUUUUUGCCCAAGAUUAUUAAAGAAUGAACUUAGGCUAAUUUUUUUCUUAAAUUACUUAAAAAAAAGAUGUAAACUAUCGUAAAUUAAUUUUAUGAACAUUUUAAUCUAAAAAUAUUUAAAUUCCAAUAAAUAUUGAAAAAUCACUCAAUCGAUACAUGAAACACUAUGGAAAAAUAUGAAAAUCAUGAUAGAGAUGUAUAAAUACAAAAUACAUAAAACAUACAAGACAAAUAACACAUGUGAAGCACAUACAAAACACAUGUGAAGCACGUACACAUGUGAAGGACAUACAAAAUACAUAAAAACAAUUAGUUGCAAAAUAAUAUUAUGUACAUGACAAAUAAAAUAUUAAGAAAAAAACUCACAAUUUAUGUUGCGCUCUUUUCACUAGCCAUGUCAAUCACAGUUCUCUCAAACUUCCCUGCCAUAAAGUGCAUGCUUUGUUGAUAGUCUUCCACCAAUCAUAAACACCACCAUCGUCUCUCCCGCCGCAAUUGCAGUUUUCAUGAAACUUUUCAAUGAUUUUAUCCCACAAAACCUUUUUAUUUUGAUUCGUGCCAACUGCACCAUCUUUGCUAACAGAAACUCAUGCCAAGCAUAAAGCAACAUCUUCCUCACAGGUCCAAUUACGACCUCUAAUAUGCUUUCUUGCCAUUUUGAAUAAUUUGGAAAUAAGAAAUGGUAGAAAGAAAAAUUGGAAGAAUUGUAGGAGAAAAUUGAGUUUUGUAUUGAUGUUUGAACAAAUACAUCGUUAUUUAUAGAGUUUUUGGGUGAAUUUUGAGUUAAAUAUAUAUUUUUUAAUUAUUUUAGCCAUUGGAUUUAAAUUUGGACGGUUAGAUCUUUUUUUACCGUUAGAUUUGAUUAUAUUCGAUCUUAGCCGUUGGAUUCAAUGUAUUUUAAAAUUACAUAUAAAAAAAACAAAAUUUGAAUUUGGACCGUUGGAUCAAUCAACGGUCUGUAAAGCCCAGUCGUAGGAUACAGAAAAGAGCCGUUGGGCUCUGGUUGGUGGUCGACAGCGGCCCUGACAGUGGGCCCCCUGUCGGGCGCUGAAGCCAAACUGUCAGGGCGACUGCACAAGUGAACGGGCCAAGACUAGGUUCCCUUUUAGUUAGUCCACACGUUUGUGGGCUAUUUCUUGGGGGGUAUUUGGCCUUGUUUUGGCAUUUGGCUUUUAGCCCAAAGAUUUGGCUUGGGUUGGGUUGGGUUGAGUUUUUUUUGGGGGGGGGGGAGGGGAAUAAGUGGGGUAAUUUGGCAAAUAGCCCAAGGUUGGGUGUGGUUUUAUAAAAGCCAAUUUUCAGCCCCCACUUGUCAUUUCUGCUCCCUUAAACCCUAGGUGCCGUUGAGAACUCCCUGGAAUCUCGCCUUCACUUUCCACUUGAAGAGCCUCUCACUCUCUCUUACUUCACUUCUCAGCCAACCUCGAGAACCACACCCCAAGCUUUACCUGAAUCGGUUGCCAUAUCUCUGCCAGAGCUCAGACUCAAGCUUAGCCUUUCUCUCUCAUGACGGUUUUUCAACAAAUCCGAGUUCCAAUCAUCAUUAAAAAUCUUUCAAAUCAGAGCUCCAGUCAUCAUUGAAAGGUAACAAUUCUCACUCUCUUCCGUCCCUUUCGUGACUGCUUUUAGAUUAAACGAAAAAAGAUGAGAACUAUCUCACGCUUGUGUUCUGGUUAUGUGCAUGGAACAGGUUCCAGAAGAUCAAGUGUUGGAAGGUUGAAAUCCAAGUGUUUAUGGUGUUACGAAAUUAUAGCCUUCAACACAUCCAUUAUAGCUGCCCGAUGCACUUGCACCGUAACUUUGCUGUCACACACGCAUUGGACCACUGUUGGCAUUAAUGUUGUAGGGCAUUUCAGGAGACUGCUCCUAUGUAAGAACUUGUAUGGUUUCCCCUCUAGUCGAACACUAUUCCAUGAAUACGACUGACUGUCAUCCAUGAUUGAUUUCUUAUGGGCAAACAAAUAGAAAUUUGGAAUCUAGUGAAGUGAUAGCCAACACAACUUCGUCAACUCUCUUCCAAAAGCACGGAAGUCUAGGGAAUCUAGUGAAGUGCUUCCAAAUGCAUAGAAUCUAGUGAAGUGUUUUUGGAAGCACUUCACUAGAUUCCAAAUUUCUAUUUGUUUGCCCACAAGAAAUCAGUCAUGGAUAACAGUCAGUCGUAUUCGUGGAAUAGUGUUCAACUAGAGGGGGAAACCAUACAAGUUCUUACACAAGUGCAGUCUCUUGCAAUUCCCUACAACAUCAAUGCCAACAUAAAUGUUCGGGUGGUCCAGCACGGGUGUGACGACAAAGUUCUAGUGCAAGUGCACCCGGCAGCUACAGUGGAUGUGUUAAAGGCAUGGUUUUAAAUAUCGAUAAUAUCGGCGAUAUUUCGCCGAUAUUAUCGUUUUUCAGAGGCUUCGAUAUUUUUUCACAUAUCCGUCUCAUUAUCGUCAAAAUAUCGCGAUAUUAUCGAUAAUAUCGCGAUAUUUUCGAUAUUAUCGAAAAAGUCGUCGUGGAUCCGUCGUCGGAAAGGCAGCCGAGGCUGCGUCGUCCCCCUAGCUGCCCAGAUCUCUCUGCAAUCCAUGCUCAAACCUAAGAUCUGCGCCUCAACGACACCGAUUCCCCCGCCGUUGUCGAAGUCGCGGCGAAAGAUCCACAACUCCAGAACGGAUCGAGCUCGCAGUUGUAGAUCCACAACUCGUGGUCUGUCCCCACGGCGAGGCAGGCGUGGUCUUGGGUUGAAGCAGACGGGGAACAGAGACGGAGGCGAGCGCGGCGCCGGCAGGGCAGGCUCCGGGGGGAGGAGGAGAAUGGGUGGUUGUUGUGGAGGUUGAGGUUGGGGUUUGGGGGCGAUUGGGGGUCGUCGUUGGAGUCAACGACAGAGGUGGGGUUGUUAUCGGUGGGAUCGGUGAGCAAGGCGGAGAAGGAUCAAGAGAACUCAGAGUUCCUGGGUUCGCCGACGAGGCGGAAUACGCGGACCAGGAGGAAGGCGAGGGAGGAGGAGAAUGCCAUGUGGAAGAAGGAUCGAGAAAGGUCUCUGUGCGUGUGUAUGGGAGAAGGGAGAAGAGAGAAGGAUCGAGAAUUCGAGAGAUCUGUCGAUCUGUGUGUGUGUUUGUGGGAGAAGGGAGAGGGAGAGGGAGAAGAGAGAAGGUUCCAGAUAUAAGUCGUGUGUGCGUGUGUGGUGUGCGUGUGUGGUGGCGUGUGUGAUCUUGUGUGUGCGUGUGUGUGUCGGUGGCGUGUGUGUGUAGGUGGUGUGUGACGUUGUGAGAAAAGAAAAGCAUGGUAAAUAAUUCAACUUUUACAUCUUUUAGGAAUGGUACAAUGUAUAAAGUGUAAAAUAUUGUACUAAUUUAAUAUAUAUAAAUGAUUAUGGUGUGUUUAAAUUUCUUUCAUUAAUUACUAUAUAUUUUUUACACUCAUAAUGUUUGUCAGCUCGCUAUAUAAUCAACUUGAUAAUGUUAAAUCCAUCAUGCAAUGCAUUUCCUUCCAAUUUUUUAUGAUAAACUAAUAGAUAAUUGACUAAAUAAACAUCUUGCAAAGUUUCAAUAAAAAUUUCCAAGUUUUUCUUACAAUUUCCGUGGUUUCCAUGUAAUUUUUAUCGAUAUCGAUAUUAUCCCGAUAUUUGCAUUGAUAUUUCCGUGUUUUCGGACUACCGAUAUUUCCGAUAUUACCGAUAUUUUCUUCCUUGGUUAAAGGCUAUAAUUUCAGAACACCAGAGACACUUGGAUUUUAACCUUCCAGCACCUAUCUUUUUGGAACCUGUUCCAUGAACAGAAAAGCAUUGGAUUGUUGUUCCAACUCAGUAACAUAAACUCUAAUGAAAAUUUAUGUCUACAGAACCUUAAACCUCUUUUGGAAGUGCUGCAAAUGUUCUUAGUGAAAAGUUUUUGUGAACAAAUCUUUAGCAAAUAUGCAAGGGAAAGUACUUUUAGAAUACAAAAAUAUUUUCUCUAAAAGUACUUUUAAUCUAUUUAAAACGCUUUCAAACAAGUUCAGAAAUGUUCAUGUUUGUUGUAUCUCUAAACUAUCCUAAUACAAUUGUAGGCAAUUGCAGCACAGCUAGACGGCCAUAUUUUCUUCCGCGUAAGUGUUACUAUUCCCCUUUUGUGAUUAGAUGAUUUUAUUAAUUGUACGUUUGUUUGUUAGGUUUUUCACCUUUAUGUGAGGAGACAGAGAUUUUUCAAUGAUUUUGGAACACGACUUGUUAUAGAAGUGUCGUAUACAAGUAGUUGGAUAUUUGAAAACAAAUCCAACACUUGUGUUAAUGACACUUCAUACAAAAACCGUAUUUUCAAAGUACUAAAAAAAUUUCUCGUAAGUGGGGAAUGAUGAAAUUAAUAAAUUUUAUUUUGCUCGUAAAUGAACAGGAAGAUUAUAUCAUUGCUUUAGGUCCAUUGCGUUGGUUGAAAUUAGUAAAGAAAAUUGCGGGAGAUUGCUUUCUUCACUAAGUGCGUCCGACUUGCAUUAUCAACACGAUGAAACGGGACGCUCGAGUGAUGCAGAGUUUUAAGCAUUUGCAUUUAUGAAGGAUUUCAUAUAUAUAUAUAUAUAUAUAUCAUUGUGAAACCCUAAUACCAAUUCACAUGAAGAAUAUUAGGGUUCCAACUUAAGCAUUUGUGUUUAUGUUUUUAGCUUAACUACAUUGUUAGUAGUAUCGAUUUUCUUUAAGAAAAUUUCAUUCCAAAGCACUUCAGCCACAAUAAAAAGUUUGUCCAAUUGGCGAGAAAGUUUGUCUGAAUAAAUCCAAACUUUCCCAAAAUUCUAUAUUGAAAAUACAAAGUAAAGUAUCAAAACUCUACCAAAAUAAUUACCAAAACAUAUUAAGAAUAAGAUAAAAUAUAUAAUAUGAAUUUGACACAUCAAAAUACCCCCAAACUUAACUUUUUGCUUAUCCUCAAGCAAAAUAGAACUAAAAAACAAAAAUAAAAGCUAACGAACUAAGGACUUAAACAAAACUAAACUAAGACAAAAUUUUCACCUCUAAGUUGCAAUCCAUAGAAAAUGUUAAAAAUCAGAACAUCUUUUCAAAAGUUCCAACCAAUCCCACCAUAGAGUCUAAGUUAUUUAGAAUCAAUUAGAAAAGAAUUCACAAACUUCCUUUGGUAUAAAGUGAACCAACAUAGUUAAGGAGACUCGACUAAAACCCUUAUCUCUUGUCCUUUUAUUCAACACUUCACACAAACUCACUUGAGACAAGUAUUAUAUAUUUAUAUUUUUUUUUUCUUCUUUUCAAUUUUUGUUUUUUAGUAACAAUAGUGGUCGUGCAAUGCCAGUUUACUUAAACUUUCGAUCCAACCCAUGUAGCUAGCUUUAAGUCAAUAACUCCUAAACCACUAGGGCUUUAGGGCACUAGGUGUAAAACACUCCUAAGGACUUACUAACUCAAGCUGAAAAGGCUACGAAACCAACUAACCACCUUACCCCAUGCCAAAACUUUACCGUUUGACGCGAGAAUCACUACUGUUUAGGCAUGACUAACCCGGUUACAAAGCAAAGCCUUGGUUGGAACAAUUAUUACUUUAUUCAUAACAAGAACUAAACUUUACUUUACUAAGAUUAAAAAUUAAAGUUUAACAUGGACUAAAAGUAAGUGUUUCAAUCUCACUCCCCACAAACCAUGUUGAUGUGAAUGUGCAAAUUGUCAAAGCAUAACUCAUAAAUUAGUGUCUAAGUAACGAUAAAUAGAAAAGACCAUUGUGGGAUUAACCUUUACCAUGUCCAUUUGUUUUCUUGAAAUAAUCUAUGGAUAUUAACUUAAAAAGAAUAAAAAAAUUUAUUUGACUUGAAAAUUAAAAAAAAUUCUAAAAAUUCUAAAUUCCAAAACUUAUUUCAUACUUUGUCCUCAAGGUGUAGAAAAAUAGUAAAUAAAAUAAAAUAAGAAACAAAACAAAAGAAUAAAUGAUAAAUAAAACAAAAACAAAUAUAAAAGAAAAUGGACACACCUGGGCUCAUUUGAGAAGUCCUCAAGGUAUGACAACCCGUGGGCCUUCGAAAGAUCAAAACGUGCUGAUAGUGGAAUGCCCCCAUGUUUCUGAUGCCCCAUUUCACAACCCUAAGGGAGCAUUUUUUCUCACUAACCUAAAUUUUGUUGUAUGUUUAUCAUACAUCUAAUUAUUUAUCAUGUGUCAUUUUACUUAAUUUUGAGUAAUUUUUUUUCAAAAUUAAAAAAUUAACAUUUAAUGUGAAAAUUCACAAAGAUUAAAUGAAAUGACACGUGAUAAAUAAUUAGGUAUAUAAUGAGCAUACGUCAAAGUUUAGGGUUGAGGAGCAUUUUAUUUGACGAGCAUACGCCAAAAUUUAGGAUGAUGAGCAAAAAUGCUCCCCAACCCUAAAGCUGCCCCUUGUGCUCAAACGGCUCUCCUCCCCUUGAAUUCAAAACAGCUCAAAAAAUCAGACAGAAAAUGCACACGAUUGACACACAUGUCGUGCAUCCGUCCGUGUAUGGGUCUCCUUAGGGUUCCAAACAGAAAAAUACUGUUCAUUAACAGUACACGAAAUGCCCCUGGAGUGAGGGAUGAGAGAGAUUGACAGUGGAAAAAUCUCUCCUACAGCCGGAUCUCUGGAAUUUUCCAUGGUUUCUAUCCCCCACUAAUUCCUCUCCCCCUCCUUCCCGCGCCUAAUUCACUCAGCCCUCACCUCUCUCUACCCCACUCAGACUCCCCCAUCUCCCAACACUGUCAAUCUCUCUCAUCCCUCACUACUCUGCCUCUACCAUCUGUCUCAUUCUCCCUCUCCGCAAAACCGAGAACCACCAUCACAUCAUCUCCAAACACCACCCAAACAAAAUAACGUCCCUGGAGCUUUUGCGCUGAUUCCAGUUUUUUUAGCGGUUUCCAAGAAACGCAGUCUGCGAUGCCUGUUCCGUCCUGAUUUGAGGAAGAUUUCUCUAGCGACUGUAAUUUCAUGGUAAGUUGGCUUAAAACAGUUCCAAAAUUUGGGAUUGUUUGGGAUAUUUUUAGGGUUUUCCGGUUCUUGAAGAAAAAUCAUGGUUAAGAGUAAAUUAAUUACAUUUUAAUUUUCAUUUAAUUCAGGUAACCGUCUUCAGUUGGUUGUUUUGAACGCUGGAACCAGUGAUCUUUGAAAACGGUUGGUUCUUGAAUAAUUUUAUUUAUAAUUUAUAUCCUUUUGUUGUUUGAAUGGACUUCCUGUAAUCUAAAUGAAGCUACAUAUCUGUUUUUGUAUUCUGUAUUUGCUUUGUCAAAUUACUUCUUUUUUGUUGAAAAAUGUUAUUUGGUUUUGCAGAUCAAAGGGGUUAAUGGUUAUGUGUUCUUCUUGAUAAUUGUAUGUGUUUAUGCCCUCAUGAUAUUGUGAGAUAUCAUGGGAUGUUUGUGUCUUGAAGCACUUUUCAUUGUUCAUGGUAGUCUAGUAAAAGCUAAAAUGUCUCUCAUUCCUCGCAGAGCUGAAUGUGUUUUAGAAACCUAGCGCUUUCUCACAUGAAUUUUAAAAAGGAACUUUAACGAAAAGCACCCGGUACUGUUCAUUUUAACGAAAAAUCAUAUUUUUACACUAAAAAGUCAAUCCUGGUACUAUUUACUUUACCCUUUAUUUUGUUCUUAUCAUUAAAAUUCAAAGUUUUUUCAUUAGUUUUCAUUUUUAAAAAUUGUUUUCGUUUCUCCUUCUUUAAAAAUUGCAGAUUUAAUUAACUUUUUAAAUUAAAUUCGUUUUUCUUAAUUUAAGUCUUUAAAUCACCAUUUUCUAAUAUUUUGUUCUUAACAAUUAGUUGAGUUUUGGUUUACAUAAAUUUAUUUAAAUUAAUUUCUGUGGUGAACGACUUUGCUUAACUCCGCCGUGUAAGUUUAUCUUACAUUGCCGGUCCCAAGCCCGGAUAAAGGAGGAGGGGGAGGGCGUCAGGUAGUCGACAGCCGGCACUCCAUGAUCACGUCGAAUCCUUAUGAAAAUGAAUCCAGAACGAAAUCGCGCUAAAGCUAGGGCGUCACCCGUAAGUGGCGCGUUGUGUGGCCUGAGCACAGUGAUAAGUGAGCAAGGGUCGCUGUAUCUCCAUCGGCACCCGGAUACAGUGUUAAAUGAGCAAGGGGGCUAUAGAAACUUCUUUUCGAACGACUCCACUCAAAGUUGUUUGGGAGCAUAUGCUCCUAUCAACUUUACAGGGGACACACAAAAGAAGUACUUUGAUCCUAUUAGACGGGGAAGGGUGAAGAAGCUAGGACAGAAGGGUAGAGUUCAAGAGAGCAAAAUGCGUUUAGGAACGUGGAAUAUAUAGGAACCUUGACGGGAAAAUCUAUGGAAGUAGUAGAAGUUAUGGUGAGGAGAAGGAUAAAUAUUUAUGUGCCUACAAGAAACUAAGUGGGUUGGUCGUAAGGCAAAGGAUCUAGAAAACUCAGGGUUUAAACUAUGGUAUUCGGGCACAAAUAGAACGAGAAACGGUGUUGGCAUCAUCGUGGACAAGACCUUGACACAAGAUGUUGUAGAUGUCAAGAGGGUAGGAGAUAGAAUCAUGGCAAUCAAGAUUGUAAUAGGACAAGAACUUAUCAAUGUGAUUAGUGCGUACGCACCUCAAGUAGGGUUGGAUACGAGUUCGAAAGAGAAAUUUUGGGAAGACCUUGGAGACUUGGUGCAAGGAAUUGCUCAGACGGAGAAGUUAUUUAUAGGAGGAGAUUUUAAUGGACACGUGGGCAGGGAGACAGGCAACUAUGGAGGUUUUCAUGGUGGCCAUGGUUUUGGGGAGAGAAACGAGGAUGGGGAAGCUAUCUUGGAUUUUGCAAUGGCAUAUGAUCUCUUCUUAGCCAACACCUUCUUUAAGAAGAGAGAAGAACAUGUGAUCACCUACAAGAGUGGGUCGUCAAAAACACAAAUAGAUUUUCUUCUAAUGAGGAAAGGGGAUCGUAUAACUUGUAAGGAUUGCAAAGUUAUACCAGGAGAGAGCGUGACUAAUCAACAUCGCUUGUUGGUGAUGGAUGUACAUAUCAAAAGAGUGAGAAAAAAGAACAAGACUUGGAAGUGCCCAAGGACUAGAUGGUGGAAUCUAAAAGAAGAAAAACAAGCCAUUUUCAAAGAGAAAGUAAUCACCCAGUGUGUGUGGGAUAGAGAGGGGGAAGCUAACCAAAUGUGGGAUUCCAUGGCUAGUUGUAUCCGAAAAGUAGCAAAAGAGGUAUUAGGAGAGUCCAAGGGCUUUGCCCCACACCAAAAGGAAUCUUGGUGGUGGAAUGAGGAGGUACAAGCAAAGGUGAAGGCUAAGAAGGAAUGUUGUAAAGCCUUAUAUAAGCAUAGGACCGAUGAAAAUGGUGAAAGGUAUAGAAAAGCGAAGCAAGAGGCGAAGAAAGUUGUGAGAGAAGCUAAGUUAGCGGCUUAUGACGAUAUGUAUAAGCGACUAGAUACCAAAGAAGGAGAGUUGGAUAUCUAUAAACUAGCUAGAGCAAGGGAAAAGAAGACAAAGGACCUAAACCAAGUGAGGUGCAUCAAGGAUGAGGAUGGAAAGGUUCUUGCUACAGAGAACGCGGUUAAAGACAGAUGGAAAGGUUAUUUCAUAAUCUUUUCAAUGAAGGACAUGAAAGGAGUGAUUCUUUAGGGGAGUUGAGUAACUCAGAAGAGUGUAGAAACUACUCUUUUUAUCGUAGAAUCCGAAAGGAAGAAGUGGGUGUAGCUUUGAAGAAGAUGAAGCAUAGAAAAGCAGUAGGCCCAGACGAUAUACCAAUCGAAGUGUGGAAAGUUUUGGGAGAGAUAGGUAUAACAUGGCUCACUGACCUUUUCAAUAGGAUUUUGAAAACGAAGAAGAUGCCGAAUGAGUGGCGAAUGAGCACUUUGGUGCCUAUCUACAAGAAUAAGGGCGAUGUACAAAAUUGCAUGAACUAUAGGGGAAUUAAGCUAAUGAGUCAUACAAUGAAGCUCUGGGAGAGAGUCAUUGAGCAUAGAUUGAGGCAAGAGACACGGGUUUCGGACAACCAAUUCGGGUUCAUGCCAGGGCGCUCAACCAUGGAGGCAAUCUAUCUCUUACGAAGAUUGAUGGAAAAAUAUAGAGAUGGGAAAAAGGAUUUACACAUGGUCUUUAUAGAUUUGGAAAAAGCGUAUGAUAAGGUCCCAAGAGACAUUCUUUGGAGGAUUUUAGAGAAGAAAGGAGUACGAGUAGCAUAUAUCCAAGCUAUACAGGAUAUGUAUGAAGGAGCAAAGACUGCCGUAAGAACUCAUGAAGGACAAACCGAAAGCUUUCCCAUAACUGUAGGAUUACAUCAAGGCUCAUCCUUAAGUCCUUACCUUUUUGCGUUGGUAAUGGAUGAGUUAACAGGACAUAUUCAAGGUGAUAUUCCUUGGUGUAUGCUUUUCGCAGACGAUAUAGUGUUGAUAGAUGAAACUCAGGAAGGGGUAAAUGCAAAGCUUAACCUUUGGAGAGAAGUGUUGGAAUCUAAAGGUCUUCGCCUAAGCCGAUCAAAGACAGAAUAUAUGGAGUGCAAGUUCAGUGCAAAUGGAGGCCAAAACGAGUUAGGGGUGAGGAUCGGAGAUCAAGAAAUACCAAAGAGCGACCGUUUUCGUUACCUAGGAUCUAUCUUGCAAAAGAACGGAGAAUUAGAUGGAGAUCUCAACCAUAGAAUACAAGCUGGAUGGAUGAAGUGGAAGAGUGCAUCCGGCGUGUUGUGUGACCGCCGUAUGCCACUGAAGCUCAAGGGAAAAUUUUAUAGGACGGCAAUAAGGCCGGCGAUGCUGUAUGGCACAGAAUGUUGGGCGGUGAAGCAUCAACACGUACACAAAAUGGGUGUAGCAGGAGAUGAGGAUGCUUCGUUGGAUGUGUGGGCACACGAGAAAGGAUAAGAUUAGGAAUGAGGAUAUCCGGGGUAAAGUAGGAGUAGCCGAAAUUGAAGGAAAGAUGAGAGAAAAUCGGUUACGGUGGUUUGGACAUGUGCAAAGAAGGCCUACUGACGCUCCGAUUAGAAGAUGCGACUAUGGGACAGAGGGUUCAGGGCCGAAGGGGCAGAGAAAGACCUAGGAAAACUUUGGAAGAGACCCUAAGAAAAGACUUAGAGUACUUGGAUCUAACGGAGGACAUGACACAGGACAGAACACAAUGGCGUUCUAAGAUUCAUAUAGCCGAUCCCACUCAGUGACUUGGAUUUUCCAAGUCUCCAACCGAGAAGUUUUCCUCACUCGGGAAAUUAAGGGAACACUACCUCAACCUAUAUGCUCCACUCACAAAGCUUCAACAUACAAGCUUCAACAAAAGAAAAUUCAAAGAACUUAGCGAAGAAGGCUUUGGUGUAUUUAACACAAUACGUUGAAAUGAAGGAAAGCUUAUUUAUUGAUAUCCCCGAUAAGUUACAAAUAUGUACAUAUACUUGAGUCAAAAUAAACAAACAAGAGGGAGCCUUCACAAAGGUUGCUUAGGAGAAGUCUCAGCAGUCGGUAGAGCCCCAGAAAGAGAAGGCACCGGAGGGGGAUCAUUCGGAGCCUCAGUACUGGACAGAACCCCUAGAAGGAGGAGGCAUCAGAGGUUGAUCAUUUGGAGCUUCAUUACGCGGUACAGCCCCAGAAGACGAAGGCAAUAAAUGCCUUUGGAACAAACCCACAAAUCUCUGAUGAUCAAGUAAAACCUGACCAUCAGAUUCCUUCAUCUGGUCAAGCUUCCUCUUCAUGUUUGUAGCAUAGUCAUGUGCGAGCCGGUGCAACUGUUUAUUCUCAUGCUUGAGCCCUCUAAUCUCCUGUUUGAGACUCAUCACUUCAGCCGCCAAUGAUUCAACUUGGCGGGUUCGAGCAAAUAGGCGUUGGGCCAUAUUAGACACAGAACCUGCACACUGAACACUGAGAGCCAGAGAAUCCUUAACAGCCAACUCAUCAGACCGUUUGGAAAGUAGUCUGUUAUCUUUGGGAGUGAGAAGGUUCCUGGCCACUACCGCAGCGGUCAUAUCAUUCUUCAUCACGGAAUCCCCAACGGUAAGAGGACCAGUAGGGGAGACGAAGGAUGGGCGCCAUAUGUUGUCUGGAGAAGGCGGGGCUGCCUCUUCAACAAGGUUCAAGUCAAAACGACGGUCGGAGGGGCCAGACAUUUUCAAAGGUGUUGAAGAGAGAAGAGGUCGGACAAAUCAAGAUCUUAGAAGUGCAAGAAUGGAGCUUCUACUGGUGGAUAUUCAAGUGUGCUUUGGAACUUAAUGUCAGCCCCUAUAAAAAUCUGCACUCGACGAAGCUUCAGAAAUCGAAGAGGCGCCUGCUCAGAAAUCGAAGAGGCGUUUGCUUUCUCAAAAGCUGGGCUGCUCAGAGACCACGAGGGUCGAUCUCAGAAAUCGAAGAGGCGUUUGCUUUCUCAAAAGCUGGGCUGCUCAAAGACCACGAAGGCCGAUCUCAGAAAUCGAAGAGGCUUGCUUUCUCAAAAGCUGGGCUGCUCAGAGACCACGAGGGCCGAUCUCAGAAAUCGAAGAGGCACCUACUUUUUCCAGCCUUGUCAGCACCUGUCACACGCACACUCAGCUUUGCGGAAAUUAUGGGCAUUCUGUCGAAGAUUUCUGGCGAAGUAGAAAGCACAUGAAUCGUACUGUUCAAUCACCCACUUCCCACACGCAACAGUAGCUCAUGGGUACCACAGAUAACUUUGCCAAAGUUCUCUGACAAAGUUGAGACACGUGAAGCUUGCAGCUCCCACUACAUCGCUCUGACCAAGAAGGGUAAAAGAAUAGCAAAGAAACAACACUAACAAAGUUUAGACACAUAAAUUUUGAAGGUCUAGCUACCAUAUUAUUACCCACAAGGGUAAAGGAACAGUACCACUGCUGGAUAAUUGGAAAGUCCCGGUGUGUCAACCUCUGUGCUUCGUGGCAAGGUAGACUAGCAAACAUGCCCAACCUUUACUCACAUUCGAGAAAACACUCCCAACAAGAUUGCUUGCUCCAAAAUCGAAGAGGCACCGCCCUCCGAAUCUCGAGAGCCAGACUCCCAACAUGAUUACUUUCUCAAAAAUCGAAGAGAGGGUAAAGGAACAGUACCACUGCUGGAUAAUUGGAAAGUCCCUGUGUGUCAACCUCUGUGCUUCGUGGCAAGGUAGACUAGCAAACAUGCCCAACCUUUACUCACAUUCGAGAAAAACACUCCCCAACAAGAUUGCUUGCUCCAAAAUCGAAGAGGCACCGCCCUCCGAAUCUCGAGAGCCAGACUCCCAACAUGAUUACUUUCUCAAAAAUCGAAGAGAGGGUAAAGGAACAGUACCACUGCUGGAUAAUUGGAAAGUCCCUGUGUGUCAACCUCUGUGCUUCGUGGCAAGGUAGACUAGCAAACAUGCCCAACCUUUACUCACAUUCGAGAAAACACUCCCAACAAGAUUGCUUGCUCCAAAAUCGAAGAGGCACCGCCCUCCGAAUCUCGAGAGCCAGACUCCCAACAUGAUUACUUUCUCAAAAAUCGAAGAGACAUCCGCUCUCCGAAUCUCGAGAGCCAGACCCCCAGCAGGAUUGCUUUCUCAAAAAUCGAAGAGGCAUCGUUUCUCCGAAUCUUCGAAGAGCCAGGAUCUCCUUGGAUAAAGCUUGUCUGUAAUCUUCACACGCAACAUCAGCUUUCCAGAUACCACAGACCACUUUUUCAAAGUGCUCUGACAGAGUUAAAACAUGUGAAGCUGGCAGCUCCCACUACCGUGCUAUGACCAAGCAGGGUAAAGGAAUAACAUUAUUACUUGAUGUUAGGGAGACUCCUAUAUAUGUCGACCUCCAUCCCUAACGGACAGGCAGACCUGCAAAAAUGCUCAACCCUUCCUCUUAUCUGAGAGGGCACUCCCAACGAAGCCUUUCGAAAUAUUCAGCUUUCUUUCCCCCCGAUAAUACCUCUGUAAACAAGCUAUACUAGAGCAAGAAUAUCUCAUAUCAUCAGGGUUAAAAGCAAGAGUAUCCCAUAUCAUGCUUUUUCCCUGUCUUUUCCUUUGGCCUUGUUCUUACCUGCAAGACAAGGAGAAAGAGAGCAAUCAGUCAGCACUUGGAAUCAAGCUUCCAGCCAGGAACUGACUGCCUGGAACCCCUUACCUGAUUACUUACCUGGCAUUGCUCUCGAGUACUCAUCUUCAACAUCUUAUGCUUCCAGGGAAGAUACCGCAUCUGCCUGAGGAACAGAUAGGGCAAGUGAGAAGGAUACAAGGAAGCAUGUGGAGACAAGCGUAACAGCACACGUGCCGAUACAUCCACUACUCUGUCAAAAGCAAAAGUAUCCCAUAUCAGCAGGGUCGAACGUACUCUAGAUUUGAUGGACUUGUUUUGACCCUCAAAUUCUUCAGUCGGCCUUAUACUCUGGAGGAAACCAGAAAACCCUCCAGCCCAGUUCAAGAAUAAGCCUGUGGAAAGUUACUUCUUCAAAAGCAAAAGUAUCCCAUAUCAUCUCUUCUCAUUUUUCUUCUCUUUAUCCUUCAUGCUGCCUGCAAGAUAGGGAGAAUGUGAACAAUCAGCCGGAGCUCUGAUUGCUUACCUUGUCUGUCACCUCUUUCAGCAGAUCCCCUAGCUCGGCGACUUGGGGGACUCCUACUACAUGGUUUGUAUCGCGCUUGACCAAGCCUGAAACUACAAGUAAGCUUCAAGUGAAAUUGAUACAUUACCUUGUGCAUCUCCACCAGUUACAGAUACCACCCCUGGAUGGAGGAAGAGUACUUCCAGAGAAGAUGCCUACCUAUGAGACAGAUAAGGCAAGUCAAGACGAUACCACACUCCGGUACUUAGAAGUUUCGUGGCUUACGAGAUCAUUCUCCCACAAUAUUUCCUAAUGUCAUUUGUACUAAAUCAUUCACUUGUACUCACUAAAGGAGAGCUUGAACCUAUGUACUUGUGUAAACCCUUCACAAUUAAUGAGAACUCCUCUAUUCCGUGGACGUAGCCAAUCUGGGUGAACCACGUACAUCUUGUGUUUGCUUUCCUAUCUCUAUCCAUUUAUAUACUUAUCCACACUAAUGACCGGAGCAAUCUAGCGAAGAUCACAAAAAGUGACCGUUUUCGCUACCUAGGAUCUAUCUUGCAAGAGAACGGAGAAUUAGAUGGAGAUCUCAACCAUAGAAUACAAGCUGGAUGGAUGAAGUGUAAGAGUGCAUCCGGCGUGUUGUGUGACCGUCGUAGGCCACUGAAGCUCAAGGGAAAAUUUUAUAGGACGGCAAUAAGGCCAGCGAUGUUGUAUGGCACAGAAUGUUGGGCGGUGAAGCAUCAACACGUACACAAAAUGGGUGUAGCGGAGAUGAGGAUGCUUCGUGGGAUGUAUGGGCACACGAGAAAGGAUAAGAUUGGGAAUGAGGAUAUCCGAGGUAAAGUAGGAGUAGCCAAAAUUGAAGGAAAUAUAAGAGAAAAUCGGUUCCGGUGGUUUGGACAUGUGCAAAGAAGGCCUACUGACGCUCCGGUUCGAAAAUGUGACUACGGGACAGAGGUUCGGGGCCGAAGGAGUAGAGGAAGACCUAGGAAAACUUUGGAAGAGACCCUAAGAAAAGACUUGAGUACUUGGAUCUAACGGAGGACAUGACACAAAUGAGCGCAAUGGCGUUCUAGGAUUCAUAUAGCCGACCCCACUUAGUGGGAAAAGGCUUUGUUGUUGUUGUUGUUGUUGUUGGUGAACGACUUUGCUUGAGCCAAUUAUACUACGAUAAUCUUGUUUCUCUAACAAGUAUUUUAGUUGUUUUUAACCUUUUCCAG
rnacentral:lncRNA from 1 species